rnacentral:lncRNA from 1 species
CUUCUAAUCGAGAUAAUUUUGAAAUGACAUUUGGUGCUAUCACCUGAAGGCUCCAACAAUUGGUCAAAUCUAACAAUCUUAACCCCGUCAAUUGUCCAAUUUCAAGUGGUAACUGCUCGAUAUUGGAAUCUGCAAGGUUGAGAAUCUCUAAUUUCUUUAGCUGUCCAAUUGCCGCUACAUCUUCUAGUUGGCACCAGUCUAAACACAAUGUUUGAAGGUUAAUGAGGCGACCAAGUGAUGAAGGUAAUGAAGAGAAAUGAAUUCCGAUAAGACUUAAAACUUUGAGUUCUUCUGUUCCUUCAAAAAAGAGGUCUGAAAUUUGCACGGGGCCAUAACCCUGUCUAAACAACAAAAAUAACUGGAGAUUGGGACAUUGCAACCUUUCAGGGAGCUCUUGAAUAUUUCUCUGGGGUAAUGAAAUGGCAAUUGGAUCUUUCCGUAUUGUCUCUUCCAUCUUUUUCUCCAAGUCGGCAACAUUUGGGAUAUUAAACAUGCGCGUCUCUGCGGCAACUGAUACGGCAACAACAUGAAUGAUGUCAUGCAUUUUAACUUCAUCUUCAGCAUCACCGUCCAACAAUAAGCAUGAAGAUUUGAGAUUGUCGAUCAACCGAUGCACCCUACUCCUUGCUUCUUCCAAUGUGUAAACAUUUUCAAACAAACCCCAACCCACACCAUAUCUCAAUAAGUAAGGAACUGGUAUAGCAUGACCUUCACUGUAUAGACCACAAAGACGGAACAUAGAUUUUGCUUCCUCACUUCUCAAGAAGUCGUAACUCAAUUUUAUGGAGAGGUACACAUUUUUUUCCAUUCCAUCAAUUUCUUUUGCAUAGGAACUUCUUAGCUGACGCAGCACAUCUUUCCAAGUGUCAAGGCUCUCAUUUUUCAAAGCUUUUGCAAGUGUAAUCAGUGCAACCGGCAGUUCUCCGCAUCUUCCGACGAUCUCAUGUGCUAUAGGUUGAAAAGCAGAUGUUUUCAUUGAAUCACCCACUAUCUUCUGAAAUAAAUGCAAUGCUUCUUCUUUUGAUAAAGCAUCGAUCUGGAUCUCUUUCUGAGAAUUCAUAACAUUGCGCAAUAAAUCUUGACGUCUAGACGUCAGUAUUAUUGUGCAUCGUCGCUGAUCAUCCAUUCUUUCUUUCUUAACAUCCCCGGAAGGAAUUCCAACUUCAUCGAACUUCAGUUCUCCCCAAAUAUUAUCCAAUAUAAUGAGAUGCCGCUCCUCGUUCUUCAAAACUCGACAUAGUCGAUUUGCUCUGUCGAAUAUACUCUCAUUCAACUCAAACUUUAUGCCUAAAUCAGAAGCAAGUUUGUCUUGAAUUUUCUGAUGAUCUGGGUUCUCUGUUACCUCAGCCAUAGCGACCUUAUCGAACAACUUAUCUUUUUCCAUCACUCGCUUUGCAACUUGCUUGACGAGCGUGGUUUUACCCACGCCGCCCAUCCCGUAGACCCCAAUAAUGUUGAGCUUAUCAUCCUUCAACGCCUCCACAACAUCUUGAAAUACUUUCAUUCUUGAAUCAAAGGCCUCGUAAUCUUUCACUUGCAAAUGUUCUGUACUCUCUGGAGCAGGAAGGUAGGAAACUUCCCUGAAGUCGCCUUCUUUUAUGAGACUAUCGGCUGCUUCUUUGUCCAUUGCAGCUUGUUUACUAACCCUGUAACGAGAAAUCAAAUUUGGGCACAAUCCAUCUUCAGUAUCAAUGAUGGGUUUUUCAAUCAAUCCAUCAACUUUUUUAAGCCAGAUUUCGACGUCAUCAAAAAUCUUAUCUCCUUGUCGAGUAGCCUGAUCAACGGCUUUUUCCACCCUUUGUCUUUCUUGUUUCAGCUUCUCCACUUGUUCUUUUAGCCCAUCGAUGUUGCUUUUGUACUCUGGCACAUAAGAUAUUGGUCGUAUAAUAAGUUCGAACAAUGUCUUUGCACCACCGGAUACAAUGCUGGAAAUAGCAUUGAGACACCCUUGUGCAGCCAUUGCGAGACACCCUUCUGCAGCCAUUGCCUGUUGCUAAACAAUAUAUAUAUAUAUAAAUAAAAGUGUCAAAGAAAUGAAUACAAAUAAAUUAAAAUGAACUAGAGGGAAAGACAGAGAAAGGAAAGACCGCAAACAACAUCGCGAUAUUGAUAUUGAACCAACUGAUACCUAAAUAGAGAAUUUCUUUUUCCAUCUUAAGGAUCAGAGGUUUCGCUAUUAACAGAAAGGUAUCCUUCAAGGAAAGUUGAUGGAAAUUAAGAAAGAACCGCUAUCAAUAUCAAGUAUUCUGCUACUAAAAAUAAAUGAUAUGACUUAAGAAAAAUAAAUGAUAUGAUUAAGAAAAACCAGAGAAUUUUUUCCUCGGAAAGUUGAUGGAAAUUAAGAAAAAACCGCUAUGAAGAACAAGUAUCAGAGAUUCUGCUACUAAAAGAAUAUUACAGGUUUUAGAACAAGUGCACCUCUUUACCUGUCUCGGAUCAGAGUUGAUGAGCUGCUGUAUUCACCUUGAAUAUAGAAGAAAAAUUUUAUUGAGCAAAAGGAUCUCUGUUGACUAAAGAGGAAUGCGAGUAACGAGUUGAUGAGAGUAAUAACAAUGAAUUUCCAAAAGAAGACGACUUGAGCAUUAAGCACGCAUCCCUUUUUCAAUCAAAUACUGGUACGUAUGUCCGUAGGGACCAUUAUGCGUAUACGAAGUCUAUUAGUUGCAAUCAGAAGCCCCGGCCCAAUUUAAUUGACACUCGAUUUUUGAUAAGAAGAAGGCAAGGAUAAGGAUAAAGUCAAUCAAUCACCAACAGUAAUUACUUCAAUCUUUGUCAAUAUACUUAAAUUGUCGAUCAACAUGAAAAUUGUUUAAAUUGAUAUUUGUAAAUGAAUCAAUUUUCUAGUUACUAUGAUUAUAACGUUUCACCUUUCAUAUUGGAUUUUAUCUUUUCAAAAGUUUUCAAAUGUGAGUUUCAAUAAUUAUUGAGACUCCAAGCCGUGCUCUCAAGAUUGUGCUGACAAAUCACCAUUAGCUUUAUUUAUGCAUAUUUCAAAGAAAAAAAAAGUUAUGGUUUGUAUUGCCAGCCCUGCUACUUUUUGUUUUUUUUCAUUUGUAUUAUUUACGAAUUAUUUUUUAACAGAAACAUGAGAACUCUUCAUCGUACAAAAUUGCAUGAAAAAACCUUCAAAUUUAUAAAAGUAAAUUUCAUUGACAGAUUGUGGAUAUGUUUGCAAGAAUAAGGAUAAGAAUGAGUUAAGAAAUUAAAAAAAAAAAAAAAGAUAGUGUAAGUAAACAAUGUUUUGGUACAUUUGGUAUUGUUUUCAAAAUAUUUUGAAAAGAAAAAUUUUCAAUCAUCCACCUAAAAAUUAUCUUAUUAUCCAAAAAGUUAUAAAAAUUUAAAUAUACUUAAUUUUAUACCCAUUAUUACAAUGUGUAUAACUGUUUACUAAAAAUUUAAAUAUACUUAACGGAUGUUUAAUACAAAUUGCAUACAUUGGGUGUAAAAUUAAAUAAAUUUAAAUUUUAUAAUAAUUUUAAUAACUGAAUAAACUUUGAGUAAAUGACUGAUAAUUUUUCUUUUAUAAGCUAUAAGAAGUCAAAUAAAAAAUAGGAUGAUAAUUUCUGAUGGGUGUCGAAGCCAACAAAAAUAAAUUCCUACUCUAAAUAAAUUGUGUAUAGUGAUUGAGCAGGGUCGUGUCCACAGAGAUCGGUAAUUAUUUAAAUCCUUUUGAAACGUAAAACGUAAAAUGAGGGAAUUGUUGACAAUAAUAAAAAUCAAACUAAAAUAACGAGAAUGUAAAUUAAAGUUGUGAUUCAAAUUGGAGAAAGCUCUGGUUGAAGGAAUUAACUCAGCUUGAUUCGACUACUGAUCAUUGAUUCAAAUAUAGAUUAUUAUUACUUAUGAAUAGACCGGUUAUAGCUACUGAGACCCUCUAAUAGCCAAUCUCUCCUUAACUAGUCGAUAACCAAAGUACGACCGUUGGUUAUUUCCCUAAUCAAUAGACAACCCUAGAUACGAUCAUAUGAUUUAAUCAAUUGACAGCCUGAAAAACCAGAGAGACCCAAAUCCUAAUCAACACAUAUGAUGAUUCAUUUAAAUUAGAUUGUUUAUUCUCACAACACAACUCUCUGCUAUGUUAUUUGUCACAAACAUUAAAUUCUUCAUACGAUGAAUCCUUUAAUUGACAAUAGAUUAAGUUGAUAAUUAAAUAGUGGCCAAUUACCUAAUUAACAAACAUAAUCAUGAAAAUAAUUCAGAGAAUAAACAAAUACCCAAAAGCAAUAAAACAAUUAAAGCACAAGAAAGAUCUCACAGUACUGAUGAAUCAAAGCUUCAUUAUCCUUCAACCAGAAAAAUGGGUUUAGUUCCUCAUAGAGAGAAGAGAAAAAUUAGAUCUAGGGUUUCUUUUUCUCCAAUCCAAAAAUCCCCUUUUUUCACAAUAGAUUCCUCCCUUAAAUACUCUCUCUCUCUUCUCUUUUAGAGUUCUAUUUAAAAUAAAAUACUAAUAUCUGAAAUAUUAAAUUCGUAAUUACAAAAAUAGCCAAAAAUACAAAACACGUUAAACUCAAAACUGCAGGUUCGCAGUUGACAGCACGCGCCCACGCCUUAUCAACAAAGUUCUUCUGCCGCUCAUAAUUUCUCCAAGAGAACAAUCAUCCUUAAACAUCAUCUUAUAGCUCAAUUUUAUCACCAAUUAAUAGAAUUGCACCUACAAAAGUAAAACACAAGUAAAUCACUAUUAUUAAGUGCAAAACAUCGAUAUUAAGGGAAGUAAACAAUGCAAAACUAGUGCAUAAAUUGCACUCUAACAAUUUCUCUUUUAUAUUGCUCAGAUGAUUUAUUGUUUGGGGACUAAGAUUUUAAGUAUUCAACUUAAAAGAUUAAUAUAUUAUAAAUUGAUUAAUUAAUUAAUCAUUAAGCAACUAAAUUGGGUCCCUGGAUGUCAAUUCCUUUAAUAUUGAUGCAACAACCUUUUUUUGGCAAAUAAUUGUUAAUGCACUUACGGAACUUUUGCGUGUCUACACAGCGAGUUCCAGGACAUUUUCGCAUUGUGCAACAAUUGCUAAUAGCACCUUUUUACGAUUAAUUUAUAAUAUAAUUUCAGUAAAGAUAGAAAUACAAAUUUUAUAUAAAUUGAUAUGAUAUUACUUAAAAACAUUUCAUUGCUCACAUGAGUUACUGCUGAAGCCUAUGAUUUUAGAUACUCAACCCAAAAGAUUAGCCUAUUGAGAGGAGGGAGGUCUAUGAUUUUAGAUACUCAACCCAAAAGAUUAGCUUCUUGAGAGGAGGGACCACUUGUAUUUAUUAGGAAUGGGCAUCAGAUCAGAUUUGGGUUGAUUUGAUCCGAUCCGAUAUGAGCUAAUCUUAUUUGGAUUGGAUUCGAAUUUAGCUCUAAAUCUGAUGGGAUAAGAAUGUUGCAAUCUGAUCAGAUCCGGAUCAAUACGAUCGAUUGCACUUACAAUUAAAAAGAAUACAAAACUUAAAUAUAAAUAAGAAAUAAAAAUUAAAAGACAACCCUAAAUCCCUAAAUCCUUAAAUUUCCCAAAUCAAAACAGAAAGAAUCAAAAAAAGCAACUCAGCCGCAUGCCGACAUUAGCGACGAACCCAGCCAUUCUCUUGAGAAAUAGUUGGCCAGUGUCACGAUCGGUUCCAAUGGCUUGACCACGUCCCCUUCCUCUAGCUCUUCCUCGAGCUAUGUUGUAGUGGCAAAGAAUAACGAUGGAGAAAUAAUGAUAGAACAGCUAACAAAGAAUUUAGUUUGAUUCUCAAUGAUCCUUUUAUUGAAUAAAUUAUGCUCAAUUUAUACACUACUAACUGCAACUUGACAACAAAAGCGCAACUCACAACCAGAAAAUAGCAACAGCAACUAAGAAAUAGCAAGUAAAUCAGAUUCUUGCCUAUUAUUCGGACUAGUGACCCACUACUUUGACUGACUCAACAAAACAAAUAAACUAAAAUGCUGACUCAUGACAGCCAGUUGCAAAGCCGAUGAUGCCCGAGCUGCAUGCCGAUGACGUCCCAGCCGACAGCUGCUGGGCCAGUGACCCGUACAUUGCAAAAGUCCUAAACCUAGUCGUUGCAUUUAUUUGUUUGUUGCAAAGGUUUCAAAUGGAGUCGGAUCCAUUAAAGCUUUUGAGGUGCAGAGGUUAUAAAAAUAGAAUAGAUACUUUGAAAAACUUGCAGAGGUUUGCGUCGUUUGAAUUGCUUGUGAACUUAUUUUUGCAUGCAUGUUAUUCUCUAUGCUUUUUGGUGAUUGUAAAAUUAAUUGUUUGAUUUAGCUUUCCAACUUUUGGGAUGCAAUUGUUACUGGUGUUCUCAACAAAAUAAUUGAUGUGAAAAUGGACGAACUUUCAUUUUUUGUCUUUGUUCUUCCAUUUGCUAGCUUGCUGCAUUUUUUUCUUAAUUUCUAUGAUUUUUCAAUUUUGUAUUUCAACUUGCAAGUGAUUGAGAUUCAUCUGAUUUAUUCGAACACAUCUGAUUCCAAUUUCAGUAUGAUAUUAUCGAUCUGAUCCGAAUCCAAAUUAAUCCGCACUAUUCAUCCAAUUUGAAUGUGAUCCGCACAUAAUCGGAUUGGAUGCAAGUUCAUAUUGCAUUCAUAUGACUUUUUAUCAAUUCGAACAAUCCAAAAUCUGAUCGUAUUAAUCCGAAUAUUAUCUGCAUCCAAUUUUGCCCAUCUCUACUACUUAUAAGCCCAAGUGACUCUCUUUUACUAAUUAACUAGAAAAUAGACCCGCGUUUCACGCGGCUUUGAAAAAAGAAUUUACUAUUAUCUUUUUUUUCUUACUUUACACUUGAUGAAAUAGAUAAAAAAAUAAGAAUUGAUUUUUUUUUAAAGAUGAGGCAGCCUUAUAAAAAAAAAAGUUAUUAGGUAGUAAUAUAAAUAAAGAAGCAACACAAGAUAAAGAAUAAAAUGAGAGAAUAUAUUAUAGAGAGAUUUUAUUCAUUCCAAUUGUGUGUGUACAAAAUAAAAAGAUGAGCUCUCCUUUUAUAGUUACAUAAUCACUCCAUGAAGUUAAUGAAAAAUUAUGGAUCAUAAUUUCUUGUGAGAUAGUGGGAGUUAUAGGGAAGCUAAAGGUUGCUAAUGGGAGAUAGUGGGGAGACUAAGAGAUAUAUGUUAUGAACAUUUAUAUUUAUUUUAAUAAAUUCAUAACACUCCCCCUUGGAUAUUCAUUACAAAAAAUAUGCAUCAUUAAAAUUUUUACAUAAUUGUUAUUGUAUAAUAACAAUCAAAUUAAUUAUGAGAAGAUGAAAAACCAAAUCUAAAAGAAAAUUUCUCUAUUUAUUAGAUAAUAGAGAAUAUACAAAGAAGAGAAAUGGUGAUGCCACAUCACCUCCUCAAGUCCCAACUUUAUAUAGAUAUAUAGAUAUGGGACAUUAUUUAAGAAUUCUUUCUCAAAUGAGGAAAAUUAUCAUACCAUUUUUAUCCAUUAAUUUAGAAUAAAUGCAUUUAUCAUCAUUAUUAUGUUUAAAUCCAUGCAACAUGAUCAUAGAAUCAAAAUUUUCAUGUUGUUGCGUUAGUGCUUAUUUAAGAUCAUAUAAUGACUUUAUUAAUUUACUAAAUUUAUUUUGUAAAUUAGUAAAUUUAUUUUUUCCUUUCUUUGUUGUAAAUCAUUUUGCAUCCAACCACCCUCUAAAGGCUUGGGCCAAUGUUUCAAACAACAAUGCAUCAAGUUCCAAUCUAAGUUAAGAUCCUGCUGAUGCAUCUAGUUGAUUAGAUAAUAAUGAGUCUAUCUCAUUACUUGUUGCCUCUUUCCACAAGGCUGCAUCUGUUGAAGCCAUAGCCUCACUGAGAGUUUAAAGAUCUUCUUCCAUAUUAAAUAGGGAAAUUAUCAUUCUACCAUCUUUCUUUUGACUUAUGUUCAUUUAACCACCACUAAAUUUCAACAUGUUUUCUGCAAUACCUUUCUUUUUAAAUUUGAAUCAAUUAGCCACUUUUACACUAACACUGUUAAAUAAUUUAAACAAAAUGAUAAUUUUACUUCUAAAUAAAUUAAAAUGCCAUUUUAUCUUAUAAAAGCUUUGAAAAAUAAAAAAAUUUUACUUACAAAAUAAUCCAAAAUAGAGGUGCUCAGCUUAUUUUUAUUAAAAAUUUAUAAUUUUGUAAAAUUUUAUUAAAAUAACUAAAUUUAUUUAUUAAAAAUAAAUCCCAAAAUUUUAAUGUUUUAGGGGAUGUUUAUUAAAUCCCAAAAUUUUGCAAUUAUUUUAUAAUUAUAAUUUUUAUUAAAAUAAAAAUUCUAAUUUGGGGAUUUAUUUCUUUAUUAAAUUUAGGGGUAUUUCUAUAAUUAUAAUUAUAAUUUUUUAUUUUUUAUAAAAUAAAAUGAUCUUUUAAUUUAUUUAGGGGUAAAUUUAUCAUUUUGUUUAAAUUAUUUAAUGGUGUUAGUGUAAAAGUGACUAAUUGAUACAAAAUUAAAAAGAAAAGUAGUGCAGAGAACAUGUUAAAAUUUUGUAGUAAUUGAAUGAGCAUAAGGCAAAAGAGUAGUGGUGAAAUGAUAAUUUUCCAAUUAAAUAAAACGGGUGUUCGAUUAAGAACUCUAUCUCUAUCUCCUCGUCCUAUCAAAUAACGUCAACCAUCCAAAAGAAAAAAAUAAAUUGGAAAAGUCCACGGGUAGCAAUAAUUUCUGGUCCGUUCCUGGACCUCCAUUAUCUGGCACUAUGAAUAAUGAAAAUGACAUUGCAAUCGUUAGGUAUCUUGGAAAAAUGACGAAAGUUUUUGGAGGGAGGUGGGGGAAUUGUCAAAAGUUCACACAAUGCGAAACAAGUGUUACAUCCAAUUAAAUUUUAUUUCAUUACCUCUUUUGCCUCAUAAAUAAUAGGAUCACCACGAGAUAAUGAUAAUAUCAAAUAAUGACAACCAUCCAAAUGUAUGAUGGGUCUUCCAAAUUUUGAAAAUGUCGUCAACAUCAAAUCUUCAAUGCCGAAGAAGGUAUAUGCCCAAAAAAUGACACGCAAGACCCACUCCACAGACUAAAUUGUCCUUGAUCAUAUGUAACAAACUUUGGCCUUAUGUGCCUGUGGUGACAUUAGACUGUUCAUUUUCAUUGUUUCUUACCUUCCAUUUACGCCCACUGUAGUAUUAUUUUAUUCACCAUUUUAGCCAUUUAAAUGAAAUUUUAUUUUUGUCAAAAAAUGAACUUUUACUUUUGUCAAAAAUAAAAUGAUACCCUAAAAAUUUAGAAAAAUAGUCACGUAGACCUCAAAUUUUUAAUAUAGGAUACCAAUACCCCUUUUGAUCAUAAUACUACUCUUAGUAGAUGGUAAAAAAAAAAAAAAGACUUCAAAAUUUUUUAUAAAAUUUAAAUAAUUAAUUUCAAUAUUAAAUUUUAAAAUGUGAAUUAAUAUAUUUGUAUCUAUAAAAUACUUGUAAUUAUUACAAAAAAAAUUUAAAUGAAUCCUUAGGUUAAAUAGAUUUUACAAUUAAUAUAAUAUUUCUCAUGUAUUAAUAAUAUUAAAAUUAUUUUAUGUGAUAUUGAAAAUAAUUUAAAUUUUUAUGUAUUUAUUUGAAUAUUAUGUCUCUAUUUAUUAUUAUUUGGUUUAAUAGAAUACGAGAUUUUAAAAUAUUAAAAUAUUUUUAGAUAUUGAAAUUAUUUUAAUAUGUAUACAUUAUUAUAUUCAUUUUAAUAUCCUACUUAUAUUUAUUAUAAAAUAUGAGAAUUAAUUUUUUUAGUUAAUAAAUUUAAAAAAUACUAUAAUAAAAAAAAAGGAUCUUAUUGUCCGGUAUUCACGACAUGAGGUACUACAAAAUUAUUUCCCCGGACGGGUGUGCUUUUCUUAUUUUUAGAAAGAAAAAUAAGUCAAUGGGUUUCAACAAUUUCUAGUCCUAUCUGCCACUAUGACUAAUGGAAACGACAUUGCAAUUGACAUUGCUUUUCGCAAUAUGACUAUUUUUUGGAGAAUCGUCAAAAGUUCACUCCACUAGAGAGUUUUAGGUGGGAGAAUUGUCAAGAGUUCACACCACAUGAAACUAAUGAUAGACUUAAUUUCGCUGUCAGUUCUUUAUUUAUUUAUUUUAUUUAUUUAAUACAUUAUUGUCUUGUUGGUAUUGUGUUGUAAAGAUAUAAAAGUAAAGUAAAAUAUUAAGGGUGCUGUUAAGUUACAACUGAUGUAACUUACAGUUUUUUAAAAAAUAAUGUAAAAAAUUUAAUAGGUGGUGGGACUCAAUUUUUUUUUUUUUGAAGAGAUCAUAAGUUACAGCACUUGUAACUUAACAAAAUCCAAAUAUUAGACAAUAAUACAUAUUAACAAUGCAUAUAAUUUGGGUCUGAUUUUUAAAAAAUUAUUUGAGUACCACCUAUCCUUAAGAUAUUAAUGUGAAUGUAUUUUAAUAGUAAAUAAUAAAUUUUUUUUAACUAUUAUUUGUAUUUCAUACAUUACAUAUUAUAUUUGUUUGAAUUUUAAGUUGUUGCUAAUAAAUAUUUAUGUUGUGAAAGUCGAAUUCAAUAGCUACAAAAGAAGAGAUAAUGGUAUUUUAUAUAGUUUUUAAGAAUACAAGGAUAAGCUGGAUAAUUGACUUAAGUUCUAAUGAUUAAAACAACAACUAUCCCUUAAAUUAUAAUGUCAAUUUCUUUAAUUAGAAUUUUUUUCAACAAUUGCUACAGUUUUUUAAAUAAUAAUGGGAGUUAUAAAUUAUUUAUAUAAAAUUUGUGUAGAAACUAAUGUAACCUAAAAGUGGUUGCUGAAUAACAAUAUUUGAAACUUUAGGUAAUUUUCAUAUCAGCCCUUUUUAUAUUCAGCAACUUUAGAACUUAAACAAACUUGCCCUCGAUCUUAAUUUAUUUACCCCAUUUAAACCCAUGAUGCAUGAUGACAUAAACAGAUUCUUGUGUGAUGAAAACAUCAAGAAAAGACAUCUCAUGUUUUAAUAUAACAGAAAAAAAGCGGUCCAUAAGUCUAUCCAUUAUUUUAUUUAUUCAGUACAAAUGGCCAACUUUAAAAAAUGAUAAAAGUCACACAACGCUUAAGUGAAAAUUAAAAAUGACAUUUUUUAAUACUCUCUGAGUCUCUCUCUCUCCCCCUUUUUUUUCUAAAUAAACCUUAGUUUAAAAUUAGAAGAAUUUUAGAUAUAAAAAUUUGUCAAUCACUUAACAGAAAAGUAGGGGAAUGAAAACAAAGGAGCCCCUGUUAUUAUUGGAAUAUUAAUUAUAGAUGUUAUAAUAUCUAUAACUUGUCGUGGUUCAUUGUAGCAUUCUAAGCCAUAUUCUAAAACUAGGAAAUAGAACCGCACUUCGUCCGGCUUUAAAAAAAAUUAGUAUUAUUUUUUUAUUCCUUUGUAAUUAAUGAAAUUGAUAAAAAAUAUGAAUUAUUUUUUUAAAAGAUGACGCAGUCUUAUAAAACUAAUGUUAUUUAUGAAAGUUAAUUAUUUUUUGUUAACAUUAAAAAUAUAUAUUAAUGUGUAUAGUUAAGUGUACACAACCUUUUCAUCAAUAAAAAUUAUGUUCACACUAAUCAACUCUCCAUUUUUCUUGGUAUAAAUGGCAUUGUUGAGGGAAGAUGAUGAAACCUUCCUUCUUAUAUUAAUUAAUUGAUGUAUUUUAAGCCACUAAAAUUUAAUUGUUGGCAUAAUAAAAUAAAUGAAUGUUUCAAAACUCAUAAUUAAUUAUUAUUAAUGGUUACAUAUUGUUGAAUUUAAAUAGAAAUAGGAAAAGACAUGUAAUCAUUUAUAAUUUAAUAAUUAUUUUAUAUUUUAAUAUUUUGUAAUGUAAUUAUUUUUUAAUUUCAACCAAUUUAUUAAAUAAUAGACAAUAUGAAAUGAUGAGAAAUGGUGAUGCCACAUCACCUCUUGUAGUCCCAACUUUAUAUAUAUGUAUAGAUAGAUAGAUAAAUUAAUUCAUGUAUUUUAUGCCACUAAGGUUUAAUUGCUAGCAUAAUAAAAUAAAUAAAUGUUUCAAAAGACUUAUAAUUAAUUAUUAUUAAUGAUUACAUAUUGUUGAAUUUAAAUAGAAAGAGAAAAAAAAGUACAAAGAAUAUUCACCAAUAUUUUAGAUAUUUUAUAUAAUAGAAAAUAUAAAAAGAUGAGGAAUGAUAUAUAUUAAUAAAGUUACUAUUUAUUAAAUGAGUUAAAUACAAUCAAAUUAAUUAUGAGAAGAUGAAAAGACAAAUUUAAAAAAAAAAAUAUCUAUUUAUUAGAUAAUAGAGAAUAUACAAAGAAGCAAAAUGGUAAUGCCACAUCACCUCCUCAAGUCUUAGCUUUAUAUAUAUAUAUAGAUUAGUAGAUUUGUUAAGAUUUUUAUUAUUGGCAUCAUUGUGUCAAUAUUAUUAUAAUUUAUUCAUUCUAUUGUAAUGAAAAUUUGUCUAUUCUUAGCUACUUAUUAAAUUAUCCUUAAUUUAUUACGAAUAUUUUUGGAGACAAAAGAAACACGUGUAUGUAGGAUUAAUGAUUGGAGAGUUGUAAGUAAAGGUGAUUGCUUCAUUGAGAAGCAUAUUAAAGAAUUAUGGAAAGUUGCACUGUUCCAGAAGCAUAUAUUUAUACUUCCCUAUUUGGACUUGUGAAGUGAUGAUCCGGCCGUAACUAUUGUGAAGCUUUCCUCAAGUAUUCUCAUGCAUACUUGAGGAAAGAUACAAAUUGCAUACAUGUCUAGGAGCCUUAUCAAAGGCGUUAUAUAACUUGUCCAAUUAAUUAAUUCUCUUAAGGGUCAUACCGUGCUCACUCAUUUCAAAAGCAAUUAAGGAUAAGAACUUUCAUCAUUAAUUGAUAUGGCCAGUGUAGAAAAAAUGCCAAGAUCAAAGCACAAGGAUAAGUUUAGAAUUACACUUUUUAAAUUUUGGUUAAUAAAUAAACGUCUAUAUGAAAAUGGAAAAUCUUUUUGGAAUAACUUUUCUUUUCUUUUCUUUUUUUAAUGAAUGUGGAUAUAAAAUUUUAAAAUCGCCAAACCGAAAAGAAAAACAGGGGAAUGAAAAGAGGGCUCUGUUUCUCCUCUGUUUCGAUUUUUUUAUUACUAAACAGGGGAAUGAAGAGAUCAGCUCUUGUCGCAAGUGCAAAUGCAGUUGGUUAUUCUACUUUUGCUAGUGAAGUUUUGGGCCUUGUCGUAAUUGCUGUAAUUGCGACAUCGGUGGUUGACAUGGCUUUCCUUGUACAGGUAUGUAUGAUUGUUUUUUUUUUUUUUGCACUUCUAAAUGGACACUGUUGAAAAGCUUAAAAUUGAACUGAUAAUUUUGUUUGGAAGCUUAGAAAAUUCAUGAGAAAGUGAAAUAGAAUAUUCUGGAUUUCUUACAUAAAAAAAAACAGAAUUAAAGCAAGGUACACAACUAUAACAGAAUCAAAAGCGUGCUUUACUAAUUGGCUGAGCUGGCAUAUACUUCUUUAACUAACAAUGCUGCUGACUGGACUUUAGCUCACACAUGCUUAUUGUGGAGCUACUCUUACUUCACACGUGCUCAGUGUGCUUCCUUAACAGACACAAGGGAAAAGACAUGAUUUUGAGAUUAAUUUAUACCAUAAUAAUAAUAAAGCUAGAGUAAUGAUAUGAAUCAUUAAUUGCUACAAAAUAAUUUGCUAGAUAGCGCCAACACUUAAUUGAUACUCACCAUUUCAUUGAACAAUUGUUUUAUGGUGUCAUUGAGGUUGCCUUCCCAACAUCCUUCAUCAUCAUCAUCUUCUUCAUCCUCAUCAUCUUUUUCUUCGGUGAGUUUCACUUUGUUUAGCUUUGGUGUGUCUACGACUCCUUGUGAGAAAAUCUUCAUCUUUGGGCACUGUCUCGCAAUUACUUGUUCCAAAGGAUGGGAAUUGAAGAGUGUAAUUACCCCGAACAAAGCUUGUUAAGCCUGUCAACCAAUGAAGUGUCAAGUAGUUUCAUUUUCUCGGAAGAACAAUGCAAGCCCUUUCACUUCUCUCAACCUGCAAUUGUUAUGAUCUUCCUUCUAUCAUUUUGCAAUCAGCNNNNNNNNNNNNNNNNNNNNNNNNNNNNNNNNNNNNNNNNNNNNNNNNNNNNNNNNNNNNNNNNNNNNNNNNNNNNNNNNNNNNNNNNNNNNNNNNNNNNUGAGAGUGUCACACAUUUAUCAACCUGUGACACUUCGAUACUUCUAGUCCCCACAGAUUUUCCAAAUGCCACGAAGGUGGUACUAAUUUUUGCAACUUACUACGUUCCGAUAUUUCUAGACUUCCCAUGUUUGCAAACGCUUUGUUGGAUUCGUCAUUUUCCUUCCAGAGAUGCUGCACUUUGUGUAAUCUAGAUAGCUUUAACUCCAUCAAUUGAGGGAAUGCAACCUGAAAAUCAACAAAAUUAAGUUGUAAAUGAAAAUAUGUAUCCAAUCUCUGGAGUCUUCCCCUGCAUAUUUUAUGGACAAGAUUAAUCACGACAUUUUAUAUUUUUUUUCCAAAUUAGUAUGCUUUGCAGUAGGUUCCUAAAUAUAAAUAUCAAAUCGAUUACCCUUUGAAACACAUAAAUGAAAUCUGAGGCUAAAUCCAAUAUGAAUUAGCUAGGAAAACAGAGAUGUAACACACAUAAUUAAUAUAGUUCAUCACCUCGUGUUACCAGGCAUCCAAUUAAUUUCAGACAUUUUUAUAAUUCAUACUAUAAAGUUAGUUAAUAACGGAGGUUAUAUUGUUAAAUCAGAUAUAAAUUAAGACGACGUGCAAAAAGAUGAGUCAUUAAAUUUGAUUUAAUUCUAAUGAAAUUACAUCUAUGCGAACGAAAGUGAAGGGAAAAAUAAUAAUAAUAAUAAUCACAUUUUCAUCGAAGAGGGGUUGUACUUGAUGAGCCAGCAAGAAGUUCUCUUCUGAUGUUAAUUUUUGAGGUUCCUUGUUAUCUGUUGUCACGUGCACUACAGAGUUGGAUAUGAAUGUUUCCAUAUCAGGGCAAUUCUCAAUAGUCAGACGUUUCAACUCAGGCAUUUCAAUUAUAUUCUCAGUGAAGUUGGGAAUCUUUUGAGUUUUGGAAGAUCAAUGAGCCUUAGCUCGAAAAAGCUUAGGAAACAGGGGGCCUAUAUGUUCUUUGUCAACACUUAGCUCUUCCAAAUGAAGCACCUCUGCUAGCGAAUCACAAUUCCUCACUUCCAGGUCCAUCAAAUUGUUCAAGCACCGUAGCAGAUUGGCAGGAAUAGCACUCGACAUAUUCGUGCAGUCAUCCACCACCAGGUGUCCUAAAUUGUUGAAGAAGCUGACAGGCAGUGCUUGGCCAUGCCAUAUUUCUUGCAAACGUGGAAAAUGCGAGAGUUGCAAAUACUUUAUGUCACGAAAUCCAAUCUGCACAAACCAAAACAAUUGCACUGGAUAUAUACAAUUUUUUACUUUUUGAAAGGCACAGACAUAUAUACAUUAAACUUACAUGUUUUGUGCUUAAAUGUGCAAGUGCAAGGGAGAUGCAUGAGCAAUUUUGAUGAAUCGAUUCACACAAAUCAUUUCUUUGUAACACUUUUGUAUAGUGGAAUUAAGAUUGCCUUCACGAUCGUGCAAUUCACCCUCUUCCUUUUUAGUCACUUGCACUUUGUGCAGCUUUGGUGUGGAUAAGAUUCCCAGGGAAAAAGUCUUCAUGUUCGGACAAUGUGUCACAGAUACUUGUUCCAAUGAUGGGAAUUCAAGAGUGUAAUUCUCCAAGCAAAAGCUGGCAAGCCUUGGUAAAUCAUCAAGUAUCAAAAGUUUUAAUUUGCUGAAAGCAAUACGAUUCUCCUUCGCUUCUUCUCCAACAUGUCCUAUGAUUUCUUCUAUUUUUUUGCAGAUUGAUACAUUAAGAUUCACUAAAAUACCCGGAAUUCCAACCUGAAAAUAAGCAAAAGAGUGUGUGUGUAUUAAAAAAGUAAAAAUUAAGAGUAUCAUUCAACUAGGUUCAAAGUAUGUUUAAAUCAUACAAUUAUACGUUUUAUAAACAUAACAAACCAUGAAAUGGCUACUAGAUAAUUUUUGUUAAACAAAAAAGGCAACAAGAUAAGUAAAUAAAUAAAAGCCAGAUAAACAAAGAUAAUAAAAACGCAUUUACACUAUUUAGUAUUAGGAGCGUAGAAAGAAUUUAAGGCAAUUUCUAAAUAUUUUAGACUUAUUUUGCAUUUCGAUGCAAAUUUUUAAAUAAAUUUGAAAUUGCAACUAUUCCUUUAAAAAAAAACUCAACCAAAAUGCUGCUUUUUCCAUUUUCCUUGGUCCCUUUUUUUUAUGUAUAUUAAAAAAUGCAAAAAAAAAAUGGAAAAGACUUCCCAAUACUGUCAACGUAGGACUGUUGUAAAGCGGGUCUUUAUUAAGUACUUCCAUGAAUUUAUGAUUAAUUAAUGUCAUAAUCAAUUCAUAACUAAACUAGAGAUAUUAAUUAAAUUUGAAGACUUUUCUUUUUCUUUUUUUCCAAACGAAAUGUCAAGAAUUAAGGAAAAGAGAAAUAUAUAGAUGAAUUUGUGAACCUAUAAGAUGAGUGACUAUCCUUUAAUUUUUGAAAAUCGUACUUAUUAAGAUAUGAGAAAAACAAUUAAAUUGAAUUAUAUUAUGCUGUUGAAUCGUGUUUAAAAAAAUUAUAUUGUUGAUUCUAAUAAUGGCGAACCUAAAAACUGGACUUAAAACGUAGAUUUCAGAGUGGUGGUUCGAAGUACAAUACUUGAAAUAAAUAAUUAGUGCCUGAAUAUCAUUCGUAAACACAAAAAUGGUUAAAAAAUUGUUGGAUGUAAUUUGAAAAAAAAGAUUCGAAAUGAAUACAGCAACCUUACCAAUGGAGGAAAAAUAUUCAUUAGGUUAUCACACCAAGAUAUCUUCAAAUUCUUCAAUUUGCUGAAAGACUCUGAAGCAAGCUGGUGGUGCCAUAUUCUUCUCAAAUUAUCCAUCCACCAAAUAUGUAAUUCCUCCAACUUCGGAAGUCGUACCUGGCAGUUAAAGGUUAAAUAACUAAUUAAUCGGCAUAAUCUAUUGAUAACCAAAUUAGAGGCUGAUACUAACUAAAUUUGAAGACUCAAGGAAAAGACAAAUUAAAUAUUGUGGCUAAAAUUAAUUUAAAAAAAAAAAAAACCUUUUCGUCAAAGAGAGGUGGAGAUUGCAUUUCAGAAUGAAGGGUGUCUGCUGGUGAGCUCGUAGAGAUGAAUCUUAACAUAUUAUUGCAACCACCAAUCUCGAGGUUUAGUAAAGAAGGGAAUUCAACAACUAAAUCUGAAUGAAUAUGUCCCGUAUUGGCAAAGCUCGUUAGUUUUGGAAGCACACAAAGCCGUAAGGAGUGUAGUUUAGGAAAAACCUCUAACUCAAUCAACUUUCCUUCAUCUCUUCCUCCUAACCACCCUGUGGUGUCGACUACCCCUUCCAUCGACUUACAAGAUCUUAUCACAAGAUGUUGGAGUUGCAAAAGACUAUUAACCAUAGAAUAUGAAAACAGAUACUUCAGACGAUCACAACUUUCCACGGUCAUUUUUGUUAAAUUUCCACAAUAAGACACUCCCUGAAACUGUUCGGGCCAUAAUUUUUCAAUGGUUGUUAACCAUAUAAGUUUCAACUCCUCCAAGCGUGGAAAAAUAACCUGAAGCAAAACGGUACGCUUUUGUUCCGUCAAUUACAACUGUCUAAUAUAAUAAUCUUUUGAUGAUUGAAGAUCAAUCGUGAUAAUAUAUUAAUUUAUUAAUUAUAAAACAGAAAAUUAUCACCUUGUGAACAGAAUCAUCCUCUGCAAUGAUUUCUGUCAAUCCCUGAGUAGCUGUUGGCUUCUCCAUGUCGGGCCCUAUAAAUGAACAAAAACAAUCUAUAAUUAACCUCUGUCCUUUUUUUUUUAAAAAAAAGAGAAAAAAGAAUGAGCCAAUGUCAAUAAUCCUACCAAUAAUUAAUUUCAACACUUACCAAUAAUCAUUUUCAAAUCAUCGCAGUUUUCCACUUCUACUUUUUGAAGCCGCAAUAGGUUUUUGGCCAUGAAGAAUGAGAAGAGAUGCUUCAAUUUGUCACAAAAAAAUACUUUUAUAAUCCUUAAGUUGCUGAAAGAUUGAUCUUCUCUGAGUUGGCUGUAGCAUAUCGUUUCCAAAUUAGUUAAACCAAUAAGAUACAAUGUCUCCAGCAAGGGAAAGACUUUGCAACGAGCUCGUCCAAUUGAACCGACAAUAUGUAAAAUCUCAGGACAGCCUGCUACUAGAAGAUGCUCCAAUUGUGGAAAACCUUCCCCAUCGUCUAAUUCAUGAACAACACUCGGAACACCAUUCAAUGUUACUAGACGGAGAUCUUCAGUUCUUUUUAGCAACAUUUUCAUCCCAUAAUUCUCCAAAAGAAUGCUAACGUUUUCUAGCUCCUGGAGUUUCAUUGAUCUUGAUGUUUCAGAUGUCAAUUUUUCUAGCUCCGUGAUAACUAUGGAUGCUGAUGCUCUAGAUGUGGCGAAGGACACAAGUCCAUUUCGUUGCACUUUUCCUAUACAUAUCUGAUACCUUUGCAAUUCCACAGAGACCAAAUCCUGCGGCAGAAUUUCGGGAUCCGGAACAUCUAUCUCCAAAGUAGUUAGCUUUGACAACCCCUUCAACUCGACAAGACUGGCAUUACUUCCUCCUUCAACCUUAUCCCACUGUGAAAAGCUGCAACCCAUGUACAGUUCUUCUAGUCGAGAUAAUUUGGAUAUGAUGUUAGGAAAUUGGUGGGUGCAGCAGGACCGCAGCUAAAAUAAAAUUGGAAAUAAAAUAAAGAACAAGCACACUAGAGGACACAAGAAAAUUACGUGGUUCGGCUUUUAGCCUACGUCCACGGGCGAAGACAGAAGGAAAUAUUUUACUAGUGAAAAGGAGUUACAAGUAUUGUAGUAUUUUAGCUCACUUCCCAAAAUCCCAAUACACCCAAACUCUCAAAACACUAAACACUCAAGAGUUUAUUAAACUCUUAAAACUCUCAACACUCAAAGAAAGCAAUGCUUCUCUCUCGAUGGAAUUGGAUGAAAAUGAAUGAGGAAGCUCUUCCUUUUAUAGCCAAAAAAUGGCUAUUAAAUUAAUAUAUAUAUGUAUAUAUUUCAAAUGUAGUUACCAACUUCUUCUUUUUCUCCAUUUGGAUGGCACCAUUUUCUUUGGCCGGCUGCACCAUUUUCUUCUUUCAAAUGUCAAACCCUUCUAGAUGCAGCCAUGCCAAACACUUCUAGAUGCAGCCAACUUUGACAUAUGACAUUCGGUGUUAUCACCUCAAGCCUCCUACAAUUGCUCAAAUCCAGCAACUGUAACCGCGUCAAUUGUCCAAAUUCAAGUGGCAACCGCUCAAUAUCGGAACCUCGAAAGCUAAGAAUCUCUAAUUUCUUUAGCUGUCCAACUAUUACUAUAUCUUUUAGUCGGCAAUAUUCUAAACACAAUGUUUGAAGGUUAAUGAGGCGACCAAGUGAUGAAGGUAAUGAAGAGAAGUGAAUUCCAGUAAAAUUCAAAACUCUGAGUCCUUCCGUCCCAUCAAAAAAGUGGUCUGAAAUUGGCAUAGAGCCACCACCCUUUUCAAGCAACAAAAGUAACUCGAGACGGGGACAUUGCAACCUUUCAGGAAGCACUUGAAUACCUCUAUAAGGUAAAGAAAUAGCAAUUGGACCUUCCUGUACUGUCUCUUCCAUCUUUUUGUCCAAGUCGGCAACAUUUGGAAUAUUAAACAUGAGCUCCUCUUUUGCAAUUGAUACGGCAACUACACGAAUGACGUCAUGCAUUUUGACUUCAUCUUCAGCAUCACCGUCCAACAAUAAGCAUGAAGAUUUGAGUUUGCUGAUCAACGUAUGCACUGUACUCCUUGCUUCUUCCGGUGUGUAAACGUUUCUAAAAUAGCCCAUACCCAUACCAUAUCUCAAUAAAGAAGAAACUGGUAUAGCAUGACCUUCACUAAAUAGACCACAAAGAAGGAACAGAGAUUUUGCUUCCUUAUUUCCCAGUAAGUCGUAACUCAAUUUCAAGGAGAGGUACACAUUUUUUUCCAUUCCAUCAAUUUCUUUUGCAUAGGAACUUCUUAGCUGACGCAGCACAUAUUUCCAAGUCUCAAGGCUCAUAUUUUUCAAAGCUUUUGCAAGUGUAAUCAGUGCAACCGGCAGUUCUCCGCAUCUUCCGACGAUCUCAUGUGCUAUAGGUUGAAAAGCAGAUGUUUUCAUUGAAUCACCCACUAUCUUCUGAAAUAAAUACAAUGCUUCUUCUUUUGAUAAAGCAUCGAUCUGGAUCUCUUUCUGAGAAUUCAUAACAUUGUGCAAUAAAUCUUGACGUCUAGACGUCAGUAUUAUUGUGCAUCGUCGCUGAUCAUCCAUUCUUUCUUUCUUAACAUCCCCGGAAGGAAUUCCAACUUCAUCGAACUUCAGUUCUCCCCAAAUAUUAUCCAAUAUAAUGAGAUGCCGCUCCUCGUUCUUCAAAACUCGACAUAGUCGAUUUGCUCUGUCGAAUAUACUCUCAUUCAACUCAAACUUUAUGCCUAAAUCAGAAGCAAGUUUGUCUUGAAUUUUCUGAUGAUCUGGGUUCUCUGUUACCUCAGCCAUAGCGACCUUAUCGAACAACUUAUCUUCCGUCACUUGCUUUGCAACUUGCUUGACGAGCGUGGUUUUACCCACUCCGCCCAUCCCGUAGACCCCAAUUAUGUUGAGCUUAUCAUCCUUCAACGCCUCCAAAACAUCUUGAAAUACUUUCUUUCUUGAGUCAAAGGCCUCGUAAUCUUUCACUUGCAUAUAUUCUGUACUCUUUGGAGCAGGACGAUAGGAAACACUAGAGAAGUUGCCUUUUCCCACGAGAUCAGCAGCAUCUUUUGCGGCCUUUGCUGCUUUUUUACUGAGUUUGUAACGAGACAACAAAUUUGGGCACAAUCCUUUGAAGCAAUACUUCUUGGCUCCAUUUUCAUCAUCAAUAAUGGAGUUUGCAACCCCUUCACUGAUGAAUUCAUCAACGCUAUGUAGCCAAUCUGCGACACCCUCAUAAAGCUCAUCCCCUUGUAGCCUAGCAUGAUUAACUGGUUGCUGCACCAUUUCUCUUUUACAUCCCAGCUGCAUUACUUGAUCUUUUAGCUCAUCUACGUAGCUCUGGUACUUGAACACAUAAGAUAUCUGCCGUAUAAUCGGUUUGAACAGUGACUUUGCACCUUCUGAUACGAUGCUUGAAAAACCACCGAGACAGAAUUCUACAGCCAUUGCCUGUUGCUUAACGAUGUAUGUGUAGUUUUUGGCUGUUAAAAAAAACAAAAAUUGGAUUCAAAUAAAUUAAAUGAACUAGAGGGGAAGAAAAAGAAAGAAACGACAACAAACAACUUUUUAGAGAAAGGUUGAUAUUGUUACAGAACACAUGUUCAUUUUUAACAAAUUGAUCAAUAACUCUAUUCGCUAUUUAAUUGAUAUUGUAACCAAUUUUAAGAGAAUAUAAUAAUAAUCCUUCGAUGCAUAAAUUUAGAAUUAGAUUUUUUAACUUUUUAUUUAAAUAUAAAUCUCAAUGGAAAAUUAUAAAAAUUUAGAGAUAAAAUUUUUCAAUCACCAAACGGAAAAACAGGGGAAUGAAAACAGAGGAAUCUUGUUUUACCUUUUUUUUUUUUUAACCUUCACUCUUGUUCUUAUAUAAAUAAUCUUGUUCUGAUGAUAGUGCUCGUGACUGCAGGAAAAUUUCUAGUGGAAACAACUCAAUUUCAGAAGAAUUUAUUCAAUUGACUCUGUACUUGAACUCGUUGGAUUGGUUGAUUUAUGAUUGACUGAAUUUAUUCAAUUCGGCCUAAAAGAUCUUUAACCAAAGUUUAAUAGCUAUCAUCUACUCCUUAAAAAAAAAUAUGUAUCUUUUUUAGAUUUGACUGAAUUUGAACUUGCUGGAUUGGUUUUUUUUAGAUUAUUAAAAUGGGGCACUGCAAAGUAAGUAUUCUAAAAUCUGUAUGUUGCUUUAGAAAAAGGGCUUUUCCCACUGAUCUUUAUUCUUCAAGUAAACUUAGAUACAAAGUAAAUCUAAAAAAAUGACAAACAAACAAUGAAAUAAACGACAACAAACUGGCAAUUUUGACACAAAGCCAACAAUUAAAAUUUAGGACAUUUUUUUUUCUUGCUUUCUUUUUUUGGAGGAUUAGAGAUUUUGGUAUUACCAGAAAGGUUUCAAGGGUCUGAGUUUCAAGGGUCUGAGUAGAAACCUAUAAUCUUUUGAAAAACUUUGUUUUUUUUUAAAAAAAAAUUUGGGGAAAGGAUGCAAAUUAACCAAAGGAAAUAAUAAGAGCACAGGCUUUAACAAUGAACAAUAACUUAAAACUCAUGCAAAAUAAAUUCAAUAUUAAAGCAAACCAGAGAAAUUUUUUUCUUGAAAAGUAGAUGGAAAUUAUGAAAGAACAGAUGUCAAGAUCAAGGAUCAGGGAUUCUACUACCCAAAAAAAAAAAAAAAAAAUUAAAGGAUUUGGAAAAUGUGCACCUAGAGUUGGUGAGCUUCUCUCUAUUCACUUGAAUAUUUAAGAACAGCUGGGGAAUGUGUGAGAAAAGAGUUGACGAGAGAAAUAACAAUGACUUGCAGAAGAAAAACCAUUAAUCAAGCACACCUUUUUAUAUCCUGUAUUUGGUUAUUGUUGCCCUCUUGACGCAUGUAGAGAAUAAUUAUGUGCAUUUUUGUUUUUAAUCCGCAUGCACUUUAAUGAUUAGUGCUCCUUUCAUAAAGCAGAUACCGGAAACACACAAAUAUCAUUUGAGAGAGAAACUAAACAGCAAAUCAUCAAAGUAAGAUCAAUAAUAUAUGAUUUGGUUAAUGCAUAUUCAAGAACAAAAACAAAAAUAAAUAAAUAAAGAAGGUUUGAUUUUGUUUUGCCAACGCUGCUUUUUUGUUAUUUCUCACUCAUCUUCAAUCCUCAAGUAAAAUUAGGUAAAAAGCAAAUAUAAUAAAAAAACAAACAAAUUAACAAAAAAAGAAAAAAAAACAUUGAUCUUGAGACAACUGAUACUUAAACAGAGAAUUCUUUAUUCUUUUUUACUUCCCCUCCCCCCCCCCCCCCCCCGGGCUCGAGGAUUAGUUUUUGCUAUUAACAGAGAGGUUUUAAGAGUCUGAAUAAAACCAGCGCUUUUUUUAAAAACCUCUUUUUUUUCUUUUUUCUUUUUUGGGAAGAUAGAUUCAAAUUAACCAAAGCUAGUAAUAAGAACACAGACCUUACAAAUGAACAAUAACUUACAACUCAAGCAACAUAAAUGAUAAGAUUAAAACAAACCGGAGAAAUUUUUCUUGGAAAAUAGACGGAAAUUAAGUAAGAACUGCUGUUAAAAGAAAUUAUUAGAGGAUUUAGGAGAAUGUGUACCUCUUUAAUUAUUUGGGAUCAGAGAGUUGAUGAGCUCUCUAUUCGCCUUGAAUAUUGAGUAAGAACUGGUAUUAAAAGAAAUUAUUAAGAACAAUAUUUUAGUGAGCAAAAUAUCACUGUUAACUGCAGAGGAAUUUUGUGAGUAAAAUGCUGAAAGAGCAGUAACAAUGAAUUGCAAAAGAAGAAGACUUAACCAAGCACCCCUUCUAUACCCGAUUUUUAAGAUUUAAUUUUGAAGUUCAGAAUCAAGAACAAAGACGAAGCUUUAAUAAAGCAUGCAGUGAGAUACAAGAAAUGGAUCGGGCAAAAUACCUUACGAAGCGUUUCAUAUUUUCUAAUGAAAUAAUUUAGUUGAAGUUUUCGACGAAUAAAUACCUGUUGUGCUUGAAUAAUUUUGGCAUAUACAUUACUUGUAUCCGGCGAAAUUGAAAAGCACACUCAUUUACAGAGCUUGUUAGUGGGGAAAAGCUUCGUAAGAUGCCUGAUAAAAGAUAAAGCAAAAGCUUGAAUGAAGAAUGACAUUUUAGAAAGAAACUAAAGUGCAAUCAUCAAAGUAGGAUCAAUAGUGAGUUGAUCAGUUAUGCUUUUUGUUAUUUCAAUUGUCCUGUCCACAAAUGAUGCUUCGUUAUUACUAAUUCCACAUGGACAUUAUUUAGAAACUGUUCUUAUGUUUAACAGAAAAAUGAAAACUCGUCAUCAUACAAAACUGCGUGAACAAAUCUUCAAUUUGAUUAUUAUAAAAUAAAGAAGUUUCAUUACUAGAUUAUGCGGACGUUAAUGUUAGAGAUUUCAUCAGAUUAUCAUAUAAUUUACCAAACGCUUUGAGAAGAACAUGAAUUAAUUAGUUAAAAAUUUAAAAAUAAAAUAAAUAAAGAGUACAUGCAAAUAUUGUUGCUUCCAAUCACCAAAGUGAAAAACAGGGGAAUGAUAACAGACGAGUCCCUGAUUAUCCUCUCUCUCUCUUUUUUCAAUCUCUCUUUAUGUUAUGAUUGAAUAAUUGUAUAGAAAGUGUGACGGUUGCUGCAGCAUUAUGAAGUCAAAAUUGAGAACGACAUUAAAUAAUCAAUCUCUUUAUGUAUAUACUCGAAUGUCUGAUAGUGUUCAGACUUGGAUUUUCUAUAAACACAGAUUCGAAAUCCAAAUAAUUGAAUAAUUGUGUGCGUUCAAAUUCAGCAUUUAAUUUCUAUAUAAUUGGACAUAAAUGCGUAUUUUUUAUUUAGCCCAUUUCGGUCCAUGUUCAAAUAAACAUAUUUCUGUGGAUGAUAAUAUCAGGACCUCUGAUGCUUUUUUUUUUAUCAGAAAUUUUAUUUUUAACUCUUCGUUAUUUAGAUAUAAAUUUUUGCAGUCACCAAAUAGAAAAACAGGGGAAUGAAAACAGAAGAGCCGUGUCCUAAAUCAGGAGUAGGUGUUUUGCCUAAAAGUACCACUUUCCUAGCAAAUCUAGUGGGUUUACUGAAUAAAAUUUUUAAUUAUUCUGUUUGAUCUUUCUCUCUUUAUCCUAAGCAUUCUUGGUUGGGAUCGCUGCAUUGUCCUGUAAUCCGUGUGCCUUAGUGAAAAGAGUAAUGGGUAACUGUAGUUAUGGGUACUUGAGAGCUCACGAUGAGGGUAGCUUGGUAAUGGGACUAUCCAUAUCUGAGCAUCAGAGCUUGACAUCUUUGAUAAAUACAUAUGCUUACUGGUACUGUUUUUGCAUAUGUCUUUCACAAAAUCUUUGUAUAGGCUUACAUAGAGAAGAAGAUUCACCAAUAAAGUGUUGGCUCCACUGGCAAUGAAGUCCCUUAAGUGGCUUGACUGGGUUUGCUCCUCAGUUCUAGUCUGGGUUGUGGUACGGGCUUAAAGGUGCCUCCCACAGUUGGGGCCUUCCCCAGGAUACCUCGUGGUCAAAACAAAAAAAAAAUAGAGAAGAAGAUUCGGAUAACUUUCAAAAUCUGAAUCCGCCUGAUGGACGGACUUGACCACACAGCCCCGUGACAAGGAAGUCCAAGCAACUAACCUAAACCGUUCUCCUUUAGUCCUUUAUUAGGUUGUUCAAAAUGAAAUUAUACUGAGGAGCACCCCCCCCCCCCCCCAAAAAAAAGUUCUUUUAUAUAUUUUUCUUGGAAUUUUAGGCAAAAGAAAAAAAAACUGAGAACGAUUUCAAGCGAACAAGUGGAUAAUAACUAAAAUACUUAUUUUUAUAUAUUUGAUAUAUGCGCUCACUAUUAAUAGAACUUAUUAGAUACUACAACUUAAAUAACUUCCAGUGGUUGAUUGAGGGUAUGUUUGGGAUUUCCUUUACUUUCCAAGAAUUAAUUUCUACCUUGAUUCUGAACAAAAAAAUAAUUUUACAAAUAAUUUAUUAGGGUGUUUGGUAAAUGAUGAUUAUUUGACAAUCAAUUUUUAAAUGGUUUACUAUACAAAUCUGGUAAAUGAAAAUUAAAAGUGUAAAAUGUUCAUGUACAAUGACAAAAAUGUACUUGUUUACUUUUUUGUAAUUUAUUUAGAAUAUUAUUAUUUAAAUCUUUUUUAUUUACAACAUUUUUAAGAGCAUAUUCUAUUUUCUUUAUUACAUAUUUAAAUAAUUUUUUAUUAACUAUUUUAAUUUGCAAUAAAAUUAACUUGAAUAUUUUUUUAACUAAAAAAAUUGUUAUCUAGUUCGUGAUAUAACAAAUACUAACAUAUCAUCAAAUUGAUUAAUAAAUUAAGUGCAAAAAAGAAAAUGCAAAAAUUUAAUCUUUAUAGCUCAUAGAAAUAUAAUAUUAUAUACAUGUGUGUAAAAAACAACAUAUGACCAUAAUAUUAUCCACUCAUUAAACUUGCUGCACUAUUAUUUCUCAAUCUCUCCAUCUCUCGACCUUCAAGAACAUUACUACCAUAAUCUUCUUCUUGAAUUCAACCUCCAUUUCCUCAUCAUCAACAAUGCGACCAAUUUGCCUUGAUAGCCUUUCAACUCCUCCCACUUUCCUCCCUUUUGCAGACACUCUUUUUCUUUUUCUUUUUCUGUCUUUAAUAGCUUCAAUGGGAACAACCUCAUCUGACGACAAGUCCAUUCUUCAACUAGGACAGAGUUGGUAGUAGAUAUUCUAGUACUCUCAAACGAUGCCCAAACGGGGUCACCAGUGAUUGUUGUAUUAAAAGACAUUCUAUUUAAUUUUCCUCUGACUCUUGGUCGAUACCUUUUGUACAAAAUCUAUUUACUUCAGGAAUUUUAUACAUAUGUCGAUAUCAUAUUAAAGUGAAUUCAGAUCCUAUAUUAUUGACAUUAAAAUUUAGCCGAAUAGUAAAAAAUUUCCCUUUUUGUUUGUCACACAACUAUAUAGUCCCAUUUUUGGUUAUAAGCUCACGAUAUGCAAGGGAAAUGAAGAUCUAUUAAAAACUUCCCCAUAAUAUUAAACAUUAAACAAUAUCAACAUUUUGUGCAUAUGGUGCCUCGUCAACAAUUUGAUGUUCAUUUUGUUGCUCGGAGGAAUAUGACUACCUAUUAAUUAAUUAGCAAGAAUUGCGUUGCGAGUCCAUGUUUUUUGUCGUUUGGAUGGAGGAUGUGCUAUCUUUUUAUUGUAGAUGCUUUGUAAGGCUUUUGAUUUAAUGAUUGAAUGCAGUCAAUUAACAAAAGCUUACAUACAGUAUUAUGUAGUUGCUGAGAUGUCUAUUCUUGAUAAAGUCGAUUUAUUUACACCCAAGCCAACGGAAUCAAAGCCUUUUCGUUAAUAAUAUACACGGUAAUUGUUUUUGUUAAAUUGAUUUCUGGCUAACAAGAUCUUUGAAAGCAUUUAUUAAAGAAACCACUGACUCAUAAGAAAGCCAUGAUUAAAUACACAGCCAAGCAUGUGAGCUCGUUUUUCAAUCUCUUUGAUCACUCAUAAGCUUCUCUAUACCACUCACUGUAUCAUCCUUUUAAGUCAAUUUUGACUGAUCAUCAGAGAUCAUGCACCCCACCUUGAGAUGAUUGAUCACCAAUUUGGCAUUGUAACGUUGAUCACCUCUAAUUGGCCAUGCUAAAAUUGGGACCUCACAGCCAAUUGCUUCUACAGUUGAAUUUUAUCCACAGUGAGAUAAAAAUCCACCUAUUAAUUGAUAACUCAGUAUCAAUAAUUGUGGCACCAUUCCAUCUAUUAUCAAACCCUUUUUACCGACUCUACUAUCUAAACCACUACAAAAAUAAGCUGGUUAAAUGACGUGGAGGAUCCAAUCUAUUUACAUCAGUUUGAAUUACCUAAAUAAUCGGUGGAUUUGAUGCUUCUAAAUCAUUGGCUAAUGUUGAAUAAUCAUUUAAGGUGGGACCCAUUUCGGUACCAAAUGACAUGUAUAACACGGAUCCACAUGAUUUCAAAUCUAACCAUUGAAUGAUCUCAUCUUCGGUCAUGUUAGAACUUCGCCGGUUGGUUCUCAUCUCACAAUCACGAAGCACUGAACCAGCCGAUUUGUAAAAUUGUUCAGGUAACAAUUGGCCCACUCCCCACACUGGCAUCAACACCAUCGAUCCCUCCACUUGCUUCAUCCAGUGUGGUUGAUCACUCGGUUCUGAUGGGCCUAUUUAUUCUGAACCGGGUGCACCUCACAAAGGUUGUGGACCACCAGGAAGGGACCCGUGAGGCCUGCGUUUAAGAUCCGAUUCGAAUAAAGCAAUAUCCUUGGGUAACCCAAGAAGUAAACGGGCCUCUCCCGGUUUGACAUCCUGGAUGCGAGCCUGCCACAUGGCACACUCCACAGCUGCUGAGCAAGCAUCAGAAGUGAAGAACCCAACAAUGGGAACUUCAAAAUUCUUGAAAACAUCAGCCGUCCAGCCCAUCAUAACGCCGAUGACUACGCAAACAGGUCGGCUUUCGGGUUCCGGGUUGAAAGGAGGUUUCGAAGGCCUUGAAGCAUUUGGCUGUGCAUGACAACAUGGUGGUGAGAAGGAGGUGAUGGUAGUGGUUGAGAUGGGGAGGGUAUUUCGGUAAUUUCAAAUAGAGCGUAUUGGUGAAGAGAGGAAGGGGUGAUGCUGGUGGUAGAAACGUGAGAGGGAAUAAUGAGGGUAGAUUUGUAACAACGAGAAGUGAUUUGCUUGCAUAAUUCAAUGCAUGGAAACAGAUGUCCCUGACCGAAGAAUGGGACAAUCCAAAUCUCAGCCUCAGCAGCAUUCGCAACAGAGCUUGACAUCUUUUAUGAAUUAUUUGAGACUUAAUUGUUAUUGACUGCUUUUGCCAUCUUUCAUAAAACAUUCUUUGUUAUAUAUAAAGAGAUGACUUGAUGGAGAAGCAAGUGUUUUACUUUUAUAGUUUUACUAGUAGUUGAGCUCUGAUUUUGAUAAUUUGAUUGUUAGUUUUAGUUGGUUAGUUAUGAGAAAGCAUCUUUCACAAAAUUCAUUCCAGUUUCAACUAAAAUUAACAAUACUGUUCAAAUUAAUUACUGGAUCAACAAAUAGUCAUAGGCAAAUCUAUCCCUAGCGCUAGAUCUUGAACAUAAUUAUUAUCAUAAUCUCCCCUUCCCCCACCCCCCACCCCCAAAAAAAAAUUUACUAAAUAUCUUUUGUUAUAUAAUGAACAAGAUAAGUUGACGGAGAAGGGUUCUACUUUUACUAGUAAAUGAGCUUUGAGUAGUUAAGAAGGUUAGUUUUAGUUAGUUAAAUAUCUACCAUCCGAAUCAAAGUUCCUUAGACUAUUAUUCAAGUGAGAUGCUUGAGUAACAUAUACUUGUGUUAGUUGGUGCCUAACAAUUCGUGUGAUACAUGAAACCAACCACUAUGAAAUCCAAAUGAAGCUGGUAGGAUUAGAUUAAUUUAAAUGAAAAUAAAAAUUUGUUUAUGCUAUUUAUUAAUCUUAUAAUGUUGAAACUUGAAAGUUAAUUCUUCAACCUGUCAAUUGGUUCAUGACAUGGUUUAAUAUUCAAGUAAAUAAAUUUAUCGUUUAAAAUUAAUUUUUCAUGUGGUAAAAGCAAUACAAAAUAUGGGGUGGAGAGAAUAAUUUGUAGGGUAUACCCCCACCAUUUAUUUAAUUUCAUUAAAAAAAAAGAAAAGAAAUAAAGGCUUGUUCAACAUUCAAUUAAAAUUAACAAUUCCAUGAUAAAAUUACUUGAGAAUAAAAAUUAAAAAAAAAAAAGUAACACAAAAACGAGGAAUUUUUGAGUAACUGAAGAACCAUAGAUGUUUUUUGGUCAUGAGCAAUUUUUGAGUUGAGACAGAACUUGUAUAAAAAAAUAGUUUUGAAUAACUUCUUUUCUUUUUUCAUAAAUAUAGAUAUAAAAUUUUAAAGUCACCAAACACAAAACCAGGAAAAUGGAAAGGAAGCCCCUGUUUCUCCUCUGUUGCAAGAACAAAUUCGGUUUCUACAGGAGUACCUUCUAAAUGCACCAUUUGUAUUGCUUUGUUUCCACGUAAGCUAACGGAAUUUUUAAUGAAAUUAAAUAAAUACAAUCUCACUGACCGAAAAGUUCUGUAGCUGUUUCAAUUCAAUUGCAUACAUUGACGAAACAUUAAAUACGGAAAAAACAAAAAAGAAGUAAUAGGACAUGGGGAUUUCGAGAACUUCUAAAGAGAGAAAUCUAUUUAUAAGCAUUGAAAAUUAGCUCAUUAAAUUUGACAGAAUAAUAUACAAUCUCACUGUUGGCCAGAAAAUAAUAGUAAGAACUUGUGAACAUAUAUAAUCAAUUGUUUAUUACUUAAGCUCUUUUUCUUCGUUAUUUUGAAUGGGUGCAAAGAAGAGAAGUUUUGUACCCAAAUUCCAACUCGAAUUGUGUAGGCUGCUUGCAAGAGCUUCAUUAGAUUUUUAUUUGUCUUUUAAUAGUGCUACUCGAUAAAUACAGCUAGCUACCUGUCUUUUUUGUUACUGGACUAUAGAUCAAUUGACAGUUGAAGUUAUAUUAAUUUGUUGUACUGGAAUUGAAGCUUGUAUCUUAGCCAUUUCGUGAAGUGUCAAAUAUAUUUUUAAUUUCCUUAAAAUUGUUCAAAAUAUGUUUACACUUUUAAAGUCACUAUUAUACAUGAGUGCCCUAAAAUAGGAGAAGGCGAUUUGCCUGACAUUACCUGUUUCCUGUCAAAUCUAGCAGGUUUACUGAUUAGAUUUUAACAAGUCUCUUGGCAAAGUUUGCUAGAAAUGGAAUCAAAUUAUUCUAUUUAAUCUUACUGUCCAUACCCUAAUAGUUCUUGAUUUGCAUCACUGCAUCGUUCUAUAAUCUGUGUGCGUUGGCUUAUAAAGGCUAGCAAGGCUGACCAUUCGUAGCAUAGUUUUUUUUUUUUUUUUUUUCCACAAUGAAACUCCUAUUGAUUUGACUCAGUAUUUAGAGGCGUUAACGAGGGCACUAUACUAGACAUGGAUUUCUACCGCUUUUGGUUGUACAAUUGUUGUAAUCCUUGGCCAUCAAAUCAUUUUUACGUAGCUUUCUCAGAGUUCAUGCCAAGUGUACAUUAAUGUUUUUAUGUUUUGGAUGCAAGUGGGAUUCUAGUUCUCUAUGGCAGUUGAAGAGGUAAAUGGGCAUGGAGCUAUGCUCUAUCAUAGGCUUCGGCCGCUACAAGAAAUUUGAUUUCUUAAGACGAUAUUUUUUACAACUUUAAAUUUGGUCACAAAAUUGUAUUUAUUGUGACAAAUUUUUAAAAUCGUAGUUAAUAAUCUUGUCGUAACUUAUAUUGUUUUUUGUAACCAAUUGUUUUUAUUUUGAGACUUGUUCAUUGGUCAUUAAUUAAAUUUUUUUAUGACAAAAAUUAUUUUAGUCACCAAAAGAUAUAUUUUUUUGGCGCAAAAUCUUCCCUCCAAAAGUGAUUAUUUUGAGACAAUAUUUCACUAUUUAUGACAAAAUAAAUAGUCACGAAAUAUAAUGAUAGGCGACCAAAUUAUUUGGUAACUAAAAGAAGGGUGUAAAAUUGACUAAACAAUCUAUGACACAAAAUAUUAGUAGCCAAAAUUAUUGUUCUUUUGGCUAAUUUUAAGACCAUUUUUUUUUGUCAUAUAUAAUUACCUACCAUGACAAAAUUUAAAAAUAGUUGUUGAAUGUUUUGUCUUGAAUAAUUUUAUAUUUGAUAACCAAUUUUUUUUUUUCUUUUUGAGACAUAUUACUUGGUCCCUAUUUCAACUUCUUUUUGACGAACUUUAUAAUAGUCACAAAAGACUUUUUUUAUUUUUGGCAUAAAAAGUCUGUCCAAAGUUAGCUCUUUUGGGACAAUAUAUAAUCUUUUAUGACAAAAUAUAUAGUGGCGAAAUAUAAUUAUUUUUUACAAAGUUAUUUCGUAACUGAAAAAGAGGUGUAAAUAUAGUUAACCUAUUUGUGACAUAAAAUAUUAGUCUCCAAAACUAUUAUGUUUUUAGCCAAUUUUAAGACCCUAUUUUGUUGUCAUGGAUAAUUACCUAUUUUCAAAAAACUAAGAGAUAGCAAUCAAAAGUUUGUCUUGAUUGACAUUGUAUUUUAUGAGCAAAAUAUUUUGUUUCAGUGACACUUUACUUGGUCUUUGAUUAGACUUGUUUGUGAUGAUCAAUAGAAUUAUAUAAUAACCACUAAAUUUUUUUGGGUUAAAUUUUUAUAGAUACUAUUAAUUAAGUUGUUGACGAAAAUGAUCGAACUAAUACUAAUAUGGGAUACCAUCAAUAGCCGUAAUACUUAUGAAGCGAGAAAUUAUAAUAUGUAGUGAUUUAUUUAGAAUUAUUUUGACUACUUUAUUGAUUUCCAAAACAUAAAAUUCUCAACCCAAAAUUCCCCGCAUUGUGUUUUAUUUUGUCUCCUCACUCAGUUACUCUUUUAGCUAAAGUUGCUUUGGAAAAGUUGGAAUCUUUUGUUUGGGUGGAAAAUUUCCCACCAGAGAUUAGACAUGUAUUCACCUAGUUGAAGUAAUGAAAGUUUUACUUUCCCAUAAAAAAAAAAACUCACGGCUUGACAAAAAAAAGGAAAAAAAUUCUCACAGCUUGAUGGUCUCCUCUCUUUAAAAAUAAAAAUCCCUAGUUACUCUGCUCAAACUCGUUAAUAUUUGUUUCCACCACCUAAGCAGCCACUAGUAUCUUUUUUUUUCGCAAUUCACUUUUGCUGUGUUUCGUGGUUUGGAUGGAGAUCAUGACAAUAAUUGAACGAUGGUGAUAAAUAUCAAAGAAGGAGCUUACAUGCCCUAUAUAUCUCUCUUUGGAUGAAUAACGAAGGUGAACUUUCAAAGUACAGAGAUUUACAUGUUUUAAUUGUCAUUUACAUUGCUGCAUGCCCAUUGCUUGAUAAAAUACCGCAACAAACACGCAUUCUCGAUUUUCUCAUAAAUUUAUUUUCUUAGUCUGAAAAAAAAAUUGAAUGUUCAGAGAAUUUUGAAGGUUUUGGUGUAUGCAUUAAUAUUUUGAUUCUAUUUAUGUUGUUUAACUAAUGAAGAUGAUACAUCUAGCCUCUUUUUGCCCCUUGUUGUUUUUAUUCUUGUGCUUUAUAUACGGUUCAAGUGUGAUACACUUUAGUUUUUCUCAAGUGUUUGUUAGUAUUUCCCCAAGCAAAAUUUGUCACAGACUUUGAGUUCAAAAGUUGAAAUCAUAACUAACAUACUUCGAUUUUUUAUUUUCCUUUUUUCUUCGGGGUCCCAUAUAUCUUUCUAUAUGGCAUUGCUUGAGAAAUUGGUGUACUUAGAUCGUAAUAUUCUGUAGAAAUAAGCUAAUAUUUCAUUAGGUACAUUGUUUAAUAUGAUAAGUACUGUAUGGAAGUUUUACAGAUAAGCUCCUUGUAUAUUAUGCAUUAUGUUUUUAUCAUAUUGUUGCUUGGAACUUUGAAGGAUUGGCCACAGGGCUUUAGUCCUACAAGGACAUUUUAUAUUGGGAAAUUAUCAUUCGUAUACCCUAUAGAUGCUCUGUUAUAAAAAAUACUACAACACUUUGAGGGUGUAUCAAUCGUCCACAUUAAGUUGACAAAAUGUAUCUGUUGUCCACCAAACCGUUACUUGCCGUUUAAAUAGGAUAACGACAGAGGGGUAAUUUGGUCUUUUCAUAUGAUACAAGUGAUAAUUUAAGGGUAUACAAGUGAUACUUUUCAAGGGUAAAAUUGUCAAUUCGCUAUAAUUCCGUUAACUUUCAAACGGUAGCUAACGGUUUGAUGGUUGGUAGAUAGCUUUUGUCAAUUUGGGGUGGACGAUUGAUACACCCUCAAAGUGUUGAAGAACUUUUUAUAACAGAGCUUCCUACANNNNNNNNNNNNNNNNNNNNNNNNNNNNNNNNNNNNNNNNNNNNNNNNNNNNNNNNNNNNNNNNNNNNNNNNNNNNNNNNNNNNNNNNNNNNNNNNNNNNNNNNNNNNNNNNNNNNNNNNNNNNNNNNNNNNNNNNNNNNNNNNNNNNNNNNNNNNNNNNNNNNNNNNNNNNNNNNNNNNNNNNNNNNNNNNNNNNNNNNNNNNNNNNNNNNNNNNNNNNNNNNNNNNNNNNNNNNNNNNNNNNNNNNNNNNNNNNNNNNNNNNNNNNNNNNNNNNNNNNNNNNNNNNNNNNNNNNNNNNNNNNNNNNNNNNNNNNNNNNNNNNNNNNNNNNNNNNNNNNNNNNNNNNNNNNNNNNNNNNNNNNNNNNNNNNNNNNNNNNNNNNNNNNNNNNNNNNNNNNNNNNNNNNNNNNNNNNNNNNNNNNNNNNNNNNNNNNNNNNNNNNNNNNNNNNNNNNNNNNNNNNNNNNNNNNNNNNNNNNNNNNNNNNNNNNNNNNNNNNNNNNNNNNNNNNNNNNNNNNNNNNNNNNNNNNNNNNNNNNNNNNNNNNNNNNNNNNNNNNNNNNNNNNNNNNNNNNNNNNNNNNNNNNNNNNNNNNNNNNNNNNNNNNNNNNNNNNNNNNNNNNNNNNNNNNNNNNNNNNNNNNNNNNNNNNNNNNNNNNNNNNNNNNNNNNNNNNNNNNNNNNNNNNNNNNNNNNNNNNNNNNNNNNNNNNNNNNNNNNNNNNNNNNNNNNNNNNNNNNNNNNNNNNNNNNNNNNNNNNNNNNNNNNNNNNNNNNNNNNNNNNNNNNNNNNNNNNNNNNNNNNNNNNNNNNNNNNNNNNNNNNNNNNNNNNNNNNNNNNNNNNNNNNNNNNNNNNNNNNNNNNNNNNNNNNNNNNNNNNNNNNNNNNNNNNNNNNNNNNNNNNNNNNNNNNNNNNNNNNNNNNNNNNNNNNNNNNNNNNNNNNNNNNNNNNNNNNNNNNNNNNNNNNNNNNNNNNNNNNNNNNNNNNNNNNNNNNNNNNNNNNNNNNNNNNNNNNNNNNNNNNNNNNNNNNNNNNNNNNNNNNNNNNNNNNNNNNNNNNNNNNNNNNNNNNNNNNNNNNNNNNNNNNNNNNNNNNNNNNNNNNNNNNNNNNNNNNNNNNNNNNNNNNNNNNNNNNNNNNNNNNNNNNNNNNNNNNNNNNNNNNNNNNNNNNNNNNNNNNNNNGAGGAUGAAAUUUGCAAAAACCUUGUUCAUAGCUAUGGUAAUUAAGCAAAUUGAGUCUUCUUUUUUUGUUGUUUUUUAUUCACUUUUUCCUGUCCUUAAAACAAAUAAUGAGUUUUCUUGUUUUUAAUAUUUCUUAUAAACUUUAUGUUGUUUGGUAUAAAAUUAGGUAAUUGGAAAGGUCUCAUGUUGGAUGAAAUUAUCAAUUAUGUGCAGUCCCUACAGAAUCAAGUGGAGGUAACAUUGCUACUAAAAAACCUUAUUAACAUAGUUAUAAUGAAUUAAUCUUCUUUAAUAUAUUGCAAUAUUUUUUACUAUUUCUAGGUCUUUCUAUGUUGGUUUUGGAUCAUUGUAGUUGCUGAUUGUGAUUUAUUGCCGCCUAUGGUUGCUGACUUUUGUUUACUGCAGCUACUUUAUUAAAGCAAUUUUGGAUAUUGAAGUUUAUGGCCAACUUUUAUUAGAUACUUCUGACCUUUAUCGAUAUAUUUUCUGAACCUUUACACUUAAGAUGUGUGUGUGUUUUUUUUAAGUAAUUUAAUCCUUACUAACAUUUUCUAACAAAAUCAAUUACAGAAAUGAUUAGGAAAAAACAAGCAAAAUCAUUGUAAAGUGUCUUCUGCGCACCGUGGUUGCUCAAGUCUCAUGUGCAACAUGUGAAUGAAAUAGUACUUGAAAUAAUAGAGACUUUGUUUUAUGACUCUUAUAUUUACAUUUCUUUGCAAGGAACCAUACUUAAUUGUACCUAAUAGAAGAGAUAUCUUUUCACUAUAUAGUCUUAGUAUAAAAAGAUACCUCUUCUAUAAGGCACAAUUAACGGGACAUGUCUUUAUACUAAGACAUCAUUCAUAUUUAUCACACAAUAAUAGAAACUGCAACGGUAGCUGGAAUAUUAUGAAGUCAAAAUUGAGAACGACAUUAAAUCAUGAAUUCUUUAUGUGUUUACUCUAAUGCCUGACGGUAUUUAGUUCAAUUAACACAGAUUCGAAAUCCAAAUGAUUGAAGAGUUGUAUGGGUUCAAGUUCAGUAUUUAAUUACUAUAUAAUUAUACAUAAAUGUGGAUUUUGCAAUCUUGAACCCAUUUAAUUACUAAAAAAGGAUGACGAAUAGAAUUGGUGGAAAUUGACCACAAUCAUCUCUCUCUCUCGGCUUGCUCAAAUUUGGCCGAUCUGUGCGCUUGCUUAAGCUUGGCCGAUCUAUGCUUGCUCGAUUACUCUUCCUAUAUUCAGUCAGAGUCAACUGUUUGACAAGAGUCGAAGUCCAAGGUUCUUUUUUACAGGAUUUGAGCUACUUCUUUUAUUCUUCUUGCAUGUUCACUGAUAGCGGGUGGAAUUUGAGAUGUUCACUGAAGCUUUGAUGUGGUGUUCUGAUAGCGGGUGGAAUUUGAGAUUCUCCUUUCUUCUCUAUAUGAAGGUGCUUGUCAUGUGUCAAGAAAAAUAAAAUUAUUUACAAAAGAUUAUUUUAAGGAGAUUUAUUAUUAUUCGUGGAUCAGGAAGCUCAAAAAGUUUUCUUAUGUAGAACAUAAAAUGAUUUAAAUUUUGCCAUGGUAUAUCCUUUUCUUUGAUUGUGUUGUGGUUUUCCAGUUCUUGGAGAUGCAGAAGAAGUUUAUUUUGUUUUAUGGUAUCUUAUUUAUUUAUUGUUUUCACGAGGAAAUAGCUGUGCUUUUGGAAAUUAAUAUGCUGUGUUGUAAAUGUUGUGUGAAAUCCUUUUAUUGGUGUCUAUGUAAAGUGUUUCAGAUUUCAGACCUGAGAGUUAAUCUUCGCGUACCAGUUGGCUUUUGGGUUUAGUAUUGCUGCUUUUAACAUAAUUGACCUAUGGCCCAAAUCAUUUCUUAGGGCGAAGCAUAUGAAUGAUACAUAUUAUCUUUUUUUGGCCUUAUGUAUUGUUAUUUGCAGUGUGAUUUGGUCUAGCUUAAGAGCUUAAGCUUGCAAGUUGGAUUUGUCUAACAGGGAACAAUUUAAUUUGUUCAUCAUGAUGUUUAUAUCCAUUUUGUACUACUAUCAAUUUCAAUCAUGCCUAAUUUUUAUAUGUAUUUCUUGUGGACUCUCAGGUUCAGUGCACAAGAGGAUGAAGACGAUGGACACCCAAAUUUGAUGUGGAGAAUAAGUAUUGCAAAUGGUCCUUGAUUUACUUCUCCAAUUGACUUGAAUUGGUUUGACGCAAUUUAUAGUGUAUUUUUGUCAUCUUUGUAUGACUGGCAGGUCGUCCUGAUUUGGUACAUGACUGGACUCAGGAAUUGGACUCAUAUUUUUCAAACCAGAAUGCCAACAAUCAAGCAUUUUCUUUUGAAAGCACUGGCGUCUUCUUCAAUGCCAAAAAGGUUAGAGAUUUUUUGUAUCCUGUUUUGUAUUUGAUCAGUUUAGCAUGUGGGUGGCAAUCAAGAAAAGUUAUUCUAACAUUUUUGUGUUCCCGAAAAACUGCUGAUGAUGUGUAGUGCAGGAAAUGAAUUGUUUGUGACUUCUUUUUAUUCGUAUUCUUUCUUUUUUCUUUUCUCCCCAACAGGAUUAUGUAUUUCUGAAGAGCUUCUUGAAGUUGAUUACCUUGUAAGCCACUUUCUGUACUCUAUGCUCAGGAUGUGAUUUUGCCAAGCAUUAAAAUGGUUUAGGUCAGAACCAUCAUCUAAAGUUUACUUAAUGCAGCCGAGAAGCUGUAGUAGAGCAAUGAAGGCUGUUGGUGUUAUGAAGGCCAGCUGUGAAGAAAUAUUUGAACUUGUAAUGAGCAUGGAUGGGACACGAUACGAGUAUGCUUCUUUUCUAUUUUUUAAUUUUAGUUAUUUUAACAUAAUCAAGACUAUAUUGGCUGUCUCUGUAAGCUGAGUAUUAUAUUUCCUCUUGUAUGCUGUGAAAUUCACAUUGUCUCCAGUCCCGAUUCUGUAUGUGCCUUUUUGAAUAUAUUUAAUUAAUCUGCAUGGUGCUUUCUAAAGAUUAUUACAAACUUUUGUUGCUUAAGUAUAUGAAGAAUGUGGAAAUGAAAAUAGCUUUUGAAGUUUGAUGGAUUGCUUCAUUAAUAAAGAAAGACUGGGACUCAUUUUUAUAACUUUUCUCCACUUAGCUAAUGGUAUUUGAUGAAGACAAAAUAGAUGUAGCUAUCUGUAUUUUUUGUUGCUGAACUAUAGAUCAAUUGACGGUUGAAGUUAGUUAUAUUAAUUUGUUGUACUAGAAUUAAAGCUUGUAUCUUAGCCAUUUCAUGAAGUGUCAAAGACGUUCAUGUUUUUUAAAAAAAACAUGUUACACUUUUGAAGUCACUAUUACAUAAAAGAGUGUUCUAAAACAGGAGAAGGCGUGCUGCCUGAAAUUACCUGUUUCCGAUUUUAACAAGUCUCUUGGCAAGGUUUGCUAGUAAUGUGUUCAAAUUAUUCUAUUUAAUUUUACUGUCUGUACCCUAAUAAUUCUUGGUUUGCACCAUUGCAUUGUUCCAUAAUCUCUGUGCGUUGGCUUAUAAAGGCCAGCAAGGCUGAUCAUUUGUCAAAUAGUUAUUUCCAUGAAAUUCCUAUCAAUUUGACUCAGUAUUUAGAGGUCUUGAAGAGGGCAGUGUACUAGACGUGGAUUUCUUCCUCUUUUGGUUGUACAAUUGUUGUAUUUCUUGGCCAUCAGAUCUUUUUUAUGUAUCUUUCUCAAAGUUCAUGCCGCACGUACACCGUUUUUCAUGUUUUGUGCAGGUGGGAUUGUAGUCUUUUGUAUCGCAGCUUAGUUGAAGAGGUAGAUGGUCAUACGGCUAUUCUCUAUCAUAGGCUUCAGCUGGACUGGUUUCCAAUGUAAUAGUCUCUUGAUUCAAUCAUCUCAUUUAUGCUUUGGUCAGAAUAGAACAUUUAUUGUUUUCUUCUUUCCCCUUUCAUGUCUUCUGAUAUAAUAUGUGAGGAAAUUACCUAAAAUUUCUGUAUCCCAAUGUAAUUGUUGGAAUUCAGAAAUAAAAUAAAUACACCGUCUUGUUUUUCCCUCGGUUCAGUCCUAAGUUCUCUUUGGGCCUUCUGCAAGUUUUUAAACAUACUGUGACAGUAAAAAAUCUAGUGAUUGAGAUCAUUUUGAUGAAUUUAAUUUUAAUUCUUAGCUGAUACUUUUUCUGGAAUUUUUUUUCUUAUGUUUCCUCAAUAUGACUUAAAUAUAGGGCUUAGUUUGGUUUAGAAGUUCGUCUAAAACCUUCUCCUUGAUUCCAAAAAAAUUCUCUAGAAAGGUCUCAGAUGGAUUUUAGGGGAGUUCUGUGGCAAAUUUGAAAAGUUCAGGGGAAGGGUCUAAUGAAUUUUAAAACCACAUGGGUUAUCUGUUUUAUUCAGAGGAUAGUGGAAUUCCCUGAAAUUUAUCAUUUUUAUUUAAAUAAUCUUCCUACUUUCCUCUGCGGAAUUUAUUUACAUUUAUGAAUUCAUUUGGUUGCAGGUUUGUUUGGCCCCGCGGCCUUUGUUAAGUACGUUAUUGGCGUUGAAAUGACGCUGCGAGUUAUGGUAAGGUUCUUGCUUCCCCACUUCUUGAAAUUAAAUCUAUCUUUUCUGGCACUAGAAGUUUCCAUAAGCUGUGUUUUGUUAUCGCGCAGUUGUGUUAUUUCAUUCUAGGGAGCAUGAGAACUGUGGUCCACAGCCAGGAUAUGUACGAGCUCACGUGGAGAGUUAGUUUUCUGUCCUUUACUUUGGUUGAUGUAGAGAAUUAACAAGUGACUAAGUCAUGCCAAGUUGCACCACUUGCUUCCUGUAUUCUGAUUUCUCAGGUGGUGGAUUCAACAUUUCCCCACUCAAACCUCAAAAUGGUAGGCCCAGAACACAAGUACAGCAUCUUAUGCAGAUUGAUCUAAAAGGGUGGGGUGUUGGUUAUGUGUCAAUGUUUAGCAACACUGUCUUCUUCAGAUGUUAAAUAGCAUUGCUGGUAAGUUUCUUGCUUUCACAUUUUAUUUUGCGCUGUUAUGGGUUAAUAUGUUUCUGUUGGGUGGCCAUUUUAAGUCAUAUUUUUACGUGUUACUGUAUUUUCUUCAGUCCUUUUAUAGGGAACACACACAUACACGUAUGUAGAGUCACCUUUUAAUGAGGGAUCUACCAUUUUAAUAAAAUGAGGAAUGAGCUAAAAGAUAAAAAUUCACGAACUCCAAUGCAAUAUGUGUGUGUGCGUGUGCACACCUUUUCUAACUCUUGUUCUUAGUUAGAUAUUUUUCGGGAUUUCAGGCAAAUGAAAAAAGAGAUUAAGAGAAAGAGAAUAGGUGGAUGAUAACUUAAAUAUUCAUUUUUAUAUAUUUUGUUAAUGUCCUCUUUAAUGGAUUUCUAUGGAAUUAAUCUUUUUUUUUCAAUUAGUUGCAGCCCUAGAGGAAAAGUAGGGUGAUCAAAUUGAUUUAUCUCAUUUUUUUUUAGCAAUUUGCGACAUAAUGACCGUGAUAAUGCUUGUGACUGCUGGAAACUUUCUGAUGGAAAUAACUUCAGAGUUCGUAGCAAGCAUUUUUGUUAUGACAAAACAAAGGUUCCCGCGAAUUUUGGUUGUUGUUAGGCCACAAGUGCGUUUCACAUAUGCAAGGCGCAAGGGUAAUUCCGGAAAUACCAAUCGUGGCUGACGUGUCAUCAAGUAGUAUAGAGAGAAGAGUUUGUUAUGCAUUUCUGUUAGUGAUAAGUUGAUGGUAUUCUGUUUUGAUAAUUUGUUAGAGUUUUCUAUUAUUCUAUUUGGGCGUAAAAGUGAGGAGGUUAUAUGGAGAGGAGCUGUUUUUUGGGAAGGGGAUCUAGAGAAUUAUUUUGUAGUGAGCUUGCUCAUUUUGGGAGAGAUACCAAGCCUCUCGAAUGCUUGGGUGUUUUGGUUUAUUUCUGCAGAUAAAUACCAGUUUUCCUACUUCCAACAACAUUCUGUUCUCUACUGUGUUGUUUAUCUAACCAUUUCAGUUCAGGGCUUAUCAAAUUGGUAUCAGAGUAGUCACGUACCUAGAAAAUGACUGGCAAAAAUGUUGCUCAACGAAUGGAUUCCAUAGAGGAGGCGAUGGGUGCUGCGUAGGAGGAGUUUCAACGGGAAAUGAGAUCGUUGAAGGAUGAAAUAUAGAUGAUGAACAAACGAUUCGAACAGUUCAUCAAACUUCAAGAGGAUACGGGAGGUUCGUAUUCGAAUAAAAGGGAAAAGAUGCUCAGCCCCAACUUCGGCGGGUUGAGCUCAAGCGGAACUAGCCAUGAUUUCCGAUUCCGGAAACUUGAGAUGCCACUGUUCGAUGGCUCAAAUCUGGAUGGCUGGAUCUGAAGGCUGAACGAUAUUUUUCCGUAAAUCGGUUAUCCAAUGAAGAAAAACUUGAGGCAGCGAUAAUAGCUUUCGAGGGAGAUGCCCUGUUGUGGUAUCAAUGGGAGAAUAGGAAGAGAUCCAUGAUGGUUUGGGAAGAGAUGAGGCUACUAAUCUUGAAACAAUUCCGAGUAAUCCAAGCCGAUUCUCUCCAUGAACAAUGGCUAGCCCUUACUCAAGAUAGCAGUGUGCGAGAAUACCGCCGGAAAUUCAUCGAACUUUCGGCGCCGUUGGAGAACAUUACAGACGAACUAGCUCUGGGAAAUUUUAUCAAUGGGUUGAAGCCUGAAAUUCGGGUCGAGGUUCGGAUCAUGGAACCCAGUAAUUUGGGCCGGGCCAUGGACUUAGCCCAAAAGAUUGAGGAGAAACUGUGGGUGACCAAGGCCCACAAAGCAGACGGUGGGUUUCAUCGAGCAGGAGGGUCAACGCGAGGUGUGAACUUCCAUUCUGAAGCUUCGCAAUCUUCGUUUGGGGCAAAUCAUAACACGGCCCGAUUUUCGGGAGAGGUUAGGAGGUUGUCCGAUUCAGAAUUACAGAAGAAAGAGAGAAGGGACUAUGUUAUCGAUGUGAUGAAAAGUGGGCACCUGGGCAUCGCUGCAAGAAGAAAGAAUUGACUGUCCUUCUCACCUACGACAUGGACGAAGCAGAGCAGGAAGAGGAAGAAGGUUCGGGUGAAGGCGAUCCCGAACUGGAAACGGCCGAAAUUAAUCAAGGGAUAGAGGUCUCUCUUAACUCGGUGGUUGGUCUGACUACACCAAAGACGAUGAAGCUUAAGGCGUCUAUCGGGGAGCAAGAGGUGGUGGUACUGAUUGAUUCAGGUGCAACCCACAAUUUUAUUUCUCUAGAUUUGGUUAGUAAGAUGCAGAUACCCAUUGUUAAAACUGAGGCUUAUGGGGUGACUAUGGGUACUGGAGCGGCUGUAAGGGGAUAAGGUUUAUGUCGGGGAGUGACUAUUCAUCUACAGGGAAUAGAUAUUGUAGAGGAAUUCUUGCUGCUUGGGUUGGGGAGCUCGGAUGCUAUAUUAGGAGUUCAGUGGCUUGAAACUUUGGGGAUGACACACACAAAUUGGAAGACACAAGUGAUGAAGUUCAUGCUCGGAAAUGAAUCUGUUACUCUACGAGGGGAUCCUUCCCUUGGCAAGACUUUGGUUUCAUUGAAGGCAAUGAUGCGCACCAUUAAGCACGAGGGAGCUGGAAUUCUGGUGGAAUGUAAUCAAUUUGAAGGUCUGUGCGAAGUGAGCCCUGAGGUGCCACCGAAUCUAAACCAAGUCCUAGCAGAAUAUGAAUUGGUUUUUAACAUGCCCAUGGGCUUACCACCUACUAGGGGACAUGAGCAUUCCACUUUGCUCAAAGACGGCAGUCAACCUGUUAGUGUCCGACCAUACCGCUAUCCUCAUGCCCAGAAGGAUGAGAUUGAAAGACUGAUUCAGGAGAUGUUAGAUGCGGGAAUAAUCCAAGUCAGCAAUAGUCCAUUCUCGAGCCCAGUUUUGUUGGUUAAAAAGAAAGACAGAUCAUGGCGUUUUUGUGUGGAUUACAGGGCUCUCAACAAAACGACGGUACCAGAUAAGUAUCUCAUCCCUGUCAUUGAUGAACUCCUAGAUGAGUUACAUGGUGCCAGAAUUUUUUUCCAAGCUAGAUUUAAAUUUGGGCUACCAUCAAAUCAGAGUCAGUAGUCAGGAUGUUCAUAAGACUGCUUUUCGAACGCAUGAUGGACACUACAAGUUUCUCGUCAUGCCUUUUGGACUAACGAAUGCCCCGUCGACUUUCCAAUCCUUGAUGAAUGAUGUCUUCUGGCCUUAUCUUCGGAAGUUUGUUCUAGUGUUCUUUGAUGACAUUCUAAUUUACAGCCCUUCAGUGGAAUCCCAUCAGCAGCACUUGGCUCUCGUCUUGGGAAUAUUGCAGGCCAACAGCCUUUAUGCCAACCGAAAAAAAUGCGAGUUUGGAAGAACUCAAGUGGCAUAUUUAGGCCAUAUCAUCUCUGGACAAGGGGUGGCAGCGGAUCCAAGUAAAAUCCAAGCCAUUAACUUGUGGCCAACGCCCACUAAUCUGAAAGCGUUAAGGGGAUUUCUGGGAUUGACGGGGUAUUAUAGAAAGUUUGUGGCUGGGUAUGCUAGAAUCGCAUCGCCAUUGACUGAUCAGCUCAAGAAAGAUAGGUUUGGGUGGAGUCCAGAAGCUGCAGCGGCAUUUGAAGAACUCAAACAAGCUAUGUCUUCAGUCCCUGUGUUGGCAAUGCCUGAUUUCACAAAGCCAUUUAUUGUUGAGAAUGAUGCAUCUGGUUUUGGGUUAGGAGUUGUUCUACUACAGGGGCAACAACCAGUAGCUUACUACAGCCAAGUUUUGGGGCCCCGGGCUCGUCUUAAGUCCAUAUAUGAGAAAGAACUAAUGGCCAUAGUGUUUGCAAUCCUGAAAUGGCGGUCGUACUUGCUGGGAAGGCGAUUUAUUGUGCGAACAGACCAACAGAGCUUAAAAUUUCUUUUGAAGCAGAGGAUUGUUGGAGUUGAAUAUCAAAAAUGGAUCACCAAAAUCAUGGGAUAUGAUUUUGAUAUUCAAUAUCGUAUUGGGGCUGUUAACAUAUAUGUUUCCAUAAUAUUGAUUUUGAUGAUAACAAAAAAGAUUAAAAAUGAUUAAUCUUUUAAGCUCAAAUUAUUUUUUAUACAUUUUAAAUAAAUCAUUAUUUUUAUAUUAUAAAGGUUUUAUAUUUAAUGGAAAAAUGAUUUUAUGAAAUUGGUUGUUUUUCAAGUUUAUGAUUUAAUUGAAAGAGUUUUUGAAAACUUUGAAAUCAACAAGUAUUGCUUGAAAUUUUAGAGAAUGACUUAUUUUAAAAGUGUCAUAGCAUUUUGGGCUAUAUCAUAAUUUCAGAAAGUUUUGGGAUUAACAAAGCAUUACUUAGAAAUUCUGAAAUUGGACCUAUUUGUAAACUUUCAUAACAUUUUGGGCCAUACUGUAGUUUUAUAAAGUUUUGGGGUCAAACUAUAAUUUUAAAAAAUAGUGCACUGUGCAGGUUACUGUACCAAUCACUGUAGCAAAUGGCUAACCGUUUAUUUAAAAACGGCUAACCGAUAAUUUCCAGAAAGCAUGUUCUGCAAAGUAUUGUUAAAAUGAUGAUUCUGGAAACUAACGGUGAACCGUUUACUGAAAACGGUUAACCGAUUAUUUCCAGAUUGUUAACCUUGAACCGUUUAGUAAGAACGGUUAAACCAAAUUUGUUUUGCAGGUCUCUGGAAAUUAACGGCGAAAGGGUAAGCCUAAACGGCUAAUCGUUUAUUUAAAAAUUGGCCCAACGGUAACUUUGACCGGCCUAAACGGUUAACCGUUAAUGGUUAACGGCGAACCGUUUUCGAGCAAACAGUCUAUAACGGCUAGUUUUUCAGCUCCAACUAUAAAUAAGCUCAAUCCAAUUCAAACAAGAAGAAUUCCAACGAUCAUCAUUGAGCAAAAUAUUGAGAAUAUAACUUUCAUUGAGCUUUAAAUCCUUGUAUUCAUCUCAUUCAUUCACACAUUGAGCUUUCACUUGUGAUUAAACACAUUGUGUGAGAGAGAUUUAUUUGUAAUCCUUUUUGUAAAAUCAAGUUAAAAGAUUGUAAGUGUUGGGAUACACUUGGGUUAAGAGAUUGGGGAUAAUCUCUUGUUGUAAAGGUCCAUUGACACCUUGGAAGUCAAUUGUAAGCGUUUGAAGCCUUGGGAGGCUAGCUUAGUGAAAUCCUCAAGCUCGGUGAGCUUGGAGGCAUGGACGUAGGCGGGGAUUGCCGAACCACGUAAAAAUCAUUGUGUUUGUUUUCUCUUCCCUUACUCUUUUAUAUUGUGAUUGAUUUAUUUGUUAUUGCUUUAAAUUAGUUUUGGAUUUGCAUUGAGUUUUGUUUUAGAAUUGAAUAAUUUUUAAUAUCCCAAUUCACCCCCCUCUUGGGUUGCCUAGUUAGUAUUUCAUUUGGUAUCAGAGCGAGGUGUUCUUGUGUAGACUUAACCGUCUAGAGUUAAAGAUCCAUGGCAACCUAUAGUGACUCAACCUUUAGGGAAGGACAAUCCACAAUUAGACCACCGUUCUUCGACGGUAAUGACUACCCAUAUUGGAAAACUAGGAUGAGAAUUUAUUUACAAGCUUUAGAUUAUGAAAUUUGGGAAAUUGUUUGUGAUGGUCCAUUUAUGCCUUUGACUAAAAACGAAGUUGGGGAAGAUAUUCCAAAACCUUCACGGGAAUGGAAUGAAUUGGAAAAGAGAAAAGCUUCUCUAAAUUCCAAAGCCAUGAAUGCCUUGUUUUGUGCACUUGAUAAGAAAGAGUUUCAUAGAGUGUCUAGUUGUGAAAGUGCUAAUGAAAUUUGGCACAAACUUGAAGUUGUUUAUGAAGGCACGAAUCAAGUGAAAGAGUCUAAAAUUAGUAGGUACACUCGGCAAUAUGAAUUGUUCCAAAUGGAACAAAAUGAGAGUGUGUAUUCUAUGAAUACUAGAUUUACGGACAUAGUGAACACUCUAGGAGCCCUAGGAAAGACCUUUUCAAAUAGCGAGAAAGUUAAGAAAAUCAUUAGGUCGUUACCUAAGAAAUGGAGACCAAAAAGGACUGUCAUUGAGGAAGCUCAAGAUUUGAAUAUCUUACCUAUUGAUGAUUUAAUUGGUUCUCUUAUUUCUUAUGAGGAAGACAUGGCAGCCGAAAGAGGCAAUGAGGAGAAGAAGAAAAGCAUUGCUCUCAAAGCCUCGAAACAUGAGAGUGAUGAGGAAAGCGAGCUGGAUGAGGAGGAGAUGGAUAUGCUGGCUAGGAGGUUCAGAAAACUUUUUAAGAAAUCCGAUGAGCGAAGAAAAUUUAGAGACCUCAAGAACCGAAAGGAGAAGAAGGAAGUAAUCAAAUGUUAUGAGUGCAAGAAGCCUAGCCAUAUAAGAACGGAAUGCCCUCUUCUCAACAAGCUGAAGAAGAAAGCAAUGAUAGCCACAUGGGAUGAUAGCGAUGAGGAAACAAGUGAUGAUGAAGAGCAUCAAGAAAUGACAAAUCUAGCUCUCAUGGCAAUUGGAGAUGAAUCGAAUGAUGAACUUGAUGAGGUAAAUGAUCUUUUUACUUAUGAUGAAUUAUAUGAUGCUUUUAAAGAAUUACAUGAUAAUUGGAUAAAAAUUGGUAAAAAGAAUGCAUGUCUUAAAAAGAAAAUGGUAGAGCUCAAAAAUGAAAAUGAAUCUCUAUGUGCAAAGAUUACAUGCCUAGAAUUAGAGAAUAAAACAUUGCAUGAUAGAGUUGCAUUAUCAAAUGAGAAACCUAGUACUUCACAUGAGCAUCUAGAAUAUCACAUAGAUGACUUGAAAAAUGAAAAUGAAAUGCUUAAGAAGAAGAGCAAUGAGUUAAAUGAGAUUGUUUUAAGAUUUACAAAUGGACAAAAGAUGUUGGAUAACUUGAUUAAUUCACAAAAAAUGUGUGUUUGAUAAAGGAGGACUUGGUUAUAAGCCACAUUUGAAACAAAAGUAUUAUAGGAACUACUUUGUGAAGAGUACAUCUACUAACAAUCAAGUUGUAUGUCAUUAUUGUAAUCAAAACGAUCACAUGAAGCUUGGUUGUCCUAUUAAAAGAAAAGUAUAUUAUGGAGUAAAAUGUGUUUUGGUUCCAAAAGGAAAAAUUGCUAACACUCAAGGACCCAAGAGUAUUUGGGUACCAAAGGGCACAACGUGAAUGUUUUCUUUGUAGGUACCACAAUCAAGGAAUGGUGGAGAGUUCCUUGAUGAAAGCUUGUGAGGAUAAUCACUUGAGUAUGAUCUAGGAGAAAAAGAUGAGGCAAGAUGAUUUAAUUGUUUUGGUAACAAUUUUUGCCAUAUUAAUUUUGUUGAAUGAAUCAUGAUAAAUGAAUUUGCGAAAAUAUGCUUGUAUGUUUACAUGAUGGAAUUAUCAUUGUGUAUAACAUUGAGUGAUUUAUCAUGAUGCCUUUGUUUGAUUUUGAUGAUUGUAUGGUCUUUGAUUUCAUCUUCUUAAUUGUCUAUCAUCAUUGUCCAUCUCUUAUAAAUGUGUGAAUUCAUAUGCCAUUAAUUGUGUUAUAUCAUCAUUCAUGUAUAAAAUUGAACUUAGAAAUUAUGAGGAAAAAGUAGUAUCCUUCAUCUUUACAAUCAGUACAAGGAUCCCUUUUAAAUAGAGCAAUUAUAACAGAAAAGGAAACUAAUUAAGAGCUAAUAUUUGACAGCUAUCAUCUAUAUUUACAGAGGAAAGGAUCCUACAAUAUCUCUAGGAUUAAGGCUAAAUUCAAGGCCUAAUUUCCAACACUCCCCCUCAAGCUGGUUUGAAGAUAUCUUCCAUAGCCAGCUUGCUAGUCAACUUAUCAAAUUGCUUCUUGUGCAAUCCCUUUGUUAAUACAUCAGCUAACUGUUCAGUUGUUGGAAGAUAUGUCAUACAUAUUAUUCCAGUGUUGAGUUUCUCCUUGAUGAAGUGUUUAUCCACUUCUAUAUGUUUUGUUCGAUCAUGAAGAACUGGAUUAUGAGCUAUAGAAAUAGCAACUUUGUUGUCACAAUAGACUUUCAAAGGAGUUGAGAAAGUAAAUUUCAGUUCUUCAAGAAUUCUUUUUAUCCACAUAACCUCGCAGAUUCCAUGGGCAACAACUCUGAAUUCUGCUUCUGCACUACUUCUAGCAACCACAUUCUGUUUUUUACUCCGCCAUGUAACUAGGUUCCCACCAACAAAGGAACAGUAGCCAGAUGUUGAUCUCCUGUCAGUGACACUUCUUGCCCAGUCUGCAUCUGUGUAGACUUCAACUUGAAGAUGUCCAUGUUUUUUGAACAUUAGGCCCCUCCCUGGAGUUCCUUUUAGGUAUCUUAAGAUCCUGUAGACUGCCUCAAAAUGCUCUGCCCCUGGUGAGUGCAUAAACUGACUUACCAUGCUGACUGCAAAGGCGAUAUCAGGUCGCGUAUGAGACAAGUAGAUCAACUUCCCUAUGAGUUUUUGAUACUGUUCCCUAUCCUUUACUUCUUCAACCUUAGCAGGUUGUAACUUCAAGUUAGGAUCAAUUGGGGUCUCUACCAUCUUACAACCAAGCAAACCUGUUUCUCCAAGGAGAUCAAGAACAUAUUUCCUCUGAUUCACAAAUAUACCUUCCUUGGAUCUUGCAAAUUCCAUUCCAAGGAAAUACUUAAGGACUCCCAAAUCCUUAAUUUGAAACUUCUUUGCAAGUCUCUUCUUGAGGGCUGCUAAUUCUGUUUCAUCAUCACCAGUUAAAAUGAUAUCAUCAACGUAAACAAUCAAAAUUGCAAUUUUACCGUCUUUUGAGUGUUUAUAAAAUAUUGUGUGAUCUCCUUGACUCUGCAAGAAGCCAUAACUGAUAACUGCCUUUCCAAAGCGUUCAAACCAUGCUCUUGGUGACUGUUUGAGACCAUAUAAUGACUUUCUUAAUCUGCAGACUUUAUCACUACCAAGACUCUUCUCAAAUCCUGGUGGUAGACUCAUGAACACCUCCUCUUUAAGAUCACCAUUGAGAAAUGUAUUUUUAACGUCAAGUUGGUGUAAAGGCCAAUCACAAUUCACUGCAAGAGAUAACAAAAUUAUGAUAGAAUUUAUUUUAGCAACAGGAGUAAAAGUCUCAUGAUAGUAAAUCCCAUAAGUCUGAGUGAAGCCUUUAGCCACCAGCCUCGCCUUGUACCUCUCAACGCUUCCAUACGCGUUACAUUUUAUCCUAAACACCCACUUACACCCAACUAUUUUCUUGUCUCUGGGUGGAUCAACUAUCUCCCAAGUACCACUUCUCCUCAAGGCAUUCAUCUCCUCCAUGACUGCUAAUUUCCAAUUCGGGUCAUCCAGUGCUUCCUGUACAUUUCUUGGAACAAACAAGUGUGAAAUCCUAGAUGUGAAAGCUUUAUGGUUUUUUGACAGUCUUUGAUAGGAAAGAUAAUUUGCAAUAGGAUGUUUGGUGCAGUUUCGAACACCUUUCCUAAUAGCUAUAGGGACAUCAAGAUCAGAAAUAAUUGGUGAAUUAUUGGAAACAAUCGAAGGAAUCAAAGCUGGAGUUGGGAUUUGAUUACCUGAAAUUUCAGUGCCGGAACUCAGUUUUUCAAAUUGGGCUUGUGUAGGAUUGACAUUCAAGUCUUUACUUCUCAGAUGAAAUCUCUUCCUAGUAUAAACCUGAAGUUCAGAAUUUAGAUCAUGUUGAUCUGUUUGUAGUACUUCUCCCCCUGAACGAGAAUCCCUUGUACUAGGCUCUAAAGAACUUGUUUUUCUCAACUGAUCAUUAUCAGAAAAGUGUGGUCCUUGAAUAGGACAAAUAACAUUUGGAAGUGGGAUAGAAAUGUCCCAAAAAUUGUCUUCUACUCCAUUUGUCUCCCCCUGAAGAGAAUUUUUUAUGAAAUAAGGAGUUUUUUCCAAAAACGACACAUCCAUACUCACAUGAAAUGUUUUUGUUUGAGGGUCAAAACACUUAUACCCCUUUUUGUUCGAUGAAUAACCCAAAAAUACACACUUUAUAGCACGUGGGUCAAGUUUUGAACGAAAUUGACUUGGAACAUGAACAUAGACAGUACACCCAAAAACUUUGACGGGUAAAUCAGAAAACAACCUUGUUGCAGGAAAAAAUUCUUUAAGGCAAUCAAGAGGUGUUUUGUAUUUUAACACCUUGGUAGGCAUCCUGUUUAUUAAAUAAGCUGCUGUUAAAACCGCUUCACCCCAUAAAUACUUAGGAAUAUGCAUGUAAAACAUUAUGGCACGUGCUACCUCAAGUAAAUGUUUAUUUUUCCGUUCUGCAAUGCCAUUUUGUUGAGGGGUAUUCCGACAUGUAGAUUGAUGAAAAAUGCCUUUAUCAUUCAAAUACUCACCCAAGUGCUCAUUGAAAUAUUCUGUUCCAUUGUCAGAAUGUAAAAUACCAAUUCUAGUUUGAAAUUGAUUUUCAAUCAUAGUGUAAAAAUUUUCAAAUAAAUAUUUUACGUCAGAUUUUUUAUGCAUGAGAUAAAUCCAACAUAAACGAGUAUGGUCAUCAAUAAAAGUAACAAACCAUUUUUUACCGGAAAGGGUAGUGACCUGAGAAGGACCCCAAACAUCACUAUGAAUCAAAUAAAAAGGUUUGGAGGCCUGGUACUGUUUUGGCAAAUAAGUAGAACGAUGAAGUUUUGCAAAAGUGCAACAUUCACAAUAAAAAGAAGAGCAAUCAAUCCCUUUAAAUAAUUCUGGAAAUAAGUAUUUCAAAUAAAGAAAACUAGGAUGUCCUAGUCUAUAGUGCCAUAGCAUUAUUUUUUCUCGAACAGAAAUUGAACUAGUACUAAUAAAGUUCUGAGCUUUUUUAUUACUAAUAGGUACUUCAUCAAAGUAGUAAAGACCUUCAAUCAUCCUAGCACGUCCAAUCAUCAUCCCCGAGUUCUGGUCCUGAAAUUCACAAUGUGAUUCAAAUAAGGUAAUACGACAAUUAGAAUCUCUAGAUAAUUUACUAACAGACAAAAGACUGCAGGCUAAUUUAGGGACAUGAAGAACAAAAUUGAGAUUAAUUUUCUCGGUCAGUUUGAUAAGUCCUUCUCCUGCAAUAGGUGAAAAACUACCAUCGGCAAUUCUAAUUUUUUUAUUUCCAGAACAAGGAGAAUAGGUAUUAAAUAAAUGAAAAGAACUAGUCAUGUGAUCAGAGGCUCCAGAAUCUAUGAUCCAUGGAGAAGAGUUUAAACAAGAAAGGGCUAUAGGAUUUCUACCUGUUUUUGCCAAAGAAACACUAGGAAUACCAGACGAGAAGUUGGAUUUUAUCAGCUUCAGGAGUUGAUCAAUCUGCUCUUUGUUAAAGUGGCCUGAGUUGGCUUCAUUGGCCGAAGGAAUCCCACGAUUCUUCUCUCCUUGCUUGCUGCUUUUCCAGUUUUCAGGUUUGCCAUGAAGCUUCCAACACUUCUCACGUGUAUGGCGAGGCUUGUGGCAAUGAUCGCACCAGGCCUGUGACUUAUCAUCAGACCUGCGCUGAUAAUUUGCAGUCUUGUAGGCUGCUGCAUCAGUAAUUAAGGCAGAAUUCUCAAUUGACUCACCGGCACUCCUUUUCCUGAGCAUUACGCUCCUUCGACUUUCUUCUCUUCUGACUUCAGCAAAGACUUCGCCAAUGGGUGGUAGAGGAGGUCUGCCAAUAAUCCUCCCUCGUACUUCAUCAAACUCAACAUUGAGGCCGGCAAGAAACUUGUAAAUACGACUGUCUUCCACGGUUUUCUUGUGGUGGUUGCAGUCAUCAGCGGAUUUCCAUUCAUAUGUGUUGAAGAGGUCAAGAUCUUGCCACAACCUUUUCAAAGAAUUGAAAUAUUUGGUGACAGAAUCAUCACCUUGACGAAUCUCUCCCAACCUUAAAGUUAACUCAAAAACCUGAGAUUGGUUGCCCAGGUCAGAAUACAUCUGACUAACGUUGUCCCACAAUUCUUUAGCAGUAGGAUAGCACAUAUAAUUGGAGCUUAUAUCCUCCUCCAUGGAGUUGACCAGCCAUGUCAUAACCAUGGAAUUUUCAGCAUCCCAAGUGGCAUACAGCGGAUCAUCAUUAGCAGGAACCUUCUUGUCACCAGUGAUGUAACCAAUUUUUCCUUGCCCACGGAUAUACAUCCGGACAGAUUGCGACCAGCGGAGGAAGUUGUCGCCAUUUAAGCGGAUGGUGGUGAUUUGAACAGAAUGAGAGUUGGAGUGGUUUCGCAGGGUCUCAGAUGUUUUUUCUGGAAUGGCAGCAGCAAGGGUUUGAGUGGUUUCAGACGUGACUUCUGACAUGGUUGCAGACACGAUUCCCUAUGCUCUGAUACCAACUUAGAAAUUAUGAGGAAAAAGUAGUAUCCUUCAUUUUUACAAUCAGUACAAGGAUCCCUUUUAAAUAGAGCAAUUAUAACAGAAAAGGAAACUAAUUAAGAGCUAAUAUUUGACAACUAUCAUCUAUAUUUACAGAGGAAAGGAUCCUACAAUAUCUCUAGGAUUAAGGCUAAAAUCAAGGCCUAAUUUCCAACAAUUGACAUUAUUGUUUGAUACGAUUUCAUAUGUUUGGUCUUGUAUACAUUUAUGCCUCAUGCAUUAAAAUGGCUUAUAAAACAUUUUUGGAUCAAUUAGUUAGUAUUUCAGGGGCAAGUAAUCGAGUAACGGAUGCACUCUCACUCUUAACAGAACCAGCAGAGUGUUCAGCUUUGGCGAUUCCUCAGUGCCAACAUUGGGAUUCCUUAAAGGUUGAGUUGGCAGAGGAUACCUUUCUGAAGAAACUAAGGGAAGACAUAACUUCGGGUACACAAUCUCACGUGGGGUUCUCAGUUGAGCAUGGAGUAUUGUUCUACAAGAGUCGGCUGGUUAUUCCUCAGACUACUAAGCUUCUUUUUGCUCUCAUAGGAGAGUUUCACACCACUCCGAUUGGGGGACAUUCGGGAGAAACAAAAACUUACCAACGCUUAGCAGCAGAAUUGUAUUGGAUAGGUAUGCGCAAGGAUGUCACCAGAUUUGUACGGGAAUGCACCAUCUGCCAGCAGAAUAAGUACUUGGCCACUACUCCCGCAGGGUUACUUCAACCUAUUCGACUACCAGCCCAGGUUUGGGAGGAAGUCACACUUGAUUUUAUUGAGAGGUUGCCUCGUUCUGAAGGGUGGGAUGCCAUCUUAGUAGUGGUGGACAGGCUGAGUAAGUAGGCUCACUUCAUAGGAUUAAAACAUCAUUUUUCUGCUGUUUCGGUUGCUGGAAUCUUUGUUCGUGAAAUUGUUAGGCUUCAUGGGAUACCACGGUCAAUUAUCUCUGACCGAGAUAGGAUAUUCUUGAGCCAUUUUUGGAGUGAAUUGUUGAAGCUGCAGGGAACUACUCUCAAAAGAAGCACCGCCUAUCAUCCACAAUCUGAUGGACAAACAGAAGUUGUCAACCGUUGUUUGGAAACGUAUCUAUGCUGCUUUGCUUCUGGAAAACCUCGAAGUUGGGCUCGCUCGUUGGCAUGGGCUGAGUAUUGGCAUAAUACUUCCUUCUACUCUUCUACACAUUGUACUCCAUUUCGUGCUCUCUAUGGAAGGGAUCCACCCCCUCUUAUUCGGUAUGAGCAAGGAGCUGCUUCGGUAUCUUUGGUAGAACAGUUAAUGGAGGAUCGUGAUGCCAUACUGGACGACCUGAGGAUGCAGUUGCUUCGUGCCCAGCAGCGGAUGAAGCUGCAAGCUGAUCAAAAGCGCCAUCAUGUAGAGUUCAAUGCAGGUGAUUUGGUAUUUCUGAAACUAAGACCUUACCGGCAGCGCUCCCUCGCUCAACGUAAGUUUGAGAAAUUAGUUGCACGUUACUACGGUCCAUUUAAGGUUCUUCAGCGUGUCGGGAAGGUGGCAUACAAACUAGAACUGCCUCAAACAGCAAAACUCCACCCUAUCUUUCAUGUUUCGCAGUUGAAAGAUAAGGUUUCAAACAACAAACUACAUACUAGUUUUCCUACUUCCAACAACAUUCUGCUCUCUACUGUGUUGUUUAUCUAACCAUUUCAGUUCAGGGCUUAUCAGUUGUUUCUUAUGGUAUUUAUAUAUCCGACAUAUUCUAGUUCGACAUGUAACGAUGUAGUUUGGUUGGUUCUUCUUGCUUUUUGUGCAAUUUGUAACUGCAGAUACGUGUGGGAAAACAUUUAAUGGAUCUUGUUGCUGUUGAUUAGUUCAAAGACAAAGAGAAUGGACCAUGUAGCUAGGCGUCAAGGCUGUGAUGCACAAGUAACUAUUCUUUUCUUUUUUAUUUUUCCUUUUCCAUUGACGGAUUAGAAGAAAAUACUGCCUGUGAGAUACUACAAUAUAAAUAACUUCUGGUGGUUCAUUGAAUCUAUAACACUCUGAGCCCUAUUCUAAAAUAUGUAGGUUGCUUCCAAAAAAGGGCUUUUCUCACUGAUCUUUAAUCUUCAAGUAAGCUUGUUUCAUUUCAGAAGGUAUUAAGUUUCAAACUUAUCGUUUUGGGAGGUUGUAUGGUUGUAACGUAAGCAUCUGCAGGUUCCUGGUUCAACAAAUUAUAGUAUGGUAUUUUAUUUUGUCACAAGGGAAUUAAUUACAGGAUCCCUUUUGCAAUGGUUUGUUGACGGCGAUGAUGAAUUUCGCAAUGAAACUUAUCCCAUCCGUUCCUAAGGUAUCCGUCUUGGUCUUCAUGUAUUAGGACUAUGUUAACUAAUACGUACCCUCCGCUGCAUAGUACACUUUAAUUUGUACAAAGAAGGCAUGCAUUUAGGUGUAAAUGUAUUAAUGGGUUGUACCUUCAAACUUCAUUUCCUUUUUCUACCGAUUUGAAUUUGUUUUGCAUUUGUUCUUGAUUUUAAGCAUUGAAUCAUGCAGGGGUCAUGGAUCGUGCGCCAGAGUGAUGGAAGCACCCCUUGUUUAUUAGGAAAAGCAGUUGAUUGUAACUAUAUCCGCGGUCCUAAGUACUUAGAAGUAAAUGCUCUUCGAAUUUCUAUAGUACAUGGGAUGUGUUCCCUUUCGAAUAGCUUGUUCAAUACCAUUAACAUGGUUUAACAUUGUUCAUCUUUCUGCAGAUUGAUGUUGGCAUGUUCUUCUACUGUUGCUAAUGGAGUUUUGGGCCUUGUAAUUGGUGUAAUUACGGCAGUGGUGGUUGACAUGGCUUUCCUUGUACAGGUAUGUAUGAUUGUUUUUUUCCUCUACUUCUAAAUGGACACAAGGGAAAAGACAUGAUUUUGAGAUAUUGUACUGCAAUUUGCAUAUUUGCAUACUUGAAUGUUCUCAGAAUGGUAUAAUGCUUCGUGUAUGCAGGCAAAUACUACAGGUGAAUUACCGGAGCGGCUGAUUGGAGCUGUACGUGUUUCUUAUAUAGAACUCAAGUCUGCUAUUGUCCCAAAGUUGGAACCAGAGACAUCAUGACUGUGUUUUCAUUUCACCUCAACUGUUUGUUUUUAAUUUAAAAAAAAUCAUUUGUUUUAGGUAUACAUACAUGUAUUUUGAUCCCGUUUUCAUUGUAAUUUCUCAUUUACUUUGAAAGAAAGUCAUUGGUGUUUUCGAAUGGGAAUUUUGCAUUAAAAAAUAAAGAAUACUUAAUAGGAAAUUUCAUGAUUCUUUAGUUACUAUUUUUGGAAUGAGUGUAAUAGUAUUAAAGUUGGUUUCUACUCGCAAACAAGUGAACUACUCGAUCCCCAACUGUGACCACGCUAAUUGUCAUUGUUUAAUAGCUACUACUUUUAAAACUCAACAACUAACAAAAAUACUAAUAAAAAAAUGAUUUUCUUAUGAUGCUGUGAAAACAUUUAUGGGUUCACUUAUUUCCACAAGAUCUAUAACAUGGUCUUGACUUCACGAAAUUCUUUUAAUUUAAAGGGUGCUGGUAUGAGAAAAUCAGUUUUACGGAUUAAUUCCUUUUAAUAAUGGUCGAGUUAAUUUUACUAUACUCAUAAAACUAUUCUUAUUCUGAUAAUGCCACAAAUGUUAUGCUGUUUUCUUCAGCUAAUGAUCUUCUAUCAGGACUAGUUAGAAAUCAAAUGCUUAAAACACCAAUUGAAUGAAUGAUGCAGAAGUUUAAACAGUAUCUAAUUGAAAAUUGCCUGAAACAUGAAACAUCAAUUCAAGUCCUUCCUUAAACAGAGAAUGCAUCAAACAAAUCCAAAGUGUCUUUCAAGUCUGUAGCAUGACUAAAAAAUUGUAAAUGCGUUCAGAACCAAAUUAUUCAAGUACAGGAGAACGAGCAAGUUGAAUCAUGUACAAGAGGUUGACCUAGUUCUAGAUAGCUUCUUCACUGUACCUGAAGGGUUGGCUCAAUCUUUUCUUUAGAAUUCUGCACAUUUUGUAAUUACUCGUGUAAGCAAGCAUACAUUACAAUCAUAAUAAUAAUAAAGCAAGAGUAAUGAUACGACCACAACCUCUUGUGCACAAAUAAUAUUGUACAAACUAACAUGACAUAAUAUGAUUGAGUAAUGAUACGACCACAAUCUUUUGUGCACAAAUAAUAUUGUACAAACUAAUAUGAUGUAAUAUGAUUGAUUAAACAAAAACAUAACAUAACCCUUAUAAUUUAUUUAUUAUUAUUUUAUAUUUUCAAUCAAGCAAUCAUAUUAUGCCACGUUAAUAGCUAUAGAAAUAAUUUGCUAGAUAGUGCCAACACUUCAUUGAUACUCACCAUUUCAUUGAACAAUUUUUUUAUGGUGUCAUUGAGGUUGCCUUCCCCACAUCCUUCAUCAUCAUCUUUUUCUUCUUCGGUGACGUUCACUUUGUUUAGCAUUGGUGUGUCUAAGACUCCUUGAGAGAAGAUCUUCAUUUUUGGACACUGUCUCACAACUACUUGUUUCAAGGACGGGAAUUCAAGAGCGUAAUUACCCAAACAAAAGCUUGUUAGGAUUGGCAAACAAUCAAGUUCCAAGUACUUUAAUUCCUUGAAAACAAUGCAAUCUUUCGUUUUUUCUCCAACCUGCGAUUGUAUGAUUUCUUCUAUCAUUUUGCAAUCAGCUAUCUUUAUUCUUUGAAGAUUCACUAGAUUUUUAGAUGCUGAGAGCGUCAACGCAUUUAUCAACCCGUGACACUUCGAUACUUGUAGUCCCCACAGAUUUUCCAAAUGCCACGAAGGUGGUACUAAUUUUUGUAACUUACUACAUUCUGAUAUUUCUAGACUUCCCAAGUUUGCAAACGCUUUGUUGGAUUCGUCAUUUUCCUUCCAGAGAUGCUGCACUUUGUGUAAUUUAGACAGCUUUAACUCCCUCAAUUUAGGGAAUGCAACCUGAAAAUCAACAAAAUUAAGUUGUAAAUUAAAAUAUGUAUCCAAUCUCUGCAGUCUUCCCCUGCAUAUUUUAUGGACAAGAUUAAUCACGACAUUUUAUAUUUUUUUUUCCAAAUUAGUAUGCUUUGCAGUAGGAUCCCAAAUAUAAGUAUCAAAUCGAUUACCCUUUGAAACACAUAAAUGAAAUCUGAUACUAAAUCCAAAUGAAUUAGCUAGGAAAACAGAGAUGCGACAAGCAUAAUUGAAAUAUAGUUCAUCACCUCAUGUUACCAGUCAUCGAAAUAAUUUAAGACAUUUUUAUAAUUCAUACUAUAAAGUUAGUUAAUAACUACGGUUAUAUUGUUAAAUCAGAUAUAAAUUAAGACGACGUGCAAAAAGAUGAGUCAUUAAAUUUGAUUUGAUUCUAAUGAAAUUAUAUCUGUGCGAAUGAAAGUGAAGGGAAAAAUAAUAAUAAUGAUUACCUUUUCAUUGAAGAGAUGUUGUAUUUGAUUAGCUACCAAGAUGUUCUCUUCUGAUUUUAAUUUUUGAGCUUCCUUAUUAUCUGCUGUCAUGUGCAGUACAGAUGUAGAAUUGGAUAUGAAUGUUUCCAUAUCAGGGCAAUUCUCAAUAGUUAGAUAUCUCAACUCAGGCAGUUCAAUUAUAUUCCCAGUGAAGUUGUAGAAUCUUUUGAGUUUUGGAAGAUCAAUGAGCCUUAGCCAGGAAAGCCUAGGAAACAGGGGGCCUAUAUGUUCUUCCUUAGCAUUUAGCUCUUCCAAAUGAAGCACCUCUUCUAGUGAAUCACAAUUCCUCACUUCUAGGUACCUUAAAUUGUUCAAGCAUCGUAGCAGAUUGGCAGGAAUAGCACUCGACAUAUUCGUGCAGUCAUCCACCACCAGCUCUCUUAAAUUGUUGAAGAAGCUGACAGGCAGUGCUUGGCCAUGCCAUAUUUCUUGCAAGCGUGGAAAAUGCGAGAGUUGCAAAUCCUUUAUAUCACGAAAUCCAAUCUGCACAAACCAAAACAAUUGCACUGGAUAUAUACAAAUUUUUUUUUAAAGGCAUUAUAUAUAUACACAUUAAACUUACAUGUUUUGUGUUUUAACUUUUAAAAAUAUAUAUACAAGGGAGGUGUAUAUGCUUAAAUGUGCAAGUGCAGGGGAGAUGCAUGAACAAUUUGGGUGAAUCGAUUAACACAUACCAUUUCUUCAUAACACUUUUGUAUAGUGGAAUUAAGGUUGCCUUCCCAAUGGUGCGGUUCACCCUCUUCCUUUUUACUCACUUGGACUUUGUAUAGCUUUGGUGUGGAUAAGAUUCCCAGAGAAAAAGUCAUCAUGUCCGGACAAAGUGUCACAAAAACUUGUUCCAGUGAUGGGAAUUCAAGAGUGUAAUUCUCCAAACAAAAGCUGGUAAGCCUUGGUAAAUCAUCAAGUAUCAAAACUUUUAAUUUGCUGAAAGCAAUACGAUUCUCCUUCACUUCUUGUCCAACAUGUCCUACGAUUUCUUCUAAUUUUGGGCAACCCGAUACUUUAAGAUUCACUAGACUACUAGGAAUUCCAACCUUAUUAUGAAAUGUCUGUGUGCAUGUGUGUGUGUAUUAAAAAAGUAAAAAUGUAAGAAUAUCAUUCAACUAGAUUCAAAGUAUGGUUAAUCAUACAAUUAUACAUUUUAUGAACAUAACAAAUUAUGAAAUGUCUACUAGAUAUUUUUUGUCAAACAAAAACGGAACAAGAUAAAUAAAUAAAUAAAAGCCACAUAAACAAAGAUAAUAAAAAUGCAUUUACACUAUUUAGUAUUAGGAACGUAGCAAGAAUUUAAGGCAAUUUCUAAAUAUUUUAGACUUAUUUUGCAUCUUGACGCCAGUUUUUAAACAAAAUUUGCAAAUUUCAACUAUUCCUUUUGGGAAAAAAAAUCAACCAAAAUGCCGCUUUUUCCCUUUUUCCUUGGUCCCUUUUUUUUAUGUAUAUUUAAUUUUGGAAACAAAAUUAAAGUGGAUCUUUAUUAAGUACUUGCAGACUCGAGGAAAUUUCUUUACAAUCAAGGAUCAGUUGUAAAUAAUCAUGAAUUUGUGGUUAAUUAAUGGCAUAAUCAGUUCGAACUAAACAAGAGAUAUUAAUUAAAUUUGAAGACUUUUCUUUUCUUUUUUUUUUCUUUUUCCAAUCAAAAUGUGAAGAAUUAAGGAAAAGAGAAAUAUAUAGAUGAAUUUGUGAACCUAUAAGAUGAGUGACUAUCCUUUAAUUUUUGAUAAUUGUACUUAUUAAGAUAUGAGCAGAAACAAUUAAAUUGAAUUAUAUUAUGCUGUUGAAUCGUGAUUAAAAAAAUUAUAUUGUUGAUUCUAAUGCUGGCAAACCUAAAAACUGGACUUAAAAUGUAGAUUUGAGAGUGGUGGUUCGAAGUACAAUACUUGAAAUAAAUAAUCAGUGGCUGAAUAUCAUUUGUAACCCAAAAAUGGUUAAAAUAUUGUUGGAUGUAAUUUGAAAAAAAAAAAAAAAGAUUCGAAAUGAAUACAACAACCUUACCAAUGGAGGAAAAAUAUUCAUUAGGUUAUCACACCUAGAUAUCUCCAAAUUCUUCAAUUUCCUGAAAGACUCCAAAGCAAGCUGGUGGUGCCAUAUUGUUCUCAGGUUAGCCAUCCACGCAAUAUCUAAUACCUCCAACCUAGGAAGUAGUACCUGGCAGUUAAAGAUUAAAUAACUAAUUAAUCGGCAUAAUCUAUUGAUAACCAAAUUAGAGGCGGAUAUUAACUAAAUUUGAAGACUCAAGGAAAAGACAAAUUAAAUAUUGUGGCUAAAAUUAAUUAAAAAAAAAACCUUUUCGUCAAAGAGAGGUGGAGAUUGCAUUUCAGAAUGAAGGGUGUCUGCUGGUGAGCUCGUAGAGAUGAAUCUUAACAUAUUAUUGCAACCAUGGAUCUCCAGGUUUAGCAAAGAAGGGAAUUCAACAACUAAAUCUGAAUGAAUCUGUCCCGUAUUGGCAAAACUUGUUAGUUCUGGAAGCCAUUCUAGCUUGAGGGAGUGUAGUUUAGGAAAAACCUUUAAUUCAAUCAACUUUCCUUCAUCUCUUUCUGACCACCCCGUGGUGUCGACUACCCCUUCCAUUGACUCACAAUAGCUUAUCUCAAGAUGUUGGAGUUUCGCAAGACUAUUAACCAUAGAAUAUGAAAACAGAUACUUCAGACAAUCACAACUCCACACGAUGACCUUUGUUAAGUUUUGACAACAGUACAUUCCUUGAUUAUGAUCGGCCCAUAAUUUUUUCAUGUUUCUUAAGUUCCUGAUAUUCAAUUCCUCUAAGCUCGGAAGAAUAAUAACCUGCAAAGAAAACCCGUACAUUUUUGUUCCUUCAAGUACAACCGUCUAGUAUAAUAUUUUUUGAUGAUCGAAGAUUAAUCGUGAAUCCGUGAUAAUAAAUUAAUCAAUUAAUUAUUGAACAGAAAAUUAUCACCUUUGGAGCAGGGUCAUCAUCAGCAAUGAUUUCGUUAAAUCCCAAAGAAGAAGUUGGUUUCUCCCUGUCGGGUCCUAUAAACAAACAAAAACAAUAUACAUAAUUAAUCUUUGUUCUUUUUUUUUUUUUGGUCCAAAAUAAUUGAAGAGAAGUCCAUAAUCCCACCAAUACUUAACUUCAACACUUACCAAAAAUCAUUUCCAGAUCAUGGCAAAACUCCACUUCUACCUUUUGAAGCCGCAGUAGGUUUUUGGCUAUGGAGAAUGAGAAAAGAUGCUUCAAUUUGUAACAGGAAUAUACUUCUAUAAUCCUUAAGUUGCUGAAAGAUUGAUCUUCUGUGAGUUGGCUGUCACAUAUUGUCUCCAAAUUGAUCAAACGACGAAGAGACAAUGACUCCAGCAAGGGGAAGACUUUGCGACGAACCCGUCCAACUGAACGGACAAUAUGCAAAAUCUCAGAACAACUUUUUACAGAAAGAUGCUUCAAUCGUGGAAAACCUUCCCCAUCAUCUAAUUCACCCUUCAGUUCUUCUAGAUAGAGAUAUUCAGUUCUCUUCAACAACAGUUUCAUCCUGUAAUUCUGCAAAAGAAUGCCAAACUUUUCUAGCCCCUGGAGCUUCAUCAAUCUUGAUAAUCCAGAUUUAACGGACCGGCUGCUCCACCACGUAUUUCCUAUACAUAUCCUAUAGCUUUGCAAUUCCACAGAGACCAAAUCCUGUGGUAGAAUUUCGGCAUCCCGAACGUGUAUCUCCAAAGUAGUUAGCUUUGACAACCCCUUCAACUCAACAAGACUGGCGUUACUUCCUCCUUCAACCUUCUCCCACUGUGAAAAGCUGUUACUCAUAUAUAGUUCUUCUAAUCGAGAUAAUUUUGAUAUGACAUUUGGAGCUAUCACCACAAGGCUGCUACAAUUGCUCAAAUCUAGCAACUGUAAUCUCGUCAAUUGUCCAAUUACAAGUGGCAACUCCUUAACAUCAGAAUCUCGAAGGCUGAGAAUCUCUAAUUUCUUUAGCUGUCCAACUAUUGCUAUAUCUUUUAGUCCGCAACCAUCUAAACAAAAUGUUUGAAGGUUAAUGAGGCGACCAAGUGAUGAAGGUAAUGAAGAGAAAGGAAUUCUAGUAAGACUUAACACUUUGAGUUCUUCUGUCCCUUCAAAAAAGAGGUCUGAAAUUUGCAUAGGGCCAUAACCCUUUCCAAACAACAAAAAUAACUGGAGAUUGGGACAUUGCAACCUUUCAGGGAGCUCUUGGAUAUCUCUAUGAGGCAAUGAAAUAGCAAUUGGUCCUUUCUGUUUCGUCUCUUCCAUCUUUUUCUCAACGUCAGCAACAUUUGGAAUAUUAAACAUGCGCUUCUCUGCGGCAAUUGAUACGGCAACAACAUGAAUGACGUCAUGCAUUUUAACUUCAUCUUCAGCAUCACCGUCCAACAAUAAGCAUGAAGAUUUGAGAUUGUCGAUCAACCGAUGCACUCUACUCCUUGCUUCUUCCAAUGUGUAAACAUUUUCAAACAAACCCCAACCCACGCCAUAUCUCAAUAAGUCAGAAACUUCUAUGGCAUCACCUUCACUGUACAGACCACAAAGACGGAACAAAGAUUUUGCCUCCGCACUUUCCAAGAAGUCAUAACUCAAUAUUAUGGAGGUGUACACAUUUGCUUGCAUGCCAUGAAUUUCUCUUGCAUCCGAUCUUCUUAGCUGAUUCAAUGCAUCUUUCCAAAAGUCAAGCUCCUUAGUUUUCAGAGCAUUUGCAACUGUACUCAGUGCAACAGGCAAACCUCCGCAUCUUUCAACGAUCUCAUUUGCCAUACUUUGAAAAGCAGAUAUUUUAGUUGAAUCACCCACUAUCUUCUCAAAUAACUGCAAUGCUUCUUCUUUUGAUAAAGCAUCGAUCCAGAAAAUUUUCUGACAAUUCAUAUCAUUGCACAAUAAAUCUCGACUUCUAGACGUCAAUAUUAUUGUGCAUCUUCUCUGAUCAUCCUCUCUAUCUUUCUCAUCAACAUCUCCAGAAGGAAUUCCAACCGCAUCCAACUCAAGUUUUGUCCAAAUAUUAUCCAAUAUAAUGAGGACCCGCUUCUCUUGCUUCAACCUUUCACGCAGUCGAGAAGCUCUAUGGUGUAUACUAUCAUUCAAGUCAAAUUUCAUGCCUAAAUCAGAAGCGAGCUUGUCUUGAAUUUUCUGGGGAUCUGGGUUCUGUGUUACCUCAGCCAUAACGACCUUAUCGAUCAACUUAUCUUCCAUCACUUUCUUAGCAACUUGCUUGACUAGCGUGGUUUUACCCACGCCGCCCAUGCCGUAGACCCCAAUUAUGUUGAGCUUAUCAUCCUUCAACGCCUCCAUAACAUCCUGAAAUACUUUCAUUCUUGAAUCAAAGGCCUCGUUAUCUUUCCCGUCAUUAAGUCCUGUGCUCUUUGGAGUAGGACGGUAGGAAACAUUAGAGAAGUUGCCUUUUCCCACGAGACCAGCGGCAGCUUCUGCGGCCUUUGCUGCUUGUUUACUAAGCUUGUAACGGGACAUCAAAUUUGGGCACAAUCCUUUGAAGCAGAACUUCUUAGCUCUUUCUUCAUCAUCAAUGAUGGAUUUUGCAACCCCUUCACUUAUGAAUUCAUCAACGCUAUGUAGCCAGUCUGUGACACCCUCAUAAAGCUCAUCCCCUUGUAGCCUAGCAUGAUUAACUGGUUGCUGCACCGUUUCUCUUUUAUAUCCCAGCUGCUUUACUUGAUCUUUUAGAUCAUCUAUGUAGCUCUGGUACUUGAACACAUAAGAUAUCUGCCGUAUAAUCGGUUUGAACAAUGACUUUGCACCUUCUGAUACGAUGCUGGAGAAAGCUGCAAGACCCACCUCUGCCAUUGCCUGCUGCUUAACAAAUCUAAUAAAAUGUCAAAGAAAGGAAUUCAAAUAAAUUAAAAUGAACUAGAGGGAAAGACAAAAAAGGAAAAGGCAGUAAACAGUGUCGCAACAUUGAUCUUGAAUCAACUGAAACAUGAACAGAGCAUUUUUUCUUCUUUGUUAAGGAUCAGAGUUUUUGCUAUUAACAAAACCUACUUCAAGCGUCUUAAAAAAAAAAACUGUAAAUUUACCAUAAAUGAACAAUAACUACAAAACUCAAGCAAAACAAGCCACAGAAUUUUUAUCUUGGAAAGUGGAUGGAAUUAAGAAAGAAAUGCUAUAAAGAUCAAGCAUCAGAGAUUAUGCUAUUAAAAGAAAUUAAUUGAAGGUUUUAGAUCAAGUGCGCCUAUUUAAUUAUGUGGGGUCAGAAAGUUGAUGAGCCUCUGUGAUCGCCUUGAAUAUUUAAGAGCAAUUUCAAUGAGCAAAAAAUUUCUGUUACCUGCAGAGGAAUGUGAUUAUAGAGAGCUUAUAGGGUAAUGACAAUGAUUUGGAAAAGAAGAAGACUUAAUCAUGCAGCCCUUAAUAUUUAUUAAAUGACUUGUGAUCAUUUCUUUUAUGAAUAAAAUGCCAAUAGCAAAAAGAGAAAAAAGGGCGAAAUUUACUAAGUCUUAUUUUAUUUUUAAUUUCUUUUAUUUCCAUUCGCCGAAGAGGGAAUCUCUCCCUCUUUUUGUUUUUUUUUAAGGGGAAUCUCCUUACCUAAUAUGACAUAAUGAAAGCAAUCUGUAAAUAGUCAUAUAAUGUAAUAAUUAAAAAUACCCACAUAUUUAUAAUAUUAAUGAUGGGAUCCAUGUGUUUAUACUAAUUAAAUUGGUGGACCAGAAUUUAUUUGACCGUACUUGUUUUCUAUUUAAUUAAGAUUGAAACGAUAGAGAAAAAUUGUCGUAUUGAUUGUUUCGAUUGUGGAGUUCCAACACUGAAAGUGAAGAUUUCAUCAACUUUCUCACAUGGACACGUACCGUCAUGCAUAUUGCAUUAUUUUCCUAGAAAAGCAAGAUUAAUUCUUUUAAUAAUUGUGAAUUCAGGAAAACAGGUGGAUAAUAACUAAAAUAUUUAUUUUUAUAUUUUUGAUAAACGCACUCACUAUUAAUAGAAUUCAUUAGAUAUCAUAACUUAAAUAACUUUUUGUGAUUGAUUGAGGGUAUCUUUUACUUCCCAAUAAUUAACUUCUAUGUUGAUUCUCAGAAAAUUAAUUUUACGAAUAAUUUAGUAGGGUGUUUGGUAAAUGAUGAUUAUUUGACAAUCAGUUUUCAAAUAGUCUACUAUACAAAUUUGAUAAGUGAAAAUUGAAAGUGUAAUAUUCAUGUGCAAUGAUAAAAAUGUACUUGUUUGCUUAUUUGUAGCUUAUUUAGAAUAUUAUUAUUAACAUCAUUUUUUUAUUUACUGGAUUUUUAAAGAGUAUAUUCUACUUUCUUUAUUACAUAUCUAUAUCAUUUUUUUAUUAACUAUUUUAAUUUGCAAUAAAACUAACUUUAAUAUUUUUUAACUAAAAAAUUCAUGCUAACAUAUUAUUAAAUUGAUUAAUAAAUAAGUGCAAAAAGAAAAUGCAAAAAUUUAAUCUUUAUAUAAACUUUUAUGUACAUAAAACUAUUGCAAUCAAAGUAGUUCAUAAAAAUAAAAUAUUCUAUACAUGUGUGUAAAAAAAAAAUAUAACUACAAUAUUGUCCACUCAUUAAAUUUGCAGCACUAUUAUUUCUCAGUCUCCCCAUCUCUCGACCUUUACCUUUAGGAACAUUAACACCAUGAUCUUCUUCUUGAAUUCGACCUCCAUUUCCACAGUAUCAACAAGGCGAUCAAUUUGCUGUGACAGCCUUUCAACUCCUCCCACUUUCCUCCCUUUUGAGGCCGCCCUUUUUCUUUUUCUUUCUUUGAUAGCUUCAAUGGGAACAAACUCAUCUAACGACAAGUACAUUCUUCAACCACAGUAGAAUUGGUUGUUGAUAUUUUACUACUCUCAUAUGGUAUGUAAACAUGGUCACCAGUGAUUGUUAUAUUAAAAAAAAAUUCUAUUCAAUUUUUCCUCUGACUUUGUGUCGAUACCUUUCAUGCAAAAUCUAUUUGCUUCAGAAAUUUCUUCCGUAUGUUGAUAUCAUAUUAAAGUGAAUUCAAGAUCCUAUAUUAUUUUGCAUGACAUCAAAGUUUAGCCGAAUGGUAAAGAAUUUCCCUUUUUGUUUGUCCCACAACUAUAUAGUCUCAUUUUUGGCAAUAAGCUCACAAUAUGCACGGAAAUGAAGAUUUAUUAAAAACUUCCCUAUAAUAUUAAACACUAAACAAUAUCACUAUAACCAAAGUUGGCUGGUGUGAGUGGUUCGGCACUCUCACUCCUUAAGAGAGGUCAGGGGUUCAAGCCCCGCUCUCGUAUGGAGUCACCACUUUGGCCAGCACUUUACCCCUUAUGGGCCGACCCGGUGCGAGCGGGGAUUAGUCUGGGUUGUGGUACGGGCUUAAAGGUGCCUCCCACAGUUGGGGCCCACUCAGGACCACCUCGUGGUUCAGACCAAAAAAAAAAAAUAAACAAUAUCACUAUGUUGUGCAUAUGGUGCCUCGUCAACAAUUUGAUGUUCAUUUUGUUGCUCGGGUGAAUAUGACUACUUGGGUUGCGAGUCCAUGCUUUUGUCGUUUGGAUGGAGGACGGGCCAUCUUUUUAUUUUAGAUGGUUUGUAGGACUUUUGAUAAUUAUUUUUCUAAAACUGAUUUCUGGUUAAUAAGACCUAUGAAAGCAUUCGAAGAAGCCACCGAACUCAGAGGAAAGCCAUGGUUAAAUAUACUGCGAAGUAUGUGAGCUCGUUUUUUAAUCUCUUGAUCACUCAUAAGCUUUUCUAUACCACUCACUAUAUCAUCCUUUUGAAUCAAUUUUGAUUGAUCAUCAGAGAUCAUGUACCCACCUUGAGAUGAUUGAUCACAAAUUUGGCAUUGUAAUGUUGGUCACCUCUAAUUGGCCAUGCUAAAAUUGGGACUUGACAACCAAUUGUUUCACUGUUGAAUUCCAUCCACAGUGAGAUAAAAAUUCACCCGUUGAUUCAUGUCCCGCUCUCUUAUGAAGUCACCACUUUGGCCAGUACUUUACCCUUUAUGGGCCAACCCGGUGCGAGCGGGGAUUAGUCUGAGUUGUGGUACGGGCUUAAAGGUGUCUUCCACAGUUGGAGCCCACUCAGGACCACCUCGUGGUUCAAACAAAAAAAAAAAAAUCCACCCGUUGAUUGAUGACUCAAUAUCAAUAAUUGUGGGGCUCAUCCAUCUAUUAUCAAACCCGUUUCACCGACUUUAUUAUCCAAACCACUACGAAAAUAACUGCCUUCUACUGGUUUGUUCAAAUGACGUAGAGGAUCCAAUCUACCUGCACCACCUUGAAUUACCCAAAUAAACGGUCGAUUUGAUGCUUCUAAAGCAUUGGCUAGUACUAGGUACUCAUCUAAGGUCGGAUCCACUUCAGUACCAAAUGACACAUAUAACACAGAUCCGCGUGAUUUCAAAUUCAAUCAUUGAACGAUCUCAUCUUCCGUCAUGUUAGAACUCCGCCGGUUGGUUCUCAUCUCAUGAUCAUGAAGCACUUAACCGGCCAAUUUGUAAAAUUGUUCAGGUAACAGUGGGCCCACUCCCCACAUCGGCUUUCUCAAUUCAUUGGCUAAAUAAUUAUAAAUGGUCCCUCAAGACCAUCACACGUGUUGAACAUCAACGCCAUUGAUCCCUCCGCUUCCUUCAUCCAGUGUGGUUGAUCACCGGCCUCUGGUGGACCUAUUUUCUCGGAACCAGGUGCACCUCUCAGAGGUGGUGGACCACCAGGAGGGUGCCCAUGAGGCCUUGUUUAAGAUUCGAUUCAAAUAAAGCCAUAUCCUCGGGUAACCCAGGAAGUAAAUGGGCCUCUCCCGGUUUGACAUCUUGGAUGCGAGCCUACCACAUGGCACACUCCACAGCUGCCGAGCAAGCACCAGAAGUGAAGAACCCAACAAUGGGAACUUCAAAAAUCUUGAAAACAUCAGCCGUCCAGCCCAUCAUAACGUCGAUGACUGCACAAACGGGUCGGCUUUUGGGUUCCCGGGUUGAAAGGAGGUUUCGAAGGCCUUGAAGCAUUUGGUUGUGCAUGACAACAUGGGGGUGAGGAGACGAAGGAGGGUAUUUUAGUAAUUUCAAAUAGAGGGUAUUGGUGAAGAGGGGAAGGGGUGAUGCUGUGUUGAAUCAAAAUAGAGUAAAAACUCUAAUUGAUCAAGAAGAAGAAAAACACUCUUUAGAAUAAUCUCACAAAAUUGCAAAAGAGAAGAACUCUUAAGAAAACUUUCAAAUGCUUAUAAUAAAGCUUUGAUUGUUAAAUUAUAAAACUCAAAUACAAAUAAGGUAUUUAUAGGUUACAAGAAACAAUCUAAACCACUCAUUAAAAUAACCACAAACUAAUUUAAACCAUUGAAAUUAAACAUGAGAAAAAUACCUAAUUUUCACCUAACUAAAUUGAUGUAAGCAAUGACAUCAAAUUAAUUUGGGUGUGGACUUAUUUGGGCUAAUAUUGACUUCUCAACACUCCCCCUCAAUGUUAGCCCAAUUCUUUGAAUCACGCCAAGCUGACGACGGAAAUGUUCAAACUUUCCAACACUCAAGCUUUUUGUAAACAAGUCCGCAGUUUGCUCAUCUGUCUUGACUUGCCUCAUCUCAAUCUCUUCUUGCAGAACUUUUUCCCUAACAAAGUGGUAAUGCACUUCCACAUGUUUAGUUCUUGCAUGAAAAACAGGAUUCUCCGCCAGCCGAAUUGCCGAUUGGUUGUCACAGUACAACAGAACUGCAUAAUCUACUGGUUGAUGUAGAUCAUUCAUUAGUUGUAUCAGCCACGUGCUUUCUUGAGCUGCCAUUGCUGCUGCUCGGUACUCUGCUUCCGUAGUUGACAAGGACACAGUCGGUUGUCUCUUGCUACACCAAGAAAUCGUUCCAGAUCCAAGGGUAAACAUAUACCCAGUAGUUGAUCUGCGAGUAUCGUGAUCUCCUGCAUAGUCAGCAUCACAGUAGCCAACUAGUUUGUAAUUUCCACCUUUCUUGUAUAGAAGACCAUAGUCUAUUGUACUCUUCACAUAUCUGAGUACUCGCCGAACCGCUUCUAAAUGAGACUUCUUCGGAUUUUGCAUGUAUCGACUCAUCACACCAACUGCAUAAGAAAUGUCAGGUCGAGUCAAGGUUAAGUAGAUUAGACUACCCACUAAUUGUCGAUACAUCGAUGCAUCUUCCAGGUCUUUGCCUUCAUGUGCACACAUCUUGGCAUUUGGUUCCAUCGGCGUUGAGAUCGGCUUACAUUCUAGCAUCCCAAACUUCUUCAACAAAUCUUUGGCAUAUUUCUGUUGACAAAGAAAUAUCCCUUCUUUCAUCUGAUCAACCUCUAGCUCAAGGAAAUGCUUAAGUUGUCCAAGUUCUUUCAUUUGAAAACGAACUGACAAGUUCUCCUUUGUUCGGAAAAUUUCUUCAAUAUCAUCUCCAGUGAUGAUUAGAUCAUCUACGUACACGAGCACAAUAGCUAUCCUUUCUCCAUUAGCUUUAGCAAACAAGCUGGAGUCUGCAGAUGUUACUGAAUACCCACUUUGAGUUAGAAAUUCAGCAAUCUUGCCAUACCACGCCCUGGGUGCUUGUUUUAGUCCGUAGAGAGCCUUUUGCAGCUUACACACAUACUCAGGAUGACCUCGGUUCUGAAAACCCAUCGGUUGAAUCAUGUAGAUCUCCCGAUCCAGCUCUCCAUGGAGAAAGGCAUUCUUCACGUCCAUCUGCCACAAGUUCCAGCUUUUGUUGGCUGCAAGUGCAAGUAAGACUCGGACGGUUGUAAGUUUUGCCAUUGGACUAAACGUUUCGUCAUAGUUUAGUCCAUAUUGUUGAGAGAAACCACGAGCUACCAAUCGAGCCUUGUACCUCUCGAUUGACCCAUCUAGACGGUGCUUUAUUUUGUAAACCCAUCUGCAGGAUAUGGGUUUCACAUCUUUUGGCUUUGGCACGAGUUCCCAGGUCUGAUUUUGCUCAAGUGUAGUGAUCUCGUCUUUCAUAGCUGUCAUCCACUCAGAACUCUGUGAUGCUUCUUCGAAUGUCUCAGGUUCUAUUCCAGUUGCUUCUUCAACUAUGGCUGCAUUAGCGUAUUUGGGAUUUGGCCUUCGGGUUCUUGUUGACCUUCGUAAUGGAGUUGAUUCUUCCGUUUCACUAGGCACACCUUCUUCAUCUGGUUGUCGAUACACCCCAGAUUGCCAAGGAUUUAGAGUUACUCUUCGUUCGCUAUCACUAUCGCAUAGAUCCCCAGCUGAGCUUAGAUGAAUUUGGACAGUAUGCUCCCCCAUCUUUUGUUGUAGCAUGUCUUCGAAUUCUUUCGAGUCUGGCAGCACUUCUUUUUCUGAGGUCCACCAUGAGGAUGCUUCAUCAAACACCACAUCUCGUGAUGUGUAGCACCUUUCAUUUACUGGAUCACAACACUUCCACCCUUUUCGCUGGUUGUCGUAUCCUACAAAGAUACAUCUGACAGCUUUCUUAUCGAUCUUGCUACGUAGAUGGUCAGGAACAAAUACAUAGCAUACACAGCCGAAUACUCGAAGAUAGCUAACUGUAGGUUUCUUGUUCCACAAUUUCUCAAAGGGUGAAACAAACUCCAACCUUGGUUGAGGAAGCUUGUUGAUGACAUGAGCUGCAGUUCUCAUACCUUCGGCCCAAAAUCUUCCAGGUACAUUCUUCGCAUGUAGCAUACUCCGGUAAAUUUCAGCAAGAUGCCGAUUCUUCCUCUCUGCUACACCAUUUUGUUGUGGCGUAUUAGCACAAGUAUACUGAUGACGUAUUUAGCAUUCCCGUAGGUAUUGAGAAAACUCUCUCGAGCUAUACUCACCCUCGUUGUCUGUGCGCAAGCAACGAAUCUUUUGCUCCACUUCUCCUUCGACUAUCUCUUUGAACUCUUUGAACUUUGAGAAUGCUUCAGAUUUUUCUUUCAUGAAGAAAGCCCAUACAUAUCUGGAGAAAUCAUCAAUGAACGUAACCAUAUACCACAUUCCGCCAAUUGAUGGUUGCUUAACGGGUCCAAACACAUCAGAGUGAAUUAACUCUAAUGGUUUAUUUGCUUUAAACUUCGACUCCUCGUAUGGCAAUUGAUGUGCUUUACCAUAUUGACAUCCCGCGCAAACAAUAUUUGUUCUCACGUCAAGUUGAGGAAGUCCUUUAAGCAUCGACUUCUUCACCAUCACACUUAGCUUGGAAUAAUUAACAUGACCUAGCCGCAUGUGCCACAGAUCUGCCGUCUCAUUCCUUCUUGUCUUGUCUACGUAUGCAGACUCAGCUGACAUCACAUAAACUGACUCCAAUUGUCGUCCCUCCAUCGUAGGCUUUUCUGAGAUCUUUAAGUCUCGGAAUACCUUCACAUUUUGUGGACCAAACAAGACAUAGUGGCCUGAUGAUGUCAAUUGAGCUACGGAUAGCAAAUUUUUCUUCAUUCCUGGAACAUGGUAGACAUCUUGAAGUGGCACUUGGUUGGGACUAUAUCGAGGUGUAACGAUCGCUUUACCGAUGUGAGCUAUCGGUAACCUUGAGUUGUCAGUUGUUACCACCACACGAUUUCCCUUGUACUCAGAACAAUUUUGCAACUUCUGUCUAUCACCCGUCAUGUGAUUUGAGCAGCCUGAGUCUACGAUCCAAUCAUUCUCGUAGUUAAUCUUUUCUGGUGUUGUUACCGUGAGAGCUAAUUCUUCUUCCUCCAUAGCGAGUAAUGCUUCGGCAUCCCAGUUAUCUUCACUAUCUUCUUUAGAACUAGAAGUAGCAAUAUUGCUUUCGGUAGACUUCUUUUUGGACCAACAAUCUCUCUUCAUGUGGCCCUUCUUCCCGCAAUUGUAACAUUCGCCAUCAAACUUUCUAUUACUGUCGCGAUUCUUCGAAGCUCCCCCUGGACGAGAGCCAUUCCCUCCCUGAUGACUUUUUGUCUGUUCACCAGUCUUUCUAGAUCCGCCUUUGUUGUGCUGUCUUGAACCACCUCUGCUUUGGUUGGUGUAAAGCGCUUCCUCUUCACCCUUUAGUGAGACUCCUCCCAUUUUCUUGGCCAUAGCUUCUUGGCCUGUCAGCAAAUUUUCAAACUCAACAAGUGAUGGUUGUGUCGGCCAUCCUUGCACAGCGGCUACAAAGCUUCGGUAUUCGGGUCUCAAGCCAUGGACAAUUAUUCUUUUUAUCCUGGCUUCCCCAAUAGCAGCUAUUGGAUCUAAUUCUGAAAUUUCACGGCAUAUCGACUUCACCUUGUGAAAGUAUUGGGCAAUCGCCAUGUCGCGUUGCGCCAUUGAUAGAAGUUCAUUCUCGAGAAGUUGCAAUUUUGUAUCGUUCCUCUUCGAAAAGAGUGUAGCGAAGGUGUCCCACGCUUCCUUCGGUGAUUUAGCAUCCCGAAUGUGCUCCAACAUUUCUUCUUCUAUUGUGGUCUUUAAAGCAAACAUUGCUUUGCCUGCUUUAAUUUUCCACUUCCGCAAGACGCCGUUAGCAUCUUCCGCUGCCGGUUGUGUAACUUCACUACCACCGACAACCUCCCACAAGUCUUGACCUUGAAGGUAAGACUCUAUACACGUUGCCCACGUGUUAUAGUUUUGGUUGUUGAGCUUUUUGAUUCCUCCAACAACUUGAAGAUCACCCAUCGUAUCGGUAUCGACAAGACUUUGACUACACCGAACAAGCUUGAGUGACUACCGUGCAGAGUAAUACACUACUCUUGACACAAAGAAGCUCCCUCUCAAGGUUUGUGAUAACCCCAGCAAUAAUCUCAAGAAAUCUUUUCUGAUGUGGAAGAUCAGUCAAAACUGCAACCACAGAGCAUACUCGGAAUUUCAAGAGACUUUACAACCAAUGCUCUGAUACCAAAUGUUGAAUCAAAAUAGAGUAAAAACUCUAAUUGAUCAAGAAGAAGAAAAACUCUCUUUAGAAUAAUCUCACAAAAUUGCAAAAGAGAAGAACUCUUAAGAAAACUUUCAAAUGCUUAUAAUAAAGCUUUGAUUGUUAAAUUAUAAAACUCAAAUACAAAUAAGGUAUUUAUAGGUUACAAGAAACAAUCUAAACCACUCAUUAAAAUAACCACAAACUAAUUUAAACCAUUGAAAUUAAACAUGAGAAAAAUACCUAAUUUUCACCUAACUAAAUUGAUGUAAGCAAUGACAUCAAAUUAAUUUGGGUGUGGACUUAUUUGGGCUAAUAUUGACUUCUCAACAUGCUGGUGGCGGAAAUGUGAGAGGGAAUGGUGAGGGUAGAUUUGUAAUUACGAGAAGCGAUUUGCUUGCAUAAUUUAAUGCAUGGAAAUAGAUGUCCCUGACCAAAGAAUGGGACAAUCCAAAUCUCGGCCUCAGCAGCGCUGCAGCAGUAGCAACAGAGCUUGACAUCUUUUUGAAUUAUUUGAUACUUAAUUGUUACUGUUUGCUUUUACCAUCUUUCAUAAAACACUCUUUGUUAUAUAUAAAGGGAUGACUUAAUGGAGAAGUAAGUGUUUUAGUUUUACAGUUUUACUAGUAGGUGAGCUCGGAGUUUGAUAAUUUGAUUGUUAGUUUUAGUUGGUUAGUUAUGAGAAAGCAUCUUUAAGAAAAUUCAUUCCAGUUUCAACUAAAAUUAAUAAUAUUGUUCAAAUUAAUUACUCGAUAAAUAAAUAAUUAGAGAUAAAUUUAUCCCUAAUCUCACAUUUAUAAAAUAAGGAUUGAAAUAAGUUUUUGUGGGUUCGAACUCAAGCCCUCAAGUCGAGCGGCUGGAUCUUGACUACUUUGACUUAAUUAUUAUUAUUAUUAUAUAUAUAUAUAUAUAUUUUUUUUUUCAUUCUGUCACGGAACAUCUUUUGUUAUAUAAUGAAGAAGAUAAGUUGACGAAGAAGAGUUCUACUUUUACUAGUAGAUGAGCUUUGAGUUGACAACGUUAGUUUUAGUUAGUGAAAUAUCUACCAUCCAAAUCAACGUUCUUUAGACUAUUAUUCAAGUGAGAUGUCUGAGUAACAUACGCUUGAGUUGGUCGGUGCCUGGCAAUUCGUGUGAUACAUGAAACCAACCGAUAUGAAAACCAAAUCAAGUUGGUAGGAUUACAUUAAUUUAAAUUAACUUUCAAGUUCUAAUAUUAUAAGAUAAAUAAAUAGCAUAAAAUAAUUUUUAUUUUCAAGUAAAUAUGUUUAUCGUUUAAAAAUUAUUUUUUCUUGCGGUAAAUGCAACACUAAAUAAGGAGUGAAUAGGGUAAUUUGUAGGGUAUACCCCCACCUUUUAUUUCAUUUCAUUAUUAAAAAAUAAAGGCUUGAUUCAACAUUCAAGUAAAAUUAACAAUUCCAUGAUAAAAUUGCUUGAGAAUAAGAAUUAAAAUAAAAAAAGAAAACAGCAACUCAAAAACGACAUACAAAUACCGCAUAGAGGUUUUUCGUCGCAAGAUAUUUUUGGGUUGAGCAACACUUGUAUAACAGAGCAUACAGACUGAAUGACGGUGAGAAUAAGAAGGAAAACGGCGCCACACACCGAAAUGCCAGCCCAUGGAGUAUUGAAGUAAUUUUGUUUCAAGUUUGCCCUCCAUUUGUAGCACGUUCUUUUGCAGUGAUCAUUCAAUCCUUUGCAUAGCCCAGAAAAAUAGAAGCUAUCAGACAGCAGAGUAGUACCUCUAGAAAGGUUAUUUAUAAGCAUUGACGCAGUCUCUUUAUCCGGCAACCGGUUCUCAAUGAUUCCGUUCUGAACAAGCAACUCGACGUCCUUCGCUGUGUUCACGAGAUGAUGAAUAAGGAACACAUAAUCAUUUAUGUAAUUCUCUGAGUAAUGCCGUUGUUCAAAGGCAAUGAGAUUACGAAAUAAGGAUUCCGUUUCCAGCUGUAGCUUCAGUUUCGGAAUAUGCAAUGUCCUGUUUUUGAAUUCUAUGGCGAACAAAUCAUUGCUCUUGCUCAAACUGAAGUGGACUCCAGCUUGGUGGAGAUCAGUCACACUUGGUGCGGUUUUGCCUUUGUGGUAUUGCUGACCUUCUUGUUUUUCCUGAUUCCUCGAUGAUGGUAGAUGACAAAUCCUUAGAAAAUCAAGGAAAUGCUCGACCCUAACCUCAGUGUAAGGAGGGAAUUUUUGCUGAUUACCUUGUACUGCCUCUAAACCCUUGAAAUACUCGUAUGUGACUGUGAUGAUGGUUGGAUUUUCAUGUUGGUCGGGGAUUUCAAUAGCAAAAAGAUCCUCAAGAAUGAAGAAAGGAAGCUGAUUCUCAAGCAACCACAUAUCAUACCAUAUAUCCUCUAUUAAAUAGGGUUUAAGAAAUAUAUAAUCAUCUUUUUUUUGAAGUUGACGGAAAUGAUGCCUCAAUAAGAGUUCAAUGAUGAAGGCAGCAUCCAGCAGAAUCAUUUCAACAAAUUUAUCACUACUUAGUUCGACUUUUUCUGCAUAAGAACCUCGUAAUUCUGCUUCUCUGAGCUUUAUAAUUUGAACAAACUCGUCAAAGCUUAUUUUGGUCCGUUGAAGAAAGUAACGCAGGUACCGCUGUUUAUGUUCUUCCAUGAACUGUAAGUUUGCUUUGCCAUGGUGAAGAGGGCCAAUUGAGACUACCUGAGCUGUAUAUGCCUUUUCAUUUAUCUGACGUAAUCGCUCCGGAACUCUGUAGAUGCAGCAGUUUGAGGGCAAUGGUGAUAAUUUUUCCAACUUAACUUGCAAGCACUCUUCCAUGUUAUAAACUGAAAACAUGGCGCGAAAUUUGAUCAAUUCACUAGUUUAUAUAAUAUUCUUGAACCUCAUCUUAAGCAAAGCAACAAAAGCCUUCACUGUUUCUUAACAACUUUAUUGCUCUAACACAUAGCAUAACAUUUUUAAAUUUGCAUAAAGCACAAUAGUACUUUAGUUUGUAACAACAGCACAGAUAAUAAAUAGCAUUUUAUAGCUUUAACAAAAGCAUACAAAAUUCUUAAACCUUGUUUCAAGCAAUUCAUUAAUGCCACAAGGAUGUCUUUUUGCUUCCUACAGUUUUUAUUGAAAUUCAUAUAUUCUUCUUUAUCAAAUUAAGUAAUUUUCCUUUUUCAAAAAAUCAAGAAGGUUUCGACUGCAUGGAAAUACAGCACACAAUUACUACUAUUCCCGGAGUAAGAAAUUCAUAAAUGCAAUAUAAACAUACAUUUUCAUAAGACAUCAGAAUCAAAGAAUCAUCAAUGCAUCAAAUCUGUACACCCAAAAAAGUUGAAAGCACCAAGAGAAAAUUAUACCGCAUGGACCCUUUACAACCCUUAUAACGAGUUCAGACAGCUACAAUGUGCAAUACAAAAUUUCCCAAUACUAUUUAGAACAAAGUCUAGAAAACAAAACUUAUAUAUUGUACAAAAUCAUGAAAACCAGAAAUGACAAAAAACCUGCAAAUGUAAUUUUUGGGUUUCUUCAACAUAUCUUCCAUCCAAAUCAAACAAGAAUCGAUAAAUCAACAACAUUCAUCUUUAAAUGACAUAUUACCACAAUAAAAUUGUCAACCAAGCCUCAUAUAAACCUUUUUUGUGUUUUGUGGUAAAUAUAUUUGUUAUUCUCUAAGAAUACUAGGGAAAAAAGAAACCCACUUUCUUAAUCAAGAAUCAAAUAAUAUAUAUUUAUCUAAGCUGAAGUAAGUCUUCGGUUUGAUGAAAUAGCUUGCAAUGUGAUUUAGAUUGGAAAGGAAGUUGAUUUUUGCUGGUUGAGAGAGAGAGAUUUGAGACUUAAGAGUGUUGCUAAUCUUCGAUCGUGUAAACAAGGGUAACUGGGUCAUAGUUCAAAAUAAGGGUCCAAAAUUUACUAAAGCUAUUAAGGAGCCCAAAACUCAUAAUGGCUUGCCCAAAAUAAAUAAAAUUUUCGAGCAUUAAGUUUUUGUUUCUUCUUGAGAUUUCCUUGCCGUACUUACCCAUAUUUCGAUAUUGCCUCCAAGUAAACUUAUAUAUAUUGAUUAACAAUAUAAACAAGCACUAUGAAGUUUUAGGCAUGAAAGAACAUUAGGAUUGAAAUGAAAACCAUCUAUUUAAGUAACAAAUUCUUCUGAUAAUUUGAUGCUUAAUUUAGAGCAGAGAUGACAUAUCAAUCACGUUAUGAUGUGGAAGUUAUGAUUAUAUUCAUCUUAAGAAUAAGAUCUUUCAGACACUGGCAGAUUAGUAUAAAAAAUACUCAGCAUAAGACCUACAAACUAGAAAUCACGCACCAAUUAUUGAACUCAGCACAUAAGUUGAUCUUUUAUAAGCUAUAAAACAAAUCUGCUAUAACAUAAGAAAGUGGGAUUUAUCACCAGACAAGUAUUUUGGUGAAAUUCAAGCUGACGGAAGGAUAUCCAAAGCAACCUCCUUAAGGGAAGGCAUCACUUCCUGCUGAUGCAAACAUGUAUAUUUAUUACUCACUUUCUUGAGGACCUUCUAGGAACCUGGGCAGCACCUAACAGAAAGUGGAAAAGAAUAAAAUGUAAAAUAUAAGUUAAACAGCAGGAAAACAGUGAGUGAUACUAGGCAAGCAUUAAUAUGUUGCCGCAGGAAAAGUGUCAGUAACUAGCUAGCAAACCUGAAAAGGGUUCCUCCAUUGUGACCCUUAAAAUUGUGAAUGUAAAAUAUGGUCUCCAUCACAGGAAAAAGUGUUUUGGAUAGUGCAGCCAGCUUAGGGUAGAAGAAUGACGGAUAAUCUUUAGCUCAUUUAAGGAAAUCCUCUCUGAUCCUUUCAUUGCACAUUCCAAAACAACUCUACUACAACCAAGUUACCAAUUCUUUUUGUUAAGUCAUUGUUAUUUGUUAAAAAAAAAAAAUCUUCCUUGCAACAUUUUAUUGAAAGAUAUAACAUGAUCAUCCCUACUAAUUCCCUUUUAGAUUUCUGUGAGUGAAUUUCAAAUUAUUGUAUUCAAAAAUAGAAGCAAAAGACCCACUUUACUUUCAAUUUCUGCAACAAGAUACCAAUUGAAGGACCAAAAAGUUGUAAACAACCAAUUCAAUGGGUGGGCAUCUAGAAACUGCUAUAUAGCAUCAAGAUCAUACUAAAUUUACAGAAAGUACGAUAAUAAUGAAAGAAUGGUGAAGGAUACACCCAGACCUUAUCCGGUCAAGUUCUCCAUUGAAUAUAAUCAGUUUCCGGGCAGUAUUGAAGACAACUUCUUUGUAAAGCUCUUCAACGACAAGCAUUUCUACAAGACAAAAGAAAAGCAAAAUUAAUUACCUUAAGGAAUGAAUAUCAAUGAGAAGACAACGUGUAAGACUACCAUUGACAUUAAAAUAUGGAUACGCGACUAGAAACAAUUCAUCUUCCGGCUUCACACGGUCUGCCUUUUUAACCUUCUCAGUGAAUCCAAAAUCCUCAAAGAAUGAAGGUUUUGUUAGAUAGUCCAACUUAAAUGAUGAUCCUUCAAAGACCUAUUUUCUUGCAAAUUUGACUUCAUUUGCCUCUGGGAAAAACUAAAAACCAAAUGACAGACCAAGAUCACAAAACGAAUCAUGAACAUAGAUAUCAGAUAAUCAGAAAUGGGCAUUAAACAGACUACUAACAAAUAGGAAAUGCAUACAGAAAACAUUAUUCAUACACCUUAUGCACAUGAAAUAUAUAUGCAGUGGGAUCCUCUUGUGAAUUUAGUUUAUAUCCUAAAAUGAGACAAUGAACAAUUGGAUGCCAUCUAAGGGCUAACAUUUGUUUGAUUAUUAUAUGAAAAAAAAAAACAAAACAGAGUUGAUUGAUGGCCUUUGAUGGAUUGCCUACACUCCUAAAGUGCAGAGAGCCUGAUUAAUUGCUUUACCUGCCCCCCACACACACACUUGAUUUUAUUAUCUCUCUUUUCAAAUAUAUAAUCAUUGCCUGUCUUUCAUCCUGAUCCAGCUCUCCUUCCAGGCACCAGCUGUGUUUUCUUCAAUUCAGUGAAGCAUUCACUUUCAGGUAAGAAUAAACUUGUCCUUCCUCAAAAAUCAGCUUCUCACCAUGAAGCUUUCUUUUUCAAAACAAUUACUAGUCUAGCAUAAUGCAUCUAAUUGAAGACAACUCAGAAUUGAAAAAGCCAUACUUUAAUGUCUGCUGUUGGGACCUCAAGACCAGGAAAAAAAAGCUUCUUUCUAACUGUUGGAUUAACAAGUAGAAAUAGCUUUUUUCUGAAGGACCCAACAUUGCAUUGAAAAAUUCAACAAAAGGACUGGCGUCAUAUUUAGUCCUGCUAGAAUUUUGUGCACUUAACACAAUGGUUAAUAAUUGGCCCAGCAGACACUUUGUCGAACUACUGGCAAACCUUGACUGUGGAAAUGCAUAUUUCAAAUGUUGGCAGACUCUAGCUUCUUGAUGUACUGUUGAUAAAAAUGCCUAUUUCAAAAGUUGGCAGGCUCAAACUGCCGAGACUUUGGUUUCUUACAUUUCAAACCCACAAAUAAAACUUUGGCAGAACCCCAGAAAGAGCUACACCUCCCAAAUUUGAUGACAUAUGAAGAGACCAUGCCUAGUGCUUGGUUCGGCAAAUGAGUAAGUUUGAAAUAAAUUGAGGGAAACCUUUCCCACAGAGAGUCAUUUUGAAGGUUACAAUUUGAAGACUUUGUCCCCUGUCGCCCGUAACCUUCUUUGAUCUCUUUUCUUAGUCAUGAAUAAUCAAACAUGUGUUAGUGGUUGGAUGCAAUCCACUCGCUGACAUCUCAUGUCCACAAUCAAUCAACCAUAUUUUAAUAGAAAUGGAAACAUUUUAAUUAAAAAAGAAUGAGAUAGGAACAAAAUCAAGCUUGGCAGACAUGGGUCUAUGAGAUUUUAAAGAUGCUUGGUGAAAGUCGUAUUCAAGAGUUCAACAAUCAGUUCCAUCACCUAUGGCAAAGUAACCACCGCAACUAAAGCAAUUACAAAACAUCAAGAAGCUUGAACUUGGCAAGAGGUCUCAUUAACAGUAUACCUCAGAAAUUAAGACAGAAUUAAAGUGCAAGCUUUUGGAUUUAUUUAAACACUGAAAAUAAUAUGGGUAGAAGCUCCUAUGGUCACAGCAAACAAUUACAAAGCACAAAACCCAAAAAACAGAUAUGCAAAAAGCUGCAAAAGAACAUUAUUAGCAAUUGACAUCUGCUUUUGCUCAGACAAAGGUUCUCAUAACAAAGGACUUAGUGAUUAUCUGUCAUAUGUUUAUGUUAAGGGGAAAAAAGAAGUUUGUUUUAGUCAAUCUCAUGUCUAUUGGCAUUCAUAAGGAGCCCAAAAAUAAAAGAAAAAAUAAAGAGUUAGUAGGUGUUUCUUGCAACACAAAGAAAAUUUAUCAUCCAUGAAAAACUUAGUAUGGAAAAAGCUAACUCAUUUAUCUGCCAAUGCAGAAAAACUUGUUGUCUACCCACUAAGGACCCACCAUUGGCAGGUCUGAUGGAUCCCAUGGAUGGGAACCACAAAUAUUUUAUUCUAAAUGACAUGGGUAUUGCACCCAUAUCAUUUAAUUUGUAGAUUCCACUGAUGGAACUCAUCAAACUUGCCAAAUGGCAAGUCCUCCGUGGGUAGGCGCAUCACUUCAGCAUCCUUCUCCACCGAUGACCAAAUCUGGACUCAUUUAAAAAGAAUACAAAGCAAACUAACUGACAAAAAUUGCAUAUAGAGGUCUAGGAGCCAAAUCAAUGUUGUUAACUCAUCCAAUUAAUACAUUCUCUUAGAGGUCAUACCUUGGUAACUCAUUUCAAAAGAAAUUAAAAGAAAAAUGACUGCACAAAUUGUACUGAGCUCAAGAAGACCUGUUCAAGGUGUUCACUUGUCCAACUAAUAAAAGUCAUCAAGGAUUGUAUCAGGGACUUGGGACCAAUCCUGCCUUAACGAGAGAAAGGGAAUUUAGGAUGAAGAAGAUAACCUCUUUUCCUAGAGCAAAUUAAGCUGGUAAAAUCUUGGCAGUUGCACUUGGGGCAGAAAUUAGUUCCACCUUGGUUUACAGGACAGAAAUUCGUCAUAUGCAUGUAUUUAUUUAUAUUUUAUACACAUACGCAUACAUGUACACACAAACACUACCUUCACUUUGAAGAAAAGAUUAAAAUAACACUGCUCACAUACACAAUACUUACUAUUCUAGUUCGUGUGACUUUCUCCGGAGUCACAAAUAGGUCAAAGAAUUCGCGUAUUAACCGCAUACUUCCAGUCAUUUCUAUUCCUCCUUCACCAUCACCUUUCCCACAAUUACAAAAAGUGAGAGGUAGUAACCAACAUAUUUGGGUUGUUCUUCGGUAAGGGGUGGGAGGUAAGGGUUAGUUGUGGAGGGCACCUGGUACAGAAUCAAGGCCAGCUGUUGGGAAUUUGAUCUCCUGUAACAUAUACUUGUUCAUCAUAAACUAUAUACUUAUUCUGCAGUCGAUGUGGGCAUAUAGCUCUUCAAUUAUCCAGUAAUAACUCACCAUCAACUUCCUGCCAUCCUUCAUGGCUAAUUCAGCAGCUAUUUUUGCCUGUUUAAAGGGCAAAAGCCCAAACUAAGCAGAUGCUCCUACUCCGAUACUUAUUAUCUAACUACUACAGAACAGAUGAUACACAUCAAGUUGUGUCAAGAGAGACACCAAGUUGUGUUUUCCAAGAGGUUCCAAAGAGGUUUUGUGUUAGAGUGCAAUUUAUGCACUAGUUUUGAAUUGUUUACUUCCUUAAUAUCGAUGUUUUGCACUUAAUAAUAGUGAUUUACUUGUGUUUUAUUUUUAUAGGUGCAAUUAUAUUGAUUGGUGCAAAAAUUGAGCUACAAGACGAUGUUUAAGGAUGAUUGUUCUCUUGGAGAAAUUAUGAGCGUCAGAAGAACUUUGUUGAUAAGGCGUGGGCGCGUGCUGUCAACUACGGACCUGCAGUUUUUAGUUUAACGUGUUUUGUAUUUUUGGUUAUUUUUAUAAUUACGAAUUUAAUAUUUCAGAUAUUAGUAUUUUAUUUUAAAUAGAACUCUAGAGGAGAAGAGAGAGAGAGUAUUUAAGGGAAGAAUCUAUUGUGAAAAAAGGGAGAUUUUUGGAAAAGAAAGAAACCCUAGAUCUAAAUUUUUCUCUUCUCUCCAUGAAGAACUAAAUCUAUUAUUCUGUUUGAAGGUUAAUGAAGCUUUUAUUCAUCACUACUGUGAGAUCUUUCUUAUGCUUUAAUUGUUUUAUUGCUUUUUGGGUAUUUGUUUAUUCUCUGAAUUAUUUUCAUGAUUAUGUUUGUUAAUUAGAUAAUUGGCUACUAUUUAAUUAUCAACUUAAUCUAUUGUCAAUUAAAGGAUUCAUCGUAUGAAGAUUUUAAUGUUUGUGACAAAUAACAUAGCAGAGAGUUGUGUUGUGAGAAUAAACAAUCUAAUUUAAAUGAACCAUCGUAUGUGUUUGUUGAUUAGGAUUUGGGUCUCUCUGGUUUUUCAAGCUGUCAAUUGAUUAAAUCCUAUGAUCGUAUCUAGGGUUAUCUAUUGAUUAGGGAAAUAACCAACGGUCAUACCUUGGUUAUCGACUAAUUAAGGAGAUAUUGGCUAUUAGAGGGUCUCAGUAGCUAUAACCGGUCUAUUCAUAAGUAGUAAUAAUUUAUAUUUGAAUCAAUGAUCAGUAGUCGAAUCAAGCUGAGUUAAUUCCUUCAACCAGAGCUUUCUCCAAUUUGAAUUACAACUUUAAUUUGCAUUCUUGUUAUUUUAAUUUGAUUGUUAUUAUUGUCACAAAACCCUCAUUUUAUAUUUUACGUUUUAAAAGGAUUUAAAUAAUUACCGAUCUCUGUGGACACGACUUUGCUCAAUCACUAUACACAAUUUAUUUAGAGUAGGUAUUUAUUUUUGUUGGCUUCGACAACCUUCAAAUUUUGGCGCCGUUGCCGGGGAUUGGUGUCAUUUAUUUAAUCCUUUUUACGUUUUACUUGGUGUAUGGUUCGUUCUUCUUGUACAGGUACACUUUCGUUUGAUCCUUAAAUUGAGAAGACAGCUCGCCAGCUGAGACAGCAGACGAAGCGAGCUAAGCAACGACACUCAUCGCCUUGCUUUCUGAAACAGAUACGGUGCCUGAUUUAGUUGAAUCAUCAAGCGAUUUAGAAGAACAAGUGAUGGAUAGAGCUGCACCUGUAGAAAGAACUCUUAGAGAGUUAGCCGAACCAGACUUGAAUCAGCAACCACUCUACAUUCAAUAUGUAGACUUGGAGGUAAAUUUUGAAUUAAAGUCUGGUCUUAUUCAUUUAUUACCCAAGUUUCAUGGUUUUGCAGGUGAAGAUCCUCAUAAACAUCUCAAGGAGUUUCAUGUUAUGCGUUCAAGUAUGAGGCCACAAGGCGUGACUGAAGAGCAAAUUAAGUUGUGUGCUUUUCCUUUCUCUUUAGAUGGGCUAGCUAAAGACUGGUUGUAUUACUGUUAGAGUGCAACUUAGCAUAUAAUUUUUUAGGCAAGAAAGAUCACUCAGGAGUUUUCUCUAAAACUGAAUUUUAUUUUAUCUGGUGCAUGUUAAAUGAUGUGAGGCCUAAUUUAGGUUUUUGGUUAGCAGAUCAAUUUCAAAGUGUGCUUAAACGGUAUAGGACUUUAUUUCUUGGUCCAUACAUUACUCUGUUAGCUAUAAACCUAUGUGUGCUUGAUCCUGACAAUAAUGAUUUGCAUCCUGCUUGCAAAAAAGAAUUUUUGGAUAUGUUUAUGUUUGAAAGAACAGGUGUGGUCGAAUUCAAGGAGCGGAGAUUUCAGUUUACUAAACCAGGGCCCACUCAACCUCCGAAGAAGCUUUAUGCUAGGAGUGGUGCUACCUCUGAUGACGAGUUUGACGACGACACUGCUGCCCCGCCAACUAUUCCUUCUACAUCCGCACCACCUUUGAGCAUUCAGUUAGAGAAAAUGGAGCACAAGCUGAAUAAGAUGGAGCAAAAUUUGGCCACAUACUUCGAGAAUGUGGGAUUUACCUCACCAUUUCCGCCAAGCCAAUAGACGUUAUGUGGAUCAAAGCUCACAAUUCAGGGAAGUUUUUUUUGCCUUUAAUCUUUUAUCCUUACGCUUUAAUUUUUAUGUGAGCUUUGAUUAUCUUACAUUGGGGACAAUGUAAGUUCUUGGUGUGGGGGAGGGAUUUUUGCAUUAUUGAUGUCUGGAAUUAUUAUUUUCACUCUACUCAUCUAUUUUCACUCUACUCGUCCUUAAAUGAUUUUGGAGUUAGUAUGCUUCAUAUAUUAUUAAUUUCCUUUUCCUUUCUCUCUCACUACUCUUUUCCCAUCUAUCUCAAAUUAUUUACAUCUAUUUUUUUUUCUAUCAUACUCUUUCAUCACUUACAUUUUAUCUUUCAUUUUUUUACUACAUACAUCUUUCUCGCUUAUUAUUUUUUUACCUUUCUUUUUAUAUCUCACUCAUACCUUCUUCUCAUUCUACACCACUCUUGAUGGUUGAUUCAUUUGAAGAGUGUACAUGAUUUGAUGGCAAAUUUACCAACUUUGUGAGGAUUUGAGCCUGUGAGCAACCACUUUGCUCUAAUUAUUUUUGUUAUGUGAAUAUCAAUCUUAGUUUGUAUAUUCUAGAACUUGCUUUGUUAAGCAUGUUGAAGCCACAUUACGGGAUUUUAUGCAUUAAAAUGAUAAGGGCAAACCAUUUACCAUUUUUCUAUUCUCGCAUUUUCUUUUUUCUCUACCCGAAGACCUUUAUUUGCUACCUUUGUUUGAGCCUUAACCAUUACCCAUCUAAUUCUUUCCAUCUACUUAACCAUUUUUCUUCUUUUUGAGCCUAAUUUAAGGAGAUAUUUGGACUCAUUGUGUGGAUAUAUUUUGUUGCUUUUUCUACCUUGUAUUAAAGUUUCUCAAUUAGAUCAACAAGCAUUAUGCUUGAAUUAAAUUGUGCAAGGUUCGUUUCUUUUGUUUGAUUAAAAAAAAACAACAAAAAAAAGGAAAAAGAAAAAAAAGUGAAAAAAAAAUCGAAAAAAAAAAUUGAAAAAAAAGGUUUACAUUCUUGGUGACUUGAGUAGAAAUAAGCAUUUUGAUAUCAUAAGUUCAUUCAAUGAGUUCAUUCUUCUCAUUUUGAUCUCUUUUUCUUUCAUAAACCUUUCUUUUUUAUUUAACCUAUUUAACUCCAUUACAACCCUUUUAAGACCCUUAAUUUUUUGCAUUUUAUUUAUGUUUUAUGGAUUGAGAUGUGAUAUAUGAGCAAGCUUAUGGUAAUAGCAUUCUUUGAUUUGAUUUGAGUGAAUAAAUGACACCCUAAACACUUUGAGUGCAUGGAGUGAAGUCAAUGAGAGGGCUAUUAAAUCUUGUUGCACUUGAAUUUUGAAUGGAUCUUCUUGGUGGUUGAAUGUUCUUAUUCUAUCUUAUGAGAUUCUAUGCUUUAAAAUCCUUGCCUCUCGAAUGUUGAUCGACUUAAAUUCUUGAGGUAUGCUUGCUUAAAAUUGUUUUUGGAUGAGUUGAGAUGAAAAUUGAGUGGAGAUUUGGGAUUAGUCUUGAGUUAUAUGCUUGAGGACAAGCAUCAUCUUGGUGUGGGGAAUUUGUUAGAGUGCAAUUUAUGCACUAGUUUUGCAUUGUUUACUUCCCUUAAUAUCGAUGUUUUGCACUUAAUAAUAAUGAUUUACUUGUGUUUUACUUUUGUAGGUGCAAUUCUAUUGAUUCUUGAUAAAAUUGAGUUAUACGAUGAUGUUUAAAGAUGAUUGUUCUCUUGGAGAAAUUUAGAGAGUCAUAAGAACUUUGUUGAUACGGCGUGGGUUCUUGCUGUCAACUGCGGACCUGCAGUUUUUAGUUUAACAUGUUUUGUAUUUUUGGUUAUUUUUGUAAUUAUGAAUUUAAUAUUUCAGAUAUUAGUAUUUUAUUUUAAAUAGAACUCUAAAAGAGAAGAGUGAGAGAGUAUUUAAGGGAGGAAUCUAUUGUGAAAAAGGAUUUGGAUUGGAGAAAAAGAAAGAAACCCUAGAUCUAAUUUUUCUCUUCUCUCUAGGAAGAACUAAACUUAUUUUUCUGGUUGAAGGUUAAUAAAGCUUUGAUUCAUCACUACUGUGAGAUCUUUCUUAUGCUUUAGUUGUUUUAUUACUCUUUGGGUAUUUGUUUAUUCUCUGAAUUAGUUUCAUGAUUAUGUUUGUUAAUUAGGUAAUUGGCCACUAUUUAAUUAUCAACUUAAUCUAUUGUCAAUUAAAGGAUUCAUCGUAUGAAGAUUUUAAUGUUUGUGACAAAUAACAUAGUAGUGAGUUGUGUUAUGAGAAUAAACAAUCUAAUUUAAAUGAAUCAUCAUAUGUGUUGAUUAGGAUUUGGGUCUCUCUUGUUUUUCAGGCUGUCAAUUGAUUAAAUCCUAUGAUCGUAUCUAGGGUUGUCUAUUGAUUAGGGAAAUAUCCAACGGUCGUACCUUGGUUAUUGACUAUUUAAGGAGAGAUUGGCAAUUAGAGGGUCUCAAUAGCUAUAACCGGUCUAUUCAUAAGUAAUAAUAAUCUAUAUUUGAAUCAAUGAUCAGUAGUCAAAUCAAGCUGAGUUAAUUUCUUCAACCAGAGCUUUCUCCAAUUUGAAUUACAACUUUAAUUUGCAUUCUUGUUAUUUUAAUUUGAUUUUUAUUAUUGUCAACAAAACCCCCAUUUUAUGUUUUACGUUUUAAAAGGAUUUAAAUAAUUACCGAUCUCUAUGGACACGACCCUGCUCAAUCACUAUACACAAUUUAUUUAGAGUAGUAAUUUAUUUUUGUUGGCUUCGACAACCAUCAAUUACUUGCCACCUGGAUCGAUUACAACAUGGAAUGGUUUGAAGAAGCAGUUCCUUGAGAAGUACUUUCCUGUUGUAAGAGCUGCCAACAUCAGAAAAGUCAUUUGUGGGAUCAGACAACUUCUUGGGGAGACUUUGUAUGAGUAUUGGGAGCGAUUCAAACAAUUGUGUGCCAGCUGUCCUCAGCAUCAGAUUUCUGAUCAACUUCUUAUUUAAUAUUUUUACGAAGGACUGUCAUUGAUGGACAGGAGUAUGAUAGAUGCUGCUAGUGGAGGUGUGUUGGUGAACAAGACCCCUACUCAAGCAAGGGAGUUGAUUGCAAAUAUGGCUGCCAAUGCACAACAAUGUGGCAGCAGGUAAGAUCUCACUUCAAGGAAGGUGAAUUAGGUAAAUAUUUCUUCUGUUGAACAACGUUUAGAUAAACUUACUUCUCUUGUGGAAAAGUUUGUUGUAGGUAAUGUGCAACAGGUGAAGACUUGUGGCAUUUGUUACAAUAUGGGUCAUUCAACCGAUAUGUGUCCUACAUUUCAAGAAGAACCCGUUGAACAAACCAAUGCAGUUAGAGGAUUUCCAGGCAUGCCUUAGAGGAGGUAUGAUCCUUAUACACAAACAUACAAUCCGGGAUGGAAGGAUCAUCCCAACUUCAGCUAUGGAGUUAGACCAUCAUGAUUCCCGCAACAGUAUCCACCAAGACAACCAGCACCUCCACAGUCAAACUCCAAGUCAGGUAUAUCUCUUGAAGAAAUUGUUAAAUCACUUGUGACUAACACUCAACAAUUUCAACAGGCAACUACAGCAAGCAUUCAGAAUUUGGAGAACCAAAUGAGUCAAUUGGCGACUACAGUGAGCCGUCUGGAGUCUCAAGUAUUAGGGAGAUUGCCUUCACAAUCUGAGGUGAAUCCAAAGUAAAACGUUAGUGCUGUCAUCCUUAGAAGAGGGAAGGAGUUGCAAGAUCCCAGUAAGAAAGUGACAAAGCAUGUAGAAGAUGAGUUUGAGAAGAAUGAAUUGAUGCCUAAAUCUCAAGAUGCGCAACCCACCAAAGCGAAACCCCUACCUAUUGUGAUACCUCCUCCUUUCCUAAGCCGGUUUGCAAAAUCCAAGAAGGAGGAACAAGAGAAAGACAUCCUUGAGACAUUUCGCAAGGUUAAGGUAAAUAUUCCUUUAUUAGAUGCUAUAAAACAAAUACCUCGAUAUGCUAAAAUCCUUAAGGAACUAUGCACCUCCAAGAGAAAAGUAAGAGGAGAUGAAAAAGUUCACAUGGGGGAGAAUGUUUCAGCAAUUCUCCAAAAGAAACUACCUCCUAAGUGCAAGGAUCCAGGUAUGUUUACUAUCCCUUGUAAAAUUGGUAGUGUUAGAGUUGAAAAUGCUAUGUUAGAUCUAUGAGCUUUUAUUAAUGUCAUGCCUCGUUCCAUUUAUUCAUCUUUGAAUGUUGGGCCAUUAAAAGAAACUGGCGUGAUAAUUCAACUAGCUGAUAGGUCUAAUGUAUAUCCUGAUGGGGUAUUAGAAGAUGUUUUAGUACAAGUUAAUGAGUUGGUUUUUCCUGCUGAUUUUUAUGUACUUGAUAUGGAAGAGGAUAACUCCUCUAAUUCUGUCCCAAUUUUGCUAGGAAGACCUUUUCUUAAGACUGCUAGGACUAAAAUGGAUGUACAUAAAGGGACUCUCACUAUGGAGUUUGAUGGAGAGGUUAUAGAAUUCAAUAUGAAUGAUGCCAUGAAAUAUCCUAGUGAAGAACAUUCGGUAUUUUCUGUGGAUGUUAUUAACCCUAUAGUGCAGGAAGUUUUUUACAAGAAAAAGACGAAGAUAUUUCAUGAUAGAAUGAUUUUGAGAAAGGAGUUCUUUGUUGGUCAAAAAGUUCUUCUUUUUCAUUCUGAGCUUAAACUUUUUCCGGGUAAAUUACGUCCUUGCUGGGUUGGACCUUUUAUUGUUACUAAUGUUUUUCCUCAUGGUGCAGUUGAGAUUCAGAGUUCGACCUCUGACAAAGUUUUUAAGGUUAAUGGUCAUCACUUAAAACCUUUUUAUGAAGGUUUUUCGGUGAAUAUUGUGGAGAAUGUGGCUCUCGAGAGUCUCAAUUAUGGAGAUUGAUGCAUAAACGUGUCUAGCCAAAGACAUAAAACAAAGGCGCUUUUUGGGAGGCAACCCAAAUGAUUUAUUUAUUUUGGUUUUUGUUAUAUCUUCUUUUAGUUUUGAUUCAGAUUAUUUUUUGAAAAAAAAUAAUGUGUUUGCUUAUUUUGGUCAGAAGAAAAUUUUUGAUAAGGCGUGCUCACGUCUUAACUAAUAAGUACUUCUGUGAUUUUUAAAGUAAAAUGGUUUUAAGGCGUGCCCACGUGCUUAUUAGAAAAGUACUUCUGAAUUUUUUUUUAGUGUCUCAAAGUGAUUCAUCACUAAAAAAAAAUGAAAAAAAAAAUUAUUUAUUUAUUUAUUGAUUUGAAAAUUAAAAAAAAAAGAAAAAAAGAGUUUUUUUCUUCUUUUUCUUCUUUUCUUUCUUAUAUAUAUUUAUUUAUUUUAAAAAAUAAAAAAUCACUAUUCACAAAUCCCUAAUUCAAAAAUUACUGUUGAUUAUCGUUUUCCAGCAGCGCGCCUCGGCUCCAGCCUUCACUGAGCAACCAGCAGCAGCAGACGAGCACGCUCAGCCCCAGCCGCAGCGCGCAGCAUCAGCCCUAGCCGCAGCACACAGCAUCAGUCCCAACCGUAGCGCGCAACGUAACGCAACCAGCGUCACCAGCGCAGUAGAACCAACCCCAACCCGUGCAUCAAGCUACAGCCGAGCAGCAAUCGUCCGCAACCCGCCUACGCACUGUAUUCCAACCGGGUAAAUCGAAAUCCGUGAGUGCAAUUAUUAUAACAAUGCCGAAGAGGAAAGCAUCAACUUCCAAGUCAUCUAAAAAGACACCCGUCGCAAAGAAGUCCAAGAUUGCCGCUCCCACUACGGUUCCAUGGAACACAGUUUCAGAUUCACGCCAAGCCGUGAGACAAAGAACGAAACAUGGAAAGGGCAUGAGUGUUUUACUACUUGCGGAAUCCAAUCUUGGAGGGGGCCUCGCAUUCACGACUCAACAAGAGAAAGAAAGGUACAAAGAUAUUUCCAAGCAAAAAAUACUUCCAGCUAAGUAUAUUCAUUACCCGACUCUUGAAAAAUUGAAUGUUAAGGAUAAUUUUGAUUCUUUGAUAGAUAAGAUUGGUUUGCGUAAGUUUGUUGAUGUUGAUUGUUUGAGUUAUGUUGAGUUGAUUAGGGAGUUUUAUGCUACUUUUCAAUUUAAUAUACCGUAUGAUUUUACUUUGCAUACCCCGGAUAUUAUAAAGUUUAGGUUAAUGGGAUGGAGUUUUUCACACUCGAUCAUAGAUUUUAACCUAGCUUUAGGAUUCAUUGAUGAUGAUUAUUCUUCUAGUGAUGCAUAUUUAGGAACAACUUGUGACUUUAGCGAAAAUUUUGAGCCUUAUGGUCUUUGGCGUAAUUUAUCUGUUGAUCACAAUGCCUAUAACCCAAGUAAAUCAAUGAGUUCUUUCUUACGUGACCCUGUUUUGAAAUGUGUGCAUCGAUUCUUAGCAUAUAAUUUUUUAGGAAAGAAAGAUCACUCAGGAGUUUUCUCUAAAACUGAAUUUUAUUUUAUCUGGUUUAUGUUAAAUGAUGUGAGGCCUAAUUUAGGUUUUUGGUUAGUAGAUCAAUUUCAAAGUGUGCUUAAACGGUAUAGGACUUUAUUUCUUGGUCCAUACAUUACUCGGUUAGCUAUAAACUUAUGUGUGCUUGAUCCUAACAAUAAUGAUUUGCAUCCUGCUUGCAAAAAGGAAUUUUUGGAUAUAUCUGUGUUUGAAAGAACAGGUGUAGUCGAAUUCAAGGAGGGGAGAUUUCAGUUUACUGAACCAGGACCCACUCAACUUCCAAAAAAGCUUUAUGCUAGGAGUGGUGCUACCUCUGAUGACGAGUUUGACGACAAAACUGCUGCCUCACCAACUAUUCCUUCUACAUCCGCACCACCUUUGAGCAUUCAGUUAGAGAAAAUGGAGCACAAGCUGGACAAGAUGGAGCAGAAUUUGGCCGCAUACUUCGAGAGUGUGAGAUUUAUCCCACCAUUUCCGCUAAGCCCAUAGACGUUAUGAGGAUCAAAGCUCACAAUUCAGGGAAGUUUUUGCCUUUAAUCUUUUAUCCUUACACUUUAAUUUUUAUGUGAGCUUUGAUUAUCUUACAUUGGGGACAAUGUAAGUUCUUGGUGUGGGGGAGGGAUUUUUGCAUUAUUGAUGUCUGGAAGUAUUAUUUUCACUCUACUCAUCUAUUUUCACUCUACUCAUCCUUAAAUGAUUUUAGAGUUAGUAUGCUGCAUAUAUUAUUAUUUUUCUUUUCUUUUCCUUCUCACUACUUUUUUCCCAUCUAUCUCAAAUUAUUCAUAUCUAUUUUUAUUUUACCAUAUUCUUUCAUCACUCACAUUUUAUCUUUCAUUUUUUUUCUACAUACAUCUUUCUCGCUUAUUAUCCUUUUUACCUUUCCUUUUAUAUAUCACUCAUACCUUCUUCUCAUUCUACACCACUAUUGAUGGUUGAUUCAUUUGAAGAGUAUACAUGAUUUAAUGGCAAAUUUACCAACUUUGUGAGGAUUUGAGCCUAUGAGCAACCACUUUGCUCUAUUUAUUUUUGUUAUGUGAAUAUCAAUCUUAGUUUGUUUAUUCUAGAACUUGCUUUGUUGUGCAUGUUGAAGCCGCAUUACGGGAUUUUAUGCAUUAAAAUGAUAAGGGCAAACCGCUUUCCAUUUUUCUAUUCUCACAUUUUUCUUCUUUUUCUCCACCCGAAAACCUUUAUUUGUUAUCUUUGUUUGAGCCUUAAACAUUACCCAUCUAAUUCUCUCCGUCUACUUAACCAUUUUUCUUCUUUUUGAGCCUCAAUUUAAGGAGAUUUUUGGACUCAUUGGGUGGAUAUAUUUUGUUGCUUUUUCUACCUUGUAUUAAAGUUUCUCAAAUAGAUCAACAAGCAUUAUGCUUGAAUUAAAUUGUGCAAGGUUCGUUUUUGUUGUUUGAUUAAAAAAAAAGGAAAAAAACAAAAAAAAAAAAGAAAAAAAUGUUUACAUUCUUGGUGACUUGAGUAGAAAUAACCGUUUCGAUAUCAUAAGAUUCAUUCAAUGAGUUCAUUCUUCUCAUUUUGAUCUCUUUUUCUUUCAUAGACCUUUCUUUUUCAUUUAACCCAUUUAACCCCGUUACAACCUUUUUAAGACCAUUAGAUUUUUGCAUUUAAUUCAUGUUUUGUGGAUUGAGAUGUGAUAUAUAAGCAAGCUUAUGGUAAUAGCAUUCUUUGAUUUGAUUUGAGUGCAUAAAUGACGCCCUAAACACUUUGAGUGAAUGGAGUGAAGUCAAUGAGAGGGCUAUUAAAUCUUGUUGCACUUGAAUUUUGAAUGGAUCUUCUUGGCAGUUGAAUGUUUUUAUUCUAGCUUAUGAGAUUCUAUGCUUUAAAAUCCUUGUCUCUUGAAUGUUGAUCGACUUAAAUUCUUGAGGUAUGCUUGCUUAAAAUUGUUUUUGGAUGAGUUGAGAUGAGAAUUGAGUGGAGAUUUGGGAUUAGUCUUGAGUUAUAUGCUUGAGGACAAGCAUCAUUUUGGUGUGGGGGAAUUUGUUAGAGUGCAAUUUAUGCACUAGUUUUGAAUUGUUUACUUCCCUUAAUAUCGAUGUUUUGCACUUAAUAAUAGUGAUUUACUUGUAUUUUAUUUUUAUAGGUGCAAUUCUAUUGAUUGGUGCAAAAAUUGAGCUACAAGAUGAUGUUUAAGGAUGAUUAUUCUCUUGGAGAAAUUAUGAGCGUCAGAAGAACUUUGUUGAUAACGCGUGGGCGCGUGCUUUCAUCUACGGACCUGUAGUUUUUAAUUUAAUGUGUUUUGUAUUUUUGGUUAUUUUUAUAAUUACGAAUUUAAUAUUUCAGAUAUUAGUAUUUUAUUUUAAAUAGAACUCUAGAGGAGAAGAGAGAUAGAGUAUUUAAGGGAGGAAUCUAUUGUGAAAAAAAGGAGAUUUUUGGAAAAGAAAGAAACCCUAGAUCUAAUUUUUUCUCUUCUCUCUAUGAAGAACUAAACCUAUUAUUCUGGUUGAAGGUUAAUGAAGCUUUGAUUCAUCACUACUGUGAGAUCUUUCUUAUGCUUUAAUUGUUUUAUUGCUUUUUGGGUAUUUGUUUAUUCUCUGAAUUAUUUUCAUGAUUAUGUUUGUUAAUUAGAUAAUUGGCCACUAUUUAAUUAUCAACUUAAUCUAUUGUCAAUUAAAGGAUUCAUCGUAUGAAGAUUUUAAUGUUUGUGACAAAUAACAUAGCAGAGAGUUGUGUUGUGAGAAUAAACAAUCUAAUUUAAAUGAACCAUCGUAUGUGUUUGUUGAUUAGGAUUUGGGUCUCUCUGGUUUUUCAAGCUGUCAAUUGAUUAAAUCCUAUGAUCGUAUCUAGGGUUGUCUAUUGAUUAGGGAAAUAACCAAUGGUCAUACCUUGGUUAUCGACUAGUUAAGGAGAGAUUGGCUAUUAGAGGAUCUCAGUAGCUAUAACCGGUCUAUUCAUAAGUAGUAAUAAUUUAUAUUUGAAUCAAUGAUCAGUAGUCGAAUCAAGUUGAGUUAAUUCCUUCAACCAGAGCUUUCUCCAAUUUGAAUUACAACUUUAAUUUGCAUUCUUGUUAUUUUAAUUUGAUUUUUAUUAUUUUCAACAAAACCCCCAUUUUAUAUUUUACGUUUUAAAAGGAUUUAAAUAAUUACCGAUCUCUGUGGGCACGACCCUGCUCAAUCACUAUACACAAUUUAUUUAGAGUAGGUAUUUAUUUUUGUCGGCUUCGACAACCAUCAUUUUGUUUCUUUAUGUAAUUUUUAGACUGCUCUGACAACUCAUCUUAAAGGUGCCACUCAUCCAAUAUGAUAUGGUGACAGUAGUUUAGAGUUUUAAACUAAAUGCAGAGCUAAUAGUAUUUUGGAAAUAUAAUCAUCCUAAGAUACUAACAAAAACAACAACUUCGGUGUAGAGAGAAAAUGAUUUCACAAAAGCAGAUGUUUUGAUUUAAGUCUCCAAAACCCCCACCAAAGAAAUGUUCAACGGAUAUAGAAAUAUGAUCCACAUAUCUGUAACUUAAACUGUGAAAUUUGUUGAUGCUGUUCUAAAAUUGCCACAAUCUAUCUACCCCAUGAAUGUUAUUGGAUAAAACAACAAGCAGGACCCAAUGCCUGUUUUCUAAUAGCUUCAAAAAGGCCAAAUUGGUUUUGAAAUGUCUCCAGCUUUUCAUUUAACAAGUUUAAGGAUCCCUUCGGCAUUGCAAUUGGGGAGCUCAGAUAUAUAAAAGUCUGGUAAACUCUUACAGCCGCAGCUUUUGAGCAAAAAUAAUUUUAUCUCAUAAUAUUUUGACAAAAAACUUAUAUCACCUUUUAUCAGUUUUGUAAAAAAUAUUAUUUAUAAGUCAUAUUUACCAAACACAAUCAACUUUUACAUCACAAUUAUAGCUUCUUUUUUUUCACCACACAUAUACAGUUAAAAUCUACAAGAACUCGAUAUCAAAUAGAUCCUAAAGCUUAAUCUAAUAAAAAGGUAAAUAAACAAAUGCAGAAGCCAGCGUACUUGAUCAAGACGCUCUGAAUAGUCACUGGGAAAGGGAAUAUCGACGUUAAUGGGGUUAUUGCCAUCGCUUGAAACCGAAUUGGUGAGACAAUUGCGUUUUCUUCUGUACGGAGAAAAUGUGACGAUUCUUUGACCACUGAAAAUUUCGAUUCUACAAUUUACCUGCAAUUAGUGACAAUUAUUCCGUUUAGAAACAAUUUUAAAAAAAAUAAAAAGUAAUAAUUACAAACUCAGAGUAUACCUGUGGACGUGGAAUUGAAGAAACUGGAAUAGGAAGCGUAGGGAGGGCAAUGGCUGUAUUGGAGGAUAACGGCAUUUUGAACCUCAAAGUAAAGAGAGAGAGAGAGAAGAAACGCUUCCCUUUCAAAUACCGCGCUCUUUUGUACCUGGGAAUUUAACUAAUUCAUGCGAAUAAAAAAAUUUAUAAAUUUGGUAAAUUAUUUAUUAAAAAAUAUUGAGAGGUUGUGCAUUAUUUUAUUAGUAAUGACAUGGUAAUAAUCAAAUUAGUUAAAUUAAAAUAGUUGUUGACUCAGUAAUUUAUUUUUAUUAUUUUUAUAUAUUUAUUUAAUUAAUUAAUUAAUGUUAUAUCUAUUUAUAUAAAAAUGUACAGUUCUAUCCUCACUCUUAUUUUAUUUUUAUUAUUUUAAAAAAAAUGGUCUGCGUUAUUAAGGUUAAGGGUGACAACUGGGAUUAAUAUACGGUUUAUUCGAGUGCUUAAAACCUAAUAAAUAUCCACUAACUCAUAUAUAGUAAAAAUAUAAUUAUUUUAAAAAAAAUUAAUAUAAACUAAACAAAUUGAUUGGAUUUUGUUUCUCAAGGUACAUCAUUAGAACGUUACUUUUAACUGAACAAAAGCACACAUAACUAGCACAUUCGCCACAAAAGCCUCGGCUUAGUGGUCGGCUUAUUAAUUAUCCUAAUUAAAUCAUGGUCAUAAAUUUGAGUCCCGGCAGGAAUUAUUAGGCUAGGUAGCUUUUAUAGACUACACUAUAAAUACAUGUAUUUUAAUUCUCGCGGGUAUUGCUUCUAGUAGUUAUCCAUCCGAGUAUAGUGCUUUGUAGCUUUCUUCACGACCUUCCCCAAUUUCAAUGAUUGUUAAUCAAUCUUCAUAGAAAAUGUGAUAAGACUGUAUUUAGAGAAAAGCUCAAUAAAUGAUUUUUAUAGGUCAUCAUUUCAUUUAAUUUUCCGUUAUAUAUAUAUAUUCACCUUUCUCAGAGGCCAAGAAGUCUUCGACAGAAAUGUGAUCCUUGAGCUUCUCCCAAGUUUCAAUUAAUUCGCUUUGAGUGAGGAUAUUUUCUGGUGGCCUCAAAUACAAUGUUUUGUUCAGUACUCGAGGAGCAUUUAUUGUCUUAAUAGUAUUUAUGGCAACAUCAUCGAUAUGCACAGUAAAAAAAAAGAUAAUCAUUUUGUUUAAUAUGAACAUAAAUUGUCAAAUUCUGAAUCAUAUUAUAGUGAACGAUAUUGUCGUAUGGUGUGUGUAUGUACUAUCUAUAGUUUUAAUAUUAUUAAUAAGGAGUUAAAAGUCUUGAUUUAAUUUUAAAUUGUUAUUCCUCUAACUUCACCGUCUCCAUAGAUGCAGACUCUAUCUUUUGAAGGGCGGGGGUAGCUAUAUUUGAGAGAGGUGUCUGGGGAACCAACCAGCAAAAAAUAGCUAGCAGAAACAUAAAUGACAAGGAUUUGAGCAGCCUUGAUUGCCCUUCUCACACAUGCGCUCUGUGUUCUCCCUCCAGCUCUCACUCACUCACGCCCAAAUCUCACCUCACUCACGUAUCUCUCCUUUCUGACCGGUGGUUUUCUCUCUCUCGCCGUGGGUCUCUAGGCUGGCGGGGAUUUCUCGACUUGACUACUAAAACAUAAUCCAAAAACUAUCUCGACUUGACUACUAAAACAUAAUCCAAAAACUACUAAGAUAUAUAUAUAUUACUAUGAUAUACACAAUAUGAAGAAACUGCAGUUAUAUUUCAAAUAUUUUAUGAAGGAAGAGGCUGUAUGGAUUAUCCAAAGGUGCUGAAAUUAAGAGACCCACGCCAACCGACAGAGUGAGUGAAUAUAAGGGGGUUAUUGGGUAAAAAUCACAUAACGCGCAAGCGAAAUUUUAGAUUAUAUUUUUUAAUACUCUCCGAGUCUCUCUUUCUCUUUCUUUUUUGGUUUGAACCACGAGGUGGUCCUGAGUGGGUCCCAACUAUGGAAAGCACUUUUAAGCCCGUACCACAACUUAGACUAAUCCCCACUCGCACCGGGUCGGCCCGUAAGGGGUAAAGUGCUGGGCAAAGUGGUGACUCCAUACGAGAGCGGGACUUGAACCCCUGACCUCUCUUAAGGAGUGAGAGUGCCGAACCACUCACACCAACCAACUUUGGUUAACUCUCUUUCUCUUUUUCUUUUUUUAAAUAAAUGUCAGUAUAAAAUUAGAAAAUUUUAGAUAUAAAAUUUGGCGAUGACCAAACAAAAAUUGCAGGGGAAACCUUGAUAUCAUUGAAAUACUAAUCAUAGACACUGCAGUAUAAAUAACUUCUUGUGAUCUACUCAACUUUAACACUUUAAUCCAUAUUCUAAAAUUUGCAUGUUUGUUAGGAUUUUUAUUAUUGAUACUGUUGUAUCAAUAAAAUUAUAAUUUAUUCAUAUGGAAUGAAAACAUCAAGAAAGGACCUCUGAAGUUUAUUAUAACAGAAAAAAAUGGUCCAUAAGUCUAUUUAUUAUUUUAUUUAUUCAAUACAAAUGGCCAACUUUAAAAAUGGUAAAAGUCACACAAUGCACAAGUAAAAUUUUAGAAUUAAAUUUUUUAAUUCUCUUUGAGUCUCUCUCUCUUUAAAAAAUAAACCUCACUGUAAAAUUAGAAAAAUUUUAGACGUAAAAUUUGACAAUCACCAAAUAGAAAACAUAGGCAAAUGAAAAUGGAGGAGCCCUAUUUUCAUUAGAAUAUUGAUCAUAGAUACUAUAAUGUAAAUCAUUUGUUGUGGUUCAUUCAACCUGUCACACUCUAAGCCAUUUUCUAAAAUUUGUAAGGUUUAUAGGAUUUUUAUUAUUGCCAUCAUUGUAUCAAUAAUAUUAUAAAUUAUAUAUUCUAUUGUAAUGAAAAUUUGUGCAAUCUUAGGUAUGUAUUAUAUUAAAUUGUGUGGAUUAAUUAAGAAUAUUUUUGGAGACAAAAGAAGUGUGUGUAUGUAAGAAUAAUGAUAAAAAAUUUCUAAAUAAAGGUGAUUGCUUCAUUGACAAGUACAUAUUUAUAUUCCUCUAUUAGUAUUUGGGUUGUAAACUCUGUUUAUAAAGUGAAUAUAUUGUGGUAAGCGAUGUGGGAAAUAUCGGAUGCGAAAUAUUGAGAGAUCAUUAACGCAUAUAUUUAUUGAAGAUGCAUAUAGAGGAAAGAGUGUAGAUCCGGCCGUAACACUUAUGAAGCUUUCCCUAAGUAUUCUCAUGCUUGCUUAACUAUUCCGAAGUAUUUUUCAUAGUGUGCAUAUUUACUUUAUGGUGUCUUUAUUCGUCUCAAAUGAUUACUACAGUUCUUUUGGGAUGAAAGGUCAUUUAUUUUGUUAAUUUUAAACAAUAGAAAAAAUAAAUAAUGGUAACGAAAGACUAAUUGUGAUAUUGAAGCGUACGGACUUUAACUCAAUCCAAAAAUUAGUAGGACCCACAUAUAUUUGAUGACGCUGAAAGUUACAUCAAUUGUAACUUAGAAACAUCCAAAUAUUAGACAAUAAUACACAAUAACAAUGCAUAUAAUUUGGGUUUGAUUUUUAAAAAAUUAUUUGAAUAUCACUUAUCCUUAAGAUAUUAAUUUGAAUAUAUUUUAAUAGUAAAUAAUAAAAAUUUGUUUAGUUAUUAUUUGUAUUUCAUACAUUGCAUGUUAGAUUUGUUUGAAUUUUAAGUUGUUGCGAAUAAAUAUUUAUGUUGUGAAAGUCGAAUUCAAUAGCUACAAAAGCAGAGAUAAUUGUAUUUUAUAUAGUUUUUAAGAAUACAAGGAUAAGAUCAUAACGCAUGAGAUAACGGUAUUUUAUAUUAAAAGACCAUAAUGCAUGUAUUUGAGCCAUUUAUAUUGAAGACACAUAUAGAGGAAUGAGUGCAGAUCCGACCAUAACUAUUGUGAAGCUUUCCUCAAGUAUUCUCAUGCACCCAAACCUUAUCUGGUCAAGGUUUCUGAUUGAAUAUAAUCAAUUUCCGUGCAGUACCGAAGACAGCUUCUGUUGGUAGUUGAAUUUGUGGGGAAUGACAAAUGUAGAGAAAUACAACAAUAAUGGUGGAACUUUAUUACGUAAAGUAAUGUGUUUACAACUAACUCUGUAUGUAGUAAGAAAAAUAAUAGUAAUAAGUAAACUUGCAAAAAUUUUGUGUGCUUGAAGGCACGUUACAAAUGUCGCUUUCCUUAAGACGUUAUUUGCCCCCACCAAUUGAGUGAUGCACAUGGGUUAAGCAAAUACGCAUCCAGGAUACAAUGAAGCACUUGUUUGUUUGCUAGUGUUGUGCAUCAACGAAAGCAAACCAGAAUACUCUUGAAUGUUGCAAGCCUGCCAAGAAACAAUAAAUUGUUCCUGCAGAAAACAAUAUAUUGGAUUGUGAAUGCACAAAAGAAAUGGGUGUUUUGUGUUGAAAUUCGUACUAGAAAGGAAUGCUAAGAAAAGAGUGGUGUAGGAUCAUUGAUUUCAUGUCUAAAUGGCUUAAACAUGACCCCUAUUUAUGGAUAUACUUGUGCCCCCUCAUUUGGGUUGUCAUCUUCAUGAUACCCCUUCAUUCAUGGCCAUUGGAUCUAUAUUUAAUUUUAAUCAAUGGUCCAAAUUGAACCAUCACCAUUUCAAAUGAAAUGUCACCAUGAAAUGAUGCAUCUCUAAGUGAAAUGUUACCAUGAAAAGUUAUAUCAUUUAGUAAAAAGAUACAUUUUCUAUAAGACAUAAUUAAAUAGACAUGUCCUUACAACAAGACAUCAUUUAAUUAGACAUGUCUUUAGUGAAAUGUACUUUUUCUAUAAGGCAGAAUUAAUAAGACAUGUCUUCACCAUAAGACACAAUUUAUUUUGAAAAUUUUCCAACAGCUUAUCUGUAAAGCUCUUCAACCACAAGCAUUUCUACAAGGCAAAAGACUAGGACGUGUUGGAAUGAAUAUCAAUAAGGGAAUGUCUUAUGAAUUUGGUUUAUAUCCUAAUAUAAGACAAUCAAUAAAUAUUGGAUGCAAUCUAAGGGCUAACAUUUGAUUGAUCAUUGUACGAAAAAAAAAGGUACAAAAAUACAAAACAGAGCUGAUUGAUGGCCUUUAACAGUCAGUUCUAUGACAAAGUAACCACCACAACAAAUGGAAUUAUAAGACAUCAAGAAACUUGAACUUGGCAGGAGGUCUCAUUAGCAGUAUACCUCAGAAAUUAAGACAGAGACUUUAAAAUGCAAGCUUAUGGAGUAAUUUAAGCACUGAAACUAAUAACAGUGAUGCAAAAAAAGGUGCAGAAGUACGGUAUUAGCAAUUGACCUCUGCUUUUGCUUGGACAAAGGUUUUCAUCACAAGGGACUCAUUAGUUGCCCUUGCCUCACACGAUUGGAUGCUAAGGGGAAAAAGGAAGCUUCUAACGGCAUUCACAGAGAACCUAUAAAACUAAAAAAAAAAAAAAUCAUCCAUGAAAAGGCUACUAACAAAAAAACUAACUCUUUUAUCUGCCACUGACCUAAUCCGCACUCAUUUAAUUAAAAAAGAAUUAAAAGCAAAACUAAAAGAUACAAAUUGCGUACAAGUCUAGGAGCCAUAUCAAAGGCGUUAUAUAACUUUUCCAAUUAAUAAAUUCUCUUAAGGGCCAUACCGUGCUCAUCAUUUCAAAAGCAAUUAAGGAUAAGAACUUUCAUCAUUAAUUGAUAUGGCCAGUGUAGAAAAAAUGAAAAAGCCCUCCAAGAUCAAAGCACAAGGAUCAGUUUAGAAUUACACUUUUUAAAUUUUGGUUAAUAAAUAAACGUUUAUAUGAAAAUAGAAAAUCUUUUUGGAAUAACCUUUUUUUUUCUUUUUUUAAUGAAUGUGGAUAUAAAAUUUUAAAAUCGCCAAACCGAAAAGAAAAACAGGGGAAUGAAAAGAGAGCCCACGUUUCUCCUCUCUUUUGUUUUUAUUGUUAUCAAACAGGGGAAUGAAAAGAGUGCUCUGUUUCUCCCCUGUUUUGAUUUUUUUAUUACUAAACAGGGGAAUGAAGAGAUCAGCUCUUGUCGCAAGCGCAAAUUUUUGUUUCUAAAUGCAGUUGGUUGUAACUAUAUUCGCAGUCCCUAGUACUUAGAAGUAAAGGCUCUUGGAAUUUCUAUUGUAGUACAUGAGAUGUUUCCCGUUCAAAUAGCUCGCCCGAUACCAUUAGCAUGUUCAUCUCUCUAUAGAUUGAUGUUGACAUAGAUGUUAUUCUACUUUUGCUAGUGGAGUUUUGGGCCUUGUCGUAAUUGGUGGAAUUACGACAUCGGUGGCUGACAUGGCUUUCCUUGUACAGGUAUGUAUGAUUGUUUUUUUUGCACGUCUAAAUGGCACUGUUGAAAAGCUUAAAAUUGAACUGAUAAUUUUGUUUGGAAGCUCAGAAAAUUCAUGAGAAAGUGAAAUAGAAUAUUCUGGAUUUCUUUUCUUUCCAUAACAUACAAAUGACAAACGUAGCAGUAUUUAUACUCGUUGCUUACAUCAUAAAAACAGAAUUAAAGCAAGUUAUACAACUAUAACAUAAUAAAAACCGUGCUUAACUAAUUGGCUGAGCUAGCAUAUACUUCUUUAACUAACACAUGCUUAUCGUGCAGCUACUCUUUAGUUCACACGUGCUCAGUGUGCUUCCUUAACAGACACAAGGGAAAAGACAUGAUUUUGAGAUAUAACGCUUGAAUGUUCUCGGAAUGGCAUAACGCUUUGUGUGUCUCGGACCUGUUAAGAAUAACAUAUGCUGAGUCAGCUGCUGAGUCAUCAAGCCACGCUGGAAGUUAGUUUUGCAGUUAGUUAGAGAGCUUAUCAGCUUCCCUCCAAAAGUUUGUUAUGUGUAUUAGAAUCUGGGCUCACGAGUUUUGUGAGAUUGUAACCUUAAGAAGAUUCUCACACUACUAUAAAUUGUAUUGUGACUCAAUUAAUAAAAUAAGUUGAAGCUUUGCAUUUUCUCUCAGUCAAAAUUUUCUCUCUGUUUUUCUAACCAAACAAGAUCUACAGAGCAUCUUGUAUUUUAACUUGGUAUCAGAGCUUGAAUCCAAUGGCCUUAAUCGGUUCCAAUCAACAGUCAAGCAACACUUCCAUAACUUCUUUCACCUUCACAAAUCCAAUUAAGCUUGAUCGUGCAAACUAUACGAUCUGGAAACAAUAAGUACUUUCUUCAAUUCGUGGCAAUGGUCUUGAAGGCUAUAUUGAUGGAUCAAGGAUCUGUCCUAGUCAAUUUCUUUCUCCAGAGGCUAGAUCUGAAGGUUCUUCUUCUUCUAACAUCGAAGGUCAAGAGAAUCCAGAGUAUGCAGCCUGGAGACGUCAAGAUUAGCUCCUGCUCAGCUGGAUUCUGUCGUCCAUGAAUGUAGAUAUUCUCAGUCUUGUGGUAAGCUCUAAGACUUCUUUUGAGUUGUGGAAAAAUCUAGAAAAAUAAUUUGGAUCUGAAUCUAUGGCUAAGAAGGUUCAUCUAAAAAUGCUUUUGAGUAACCUGCGAAAAGGAUCUCUAACCAUGUCUGAGUAUUUUACAAAGCUUAAGUCAGUUACAGAUGGUCUUGCUUUAGUUGGUAGCCCUGUGCAUGAUUCGGAUUUAGUCACUCAUCUUAUUACUAGUCUAGAUCAGUCAUAUUAUCCUGUAGUAGUCUAUAUUGAGGCAAACAUGUUGAAAAUGGAUCUUAGUGAGGCUUAUGCUAUGCUUCUCACACAUGAAGCUAGACUUGAGAAUAAUAAGCUUCAUGAUAGUAAGGAAACCAAGAACAAUUAUGCAGCAAAUGUAGCUCAGGCUGGAAAUUUUUCAAAGAAAGGUAAUAACAAUAAUCAAAACAACUGGAAGGCUGGAGGAAACAAUUGGAAUAAUAACUCUGGUGGAAGAGGUGGUUUUGGUGGUAAUGGAAGAGGUGGUUACCAAGGGUUCAAUCCAGGAAGAGGAAACUAGAAUAAUAAUAAUUUCAGAGGUGUUGCUGGUGGAUUUAAUAGUGGAUUUCCUGGUCCCGGUGGCUUCAAUAACAAUUAUGGCAGAGGUGGUUUCAACUCAGGAGGUGCUGGAAAGAAUUUUGCUCAGGGAACUGGUGCUGCUUGUCAGAUAUGCUUCAGGUUUAAUCACACAGCAGCUGAUUGCAGAGACAGGUUCAACCGAAAUUUUAUCCCAAAUUUUCCAGCUCCAGCUCCAAAUCACUUCUGUAAUCAGCAUCAAGGACCAAGAGCAGUCUUCAUAACAACAUCUGAAGGAGCUGCUGAUCAGGGAUGGUUUCUGGAUAGUGGUGCAACUCACCACUUAACCAACACAGUUCAGAAUCUGAGUGAUGGUAAAAUCUAUUUUGGCUCAAACUUACUUACUGUUGGUAAUGGCCAAGGUCUUAGAAUUACUCACAUAGGUUAUACACAACUUCACACUUCUUUUGGCACCUGUUUACAACUACAUAAUAUUUUGUGUGUCCCUCAAAUUACCAAGAACCUCAUUAGUAUUUCCAAACUCCUCACUGAUAAUGAUAUAACCAUUGAAUUUUUCUCUGAUGUUUGCUUUCUAAAGGACAAGGUGAAGGGCACUCUGUUGGCUCAGGGGAUAGCCUAUACAAGCUACUAUCAAAAGAGGAAUCUCUCUCUUCUUCCACUUCUGUUCUGCCAGUGUCUCAUCCUAGUUCUAUGAUGUCAACUCUUUCCUGCAAUAAUGUAGUUACUUCUGUUCAAAGUUCAAAUAAUGACUUCUGUUUUAAGUCUACAUUUCCUGUAAGCUUUCAAACUUCAAGUUAUGUGUCAGCAAAUAUGUUGCACAAUAGACUUGGUCAUCCAAGUAAACAUGUCAUACAAACUAUUCUCAGAAACAAUUGUUUAAUGUCAGCCAAUGUUAGUAAAUCAAAUUUUCUUUUCUGUGAUGCCUGUCAAUUGGGAAAGUUACAUCAAUUACACUUUCCUGCUACUGAAAUCAAAACAAAAAACCCCUUAGAAUUAAUACACACAGACUUAUGAGGACCAGCACCAGUUUUAUCACUAGAUGGCUAUAGAUACUAUAUUUCCUUUGUUGAUGACUUCACCCGAUAUUGUUGGAUCUUUCCUUUAGUUUUAAAAUCUGAUGCUCUUACUACUUUCAAAAACUUCAAGAGCUUAGUUGAGAAACAAUUCAGUCUGCCUAUCAAAAUUCUGCGGUCUGAUAUGGGAGGUGAAUUCAAAGCUUUUCAGUCCUUUCUUCAACAAGAAGGUAUCCAAGCUAGAUUUAGUUGUCCCUAUACUCACCAUCAAAAUGGUGUUGUUGAGAGAAAAUAUAGACACUUAGUAGAAACUGGAUUAACACUCCUUACUCAAGUAAAAAUGCCUAUUUCUUUCUCGUGGGAGGCUUUCCAUACAGCCUCCUAUCUCAUUAAUAGAAUGCCUACCACUACACUGAACAACUUAUCUCCCUAUCAAAAGCUUCAUAAUCAGCCACCAAACUAUCAACUUCUCAGAGUUUUUGGUUGUGCUUCCUAUCCUUUUCUCAAGCCUUAUAAUGAUCACAAGCUUGAUUUUCAUUCCCAAAAAUGCUUGUUCUUAGGUUACAGCCCUCUUCAGAAAGGAUAUAGGUGUCUAACAAAGUCAGGUAAAGUAUAUGUUGCUACUCAUAUUGUUUUUAAUGAAUCUGAUUUUCCCUAUUCAGAGUUGUUCUCUUCAUCUGAGUCUUCUUCCAAUUCUCUAUCAUCAUACUCUCCAUCUAUUUGUAUCCUUAAUGACAGUGGCUUGCAUCAAUCAUCAGCUACAUCUCCUACUUCAGCAAAGUUACCAACUAUACAUUCACCUCAACAUCCUCACCAAGCCCCACACUCUCCUUGUCCCUCUCCAGUCUCAGAUUCCUACAGCUAAUCAUCACCACAUUCUUCAUCACAUAAUGCUUUAGCCAAUCCCUCUGAUGAAUUACAACCAUCAUCUCAACCUGUCAUUUCAACUCAUCAGAUGGUCACUCGAGCCAAAUCUGGUAUUUUUAAACCAAAGACCUACCUUACAGCUACCCAAGACCUUGAACCAGUGAGUGUUAAAGCAACCCUAAUUGAUACAAAGUGGAAAAUGGCUAUGCAAGAAGAGUAUAAUGCCUUGCAGAAGAAUGGCACCUGGACAUUAGUUCCAGCUGAAACAGCUACAAAACUUGUUGGCAAUAAGUGGGUUUUUCGAGUUAAAUAUAACCCAGAUGGCAGCAUUUCCAAGUAUAAGGCUCGGUUGGAUGCAAAAGGUUUUCAUCAAACCUAUGGAGUAGAUUUCUUUGAAACUUUUAGUCCAGUUGUUAAACCCUGCACUGUUCGUAUUGUUCUCAGCUUAGCAGUCAUGCAUUGUUGGCCAGUUCGGCAAUUAGAUGUUAACAAUGCCUUUCUUAAUGGCAUGCUUACUGAAGAUGUGUUUAUGCCUCAGCUAGAAGGCUUUAUCAGCUCUCAGUUUCUCAAUCAUGUCUGCAAAUUACAAAAAGCCCUUUAUGGUCUUAAACAGGCUCCAAGGGCUUGGUAUGAUAGAUUGAAAGGGUCUUUAGUUCAGUGGGGUUUCAAAUCUUCAAAGUCAGAUACUUCACUGUUUUUCAAGCAUAUUGGCAAUAAUGUUCUCAUCAUCCUUGUUUAUGUAGAUGAUAUCCUGAUAACAGGCUCUAGUGAUGUUUAUAUUUAAGAGGUUAUCAGUCUACUUAGCUCAGAAUUUGCACUUAAAGAUUUAGGAGAUUUUAACUACUUUCUUGGGGUAGAAGUGACUCCAUCUGCUGAAGGAUUACAUCUAUCUCAAACUAAGUAUGUUGGUGACAUCUUAAGAAAAGCUCAUAUGCUUGAGAGUAAAGGUUGUAAUACACCUAUCAGUGUUGCUGAUAAAUUGCAGAAGGACAAAGGCUGCUCAUUUACAAAUCCCUCACUUUACAGAAGCAUCAUUGGUUCUCUGCAGUAUCUGACACUGACCAGACCAGAUAUUGCAUUCACUGUAAACAAAUUGAGUCAGUUUUUAGCUGCUCCAACUAUCUUGCAUUGGCAGGCUUGCAAGAGGGUAUUACGAUAUCUACAAAGCACAUCACAUUUUAGACUGCAAUUCUUCAAGUCAGGUUCUCCAAGUCUCAUAGCAUAUUCUGAUGCAGAUUGGGGGUCUGAUCCAGAUGAUAGAAGAUCUGUUGGAGGGUAUUGUGUUUAUCUUGGAUCCAAUCUUGUGUCUUGGUCAUGUAAGAAACAGAACAUUGUUUCCAGGUCAUCUGUUGAAUCUGAGUAUAGAGCAUGGCCUUAGCUACAUCUGAGGUUUUGUGGAUUACAUAUCUAUUAAAAAAGCUCAAAGUAUCACUUCCCAAACCUCUUGUUCUUUACUGUGACAACAGCAGUGCAGAAGCUUUGGCUAGCAAUCCUAAGUAUCAUUCCAGAACUAAACAUAUAGAACUGGAUUUACAUUUUUUCAGAGAACACAUUGCCAACAAGGAUCUCUUCAUUGAACAUGUGUCUAGUUCUGAUAAGCUAGCUGAUGUGCUUACCAAACCUCUGAGUUUUGAUCAUUUUGCCUAUAUGCAAACUAAGGUCAAUGUCUGCCCAUGACCUUGAGCUUACGGGGGCAUUUUAAGAAUAACAUAUGCUGAGUCAUCAAGCCAUGCUGGAAGUCAGUUUUGCAGUUAGUUAGAGAGCUUAUCAGCUUCCCUCCAAAAGUUUGUUAUGUGUAUUAGAAUCUGGGCUCACGAGUUUUGUGAGAUUGUAACCUUGAGAAGAUUCUCACACUACUAUAAAUUGUAUUGUGACUCAAUUAAUAAAAUAAGUUGAAGCUUUGCAUUUUCUCUCAGUCAAAAUUUUCUCUCUAUUUUUCUAAGUAACCAAACAAGAUCUACAGAGCAUUUUGUAUUUUAACUGGAGCGGCUGAUUGGUGCUGUACGUGUUACAUUUUUACUUUUUUAACUCAAGUCUGCUGUUGUCCCAAAGUUGGAACUAGAGAUAUCAUUUCACCUCAACUGUGUUUUUUUUUUAAUUAAAAAAAUCAUUUGUUUUAGGUAUACAUACAUGUAUUUUAAUUCUAUUUUCCUUGUAAUUUCUCCUUUACUUUGAAUGAAAGUCAUUGGUGUUUUCGAAUGGGAAUUUUGCAUUAAAAAAUUAAGAAUAGUUAAUAGGAAAUUUCCUGAUUCUUUAGUUACUAUUUUUGGUAUGAGUGUAAUUAGUAGUAAAGUUGGUUUCUACUCGCAAACAAGUGAACUGCUCGAUUCCCAAGUGCUAUUAACCAGUUUCCAACUUUUUAAUAUACACUAAUUGUUCCUGUUUAAUAGCUACUACUAUUAAAACUCAACAGCUAACAAAAAUACUAAAAAAAAUGAUUUUUUCUUAUGAUGCUGUGAAAAAAAUUACGGGUUUACUUAUUUCCACGAGAUCUUGUAUAGUGUUCUUGUAUAGUGGAAUUAAGAUUGUCUUCCCGAUGGUGCAAUUCACCCUCUUCCUUUACAGUCACUUGCACUUUGUGCAGCUUUGGUGUGGAUAAGAUUCCCAGGGAAAAAGUCUUCAUGUUCGGACAAUGUGUCACAAAUACUCGUUCCAAUGAUGGGAAUUCAAGAGGGUAAUUCUCCAAACAAAAGCUGGUAAGCCUUGGUAAAUACGACUCUCCUUCACUUCUUCUCCAGCAUGUCCUACGAUUUCUUCUAAUUUUUUGCAGUUCCAUACAUAAAGAUUCACCAGACUAGUAGGAAUUCCAACCUGAAAAUAAGCAGAGUGUGUGUGUGUGUGUGUAUAUAUAUAUAUUAAAAAAGUAAAUAUGUAAGAGUAUCAUUCAACUAGGCUCAAAGAAUGUUUAAUCAUACAAUUAUACGUUUUAUGAACAUAACAAACUGUGAAAUAUCUACUAGAUAUUUUUUGUUAAACAAAAAAGGUAACAAGAUAAAUAAAUAAAUAAAAGCCAGAUAAACAAAGAUGAUAAAAAUGUAUUUACACUAUUUAGUAUUAGGGACGUAGAAAGAAUUUAUGGCAAUUUCUAAAUAUUUUGGACUUAUUUUGCAUCUUGAUAUAAGUUUUUAAGCAUAAAUUUGCAAAUUUCAACUAUUCCUUUAAAAAAAAAACUCAACUAAAAUGCCUCUUUUUCCCUUUUCCUUGGUCCCUAUUUUUUAUGUAUAUAUAAAAAUGGAAAAAAAAAUUUUGGAAAAGACUUCCCAGUACUGUCAACAAGGGAUUGCUGUAAAGUGGAUCUUUAUUAAGUACUUCCAGACUCGAGGAAAUUUCUUUACAAUCAAGGGUCAGUUGUAAACAAUCAUGAAUUUGUGGUUAAUUAAUGGCAUAAUCAAUUCUUAACUAAACUGGAGAUAUUAAUUAAAUUUGAAGACUUUUUUUUUUUCCAAUCGAAAUGUGAAGAAUUAAGGAAAAGAGAAAUAUAUAGAUGAAUUUGUGAACCUAUAAGAUGAGUGACUAUCCUUUAAUUUUUGAAAAUUGUACUUAUUAAGACAUGAGCAGAAACAAUUAAAUUGAAUUAUAUUAUGCUGUUGAAUCGUGAUUAAAAAAAUUAUAUUGUUGAUUCUAAUGCUGGCGAACCUAAAAACUGGACUUAAAACGUAGAUUUCAGAGUGGUGGUUUGAAGUACAAUACUUGAAAUAAAUAAUCAGUGGCUAAAUAUCAUUUGUAAACCCAAAAAUGGUUAAAAUAUUGUUGAAUGUUAUUUGAAAAAAAAAAAAAAGAGAUUCAAAAUGAAUAUUCUUACCAAUGGAGGAAAAAUAUUCUUUAGGUUAUCACACCAAGAUAUCUCCAAAUUCUUCAAUUUGCUGAAAGACUCCGAAGCAAGCUGGUGGUGCCAUAUUUUUCUCAAAUUAUCCAUCCAGUCAAUACGUAAUACCUCCAACCUAGGAAGUCGUACCUGACAGUUAAAGAUUAAAUAACUAAUUAAUCAAUUAAUGGCAUAAUCAAUUGAUAAAUAAAUUAGAGGCGGAUAUUAACUAAAUUUGAAGACUCAAGGAAAAGACAAAUUAAAUAUUGUGACUAAAAUAAAUUUAAAAAAAAAAAAAACCUUUUCGUCAAAGAGAGGAGGUUGCAUUUCAGAAUGAAUGGUGUCUUCUGGUGAGCUCGUGGAGAUGAAUCUUAACAUAUUCCAGCAACUCUGAAUCUCGAGGUUUAGCAAAGAAGGGAAUUCAACAACUAAAUCUGAAUGAAUAUGUCCCGUAUUGGCAAAGCUUGUUAGUUCUGGAAGCCAAUAGAGCCGCAGGAAGUGUAGUUUAGGAAAUACCUUUAAUUCAAUCAACUUUCCUUCAUCUCUUUCUGACCAUCCCGUGGUGUCGACUACCCCUUCCAUUGACUCACAAUAGCUUAUCUCAAGAUGUUGGAGCUGCAAAAGGCUAUUAACCAUAGAAUAUGAAAACAGAUACUUCAUACGAUGACAACCGACCACGUGCAGCUUUGUUAGAUUUUGACAACAGUACAUUCCUUGAUUAUGAUCGGCCCAUAAUUUUUUCAUGUUUCUCAAGUCCCUGAGAUUCAAUUCCUCUAAGCUCGGAAGAAUAACCUGCAAAGAAAACCCGUACAUUUUUGUUCCUUCAAGUACAACCGUCUAGUAUAAUAUUCUUUUGAUGAUCGAAGAUUAAUCGUGAUAAUAAAUUAAUCAAUUAAUUAUUGAACAGAAAAUUAUCACCUUUGGAGCAGGAUCAUCAUCAGAAAUGAUUUCGUUGAAUCCCAAAGAAGUUGUUGGUUUGUCCAUGUCGGGUCCUAUAAACAAACAAAAACAAUAUACAUAAUUAAUCUUUGUCGUUGUCUUUUUUUUUCAAAAUAAUUGAGGCGAAGUCCAUAAAUCCACCAACACUUAAUUUCAACACUUACCAACAAUCAUUUCCAGAUCAUCGCAAAAAAACACUUCUACCUUUUGAAGCCACAGUAGGUUUUUGGCCAUGGAGAAUGAGAAAAGAUGCUUCAAUUCGUGACAGUCUGAUACUUUUAUAAUCCUUAAGUUGCUGAAAGAUUGAUCUUCUGUGAGUUGGCUGUCACAUAUUGUCUCCAAAUUUAUCAAACGACGAAGAGACAAUGACUCCAGCAAGGGGAAGACUUUGCGACGAACCCGUCCAACUGAACAGACAAUAUGCAAAAUCUCAGACCAACUUUUUACAGCAAGGUGCUUCAAUCGUGGAAAACCUUCCCCAUCAUCUAAUUCAUGAACAACAUUCUGAACACCCUUCAGUUCUUCUAGAUAGAGAUAUUCAGUUCUCUUCAACAACAGUUUCAUCCUGUAAUUCUGCAAAAGAAUGCCAAACUUUUCCAGCCUCUGGAGCUUCAUCAAUCUUGAUAAUCCAGAUUUAACGGACCAGCUGCUCCCCCACUUAUUUCCUAUACAUAUCCUAUAGGUAGAAGUGUUCUAGCUAUUAAUUUUAUACAUAUCUUCUAUAGGUGUAUUCUAAUUAAUUUCAUACAUCAGAUUUUUAGAUAAAAAUAAAGAAGUAAAAAAAAAAAAUCUUCACAUCAUCUUAAGAAAUUCAAAGCCAUGAUACCACAUCCAAUCACGAGAAUCCAUUUUCCUAUGAUCACUGACCUUUAGGUGCGGUGCUUGGUUUGAAGAAGGGAAAGGGGGUGAGGAAAGUAAUUUGAAUUCCUUUCUUAUUUCCGUUGUUUGGUCGGUCAUAAUAUAAAAGAAUUUAAUUUUCAUUAAAAUUUAAUAUAAUCAUAAUGUGGAAUUUAGAUUUCUCAAUAAAGAGUGAUGAAUCUUGGUUUGGGUCUGUUUUGAGUUUAUUUUCAUUUAUUUGGCUAUGUUUUGAUAGCGAAUUUUGAUAUGUCAAUAUAACGUGUAAUUGUUUUGGGUUGAGCUGGUAAUUAUGCUGGAUUAGAUUGGUUUGGUUUUGGUGCUUCUCUGAUGGAACACUGUUUUUUUUAGAAAUUUUGAAUGUAAUAUGAGACUACAUUUAGUUUAAUUGAACACUGCAUCUAGUCUAAUUACUAGAAGUGCGGCAUUUGGUUUGGUUUAUCCUAUAUUCUCCAGAAUUUCACUUGCAUCUGGUUUUGUUGCAUAUGUUUGCUUGCAUUUGAUGGCAGUAGCAGACUGUUUGGUUUUGUGACAUUUGAUGGCAGUUUGGUCUGUUCUUGGUGUUGGUUUAAGAUUGUUCCUGUUGUGCUGAUGUUAAUUGCAGGUGCUUGAAUCAGCUAGGGUUGCUGGUUUAUUCAGAUGGUUGACUCAGGCGUUGUUACUGGUUAAUUCAGGUGGCUGACUCAAGUUGUUCAUUUAAUGUUAGGAAGCAAAUUAAGAAUUAAUGAAGUAUUCAUUAAACUAUAAUUAUUGUAGUUAUUUUAUUUCAUAACUGAAUUAUAAUCUAUGAUACUUGUGAACAAAUUAGAGAAUUUUUAUAUAUGAAUUAUAUAUAUGUGUAUGUACAUUUUGCUAAUAAUUUAAAGAAUAUAUUUCAAUUCCCACAAAAAAAUGGCUCCAAUUUCAAUAAUUCCCGCCAAAUAAUUAAAUUUUUUUAAUUUACCACCAAAAUAUAUCUUAAAGAAAUUUUAGUUAUUCUUGCUAGAUUUAACAAAAAUGAUUUGUAGGAUUAACAUUUAAUUAAAAUAAUUAAAUAAUUUUAUUAUUCCAAUUAAAUAUGUCAUGUUUAUACGACAGACAAUAUUCAUGAAUGGGAAGUAUUAGUUACGUAUUUUUCCUUGGGAUUUCAGGCAAAUGAAAAAAAGAUUGAGAAUGAUUUCAAGAGGACAGGUGGAUGAUAAGUAUUCAUUUUUGUAUAUUUGUCUAAUGUCCUCAUUAGUGGAUUUUUAUGGUAUUGAUCUUUUUUUUUUUUUUUUUAAUUUUCAAUUAGUUGCAGCCCUAGAGGAAGAGCAGGCUGAUCAAAUUGAUUUGUCUUGUUUUUCGGGCAAUCUACGACAUGAUGACCGUGAUAAUGCUCGUGACUGCUGGAAACUUUCUGAUGGAAAUAACUUUAGAGUUCGUAGCAAGCAUUUUUGUUAUGACAAAACAAAGGUUCCCCCAUAAUUUGUUUGUUUGUUAUGGUAUUUAUAUAUCCUGCAUAGGCUAGGUAGACAAGUUAUGAUGUACGUGUUUCUCAUAUAGAACUCAAGUCUGCUGUUGUCCCAAAGUUGGAACCAGAGAUAUCAUGACUCUGGUUUCAUUUCACCUCAACUGUGUUUUUUUUUUUAAUUAAAAAAAUAUUUGUUUUAGGUAUACAUACAUGUAUUUUGAUUCUAUUUUCAUUGUAAUUUCUCAUUUACUUUGAAUGAAAGUCAUUGGUGUUUUCGAAUGGGAAUUUUGCAUUAAAAAAUGAAGAAUAGUGAAUAGGAAAUUUCUUGAUUCUUUAGUUACUAUUUUUGGUACGAGUGCCAUUAGUAGUAAAGUUGGUUUCUACUCGCAAACAAGUGAACUGCUCGAUUCCCGAGUGGUAUCAACCGGUUUCCAACUUUUUAAUAUACACUAAUUGUUAUUGUUUAAUAGCUACUACUAUUAAAACUCAACAGCUAACAAAAAUACUUAAAAAAAAUGAUUUUUCUUAUGAUGCUGUGAAAAAAAUUACGGGUUUACUUCUUUCCACGAGAUCUAUAACAUGGUCUUGAUUUCACGAAAUUCUUUUAAUUUAAAGCGUGCUGGUGUGAGAAGGUCAGUUUGACUGAUUAAUUCUUUUUAACAGUGGUCGAGAUAAUUUUACUAUACUCGAAAAUAUUCUUAUUCUGAUAAAGCCAUAAAUGUUAUGCUGUUUUCUUCGGCUAAUGAUCUUCUAUCAGGAGAGGUUAGAAAUCAAAUGCUUAAAAGACCAAUUGAACGAAUAAUACAGAAAUUUAGGCAGAAUCUAAUCGAAUAUUGUAUGAAACAUGAAACAUCAAUUCAAGUCCUUUCUUAAACAAAGAAUGCAUCAAACAAAAUCCAAAGUGUCUUGCAAGUUUGUAGCAUGAGCAAAAAAUUGUAAAUAUGUAGAACCAAAUUAUUCAAGUACAGAAGAACGAGCAAGCUAAAUCAUGUAUAAGAGAUUGGCCUGGUUCAGGAUAGCUUCUUCACUGUAGCUGAAGGGUUGGCUCAAUCUCUUCUUUAGAAUUCUGCAGAUUUUGUAAUUACUCGUGUAAGCAAGCAUACAUUGCCACCAUAAGAAUAAUAAAGCAAGAGUAAUGAUAUGACCACCACCUCUUGUGCACAAACAAUAUUGUAUAAACUAAUGCGACAUAAUAUGAUUGGUUAAAUAAAAACAUUACAUGGCCCUCAUAAUUUAUUUAUUUAUUUAUUAUUAUUAUUAUAUAUUUUCAAUCAACCAAUCAUAUUAUAUCACAUUAGUUUCUAUAAAAUAAUUUGCUAAAUAGCACCGAAACUUAAUUGAUACUCACCAUUUCAUUGAACAAUUUUUUUAUGGUGUCAUUGAGGUUGCCUUCCCAACAUCCUUCAUCAUCAUCAUCUUCUUCAUCAUCAUCAUCUUCUUCUUCAUCAUCUUCAUCAUCAUCAUCUUUUUCUUCUUCGGUGACGUUCACUUUGUUUAGCAUUGGUGUGUCUAAGACUCCUUGAGAGAAGAUCUUCAUUUUUGGACACUGUCUCACAACUACUUGUUCCAAGGAUGGGAACUCAAGAGCGUAAUUACCCAAACAAAAGCUUGUUAGGCUUGGCAAACAAUCAAGUCCCAAGUACUCCAAUUUCCUGAAAACAAUGCAAUCGUCCGCUUCUUCUCCAACCUGCGACUGUAUAAUUUCUUCCAUCAUUUUGCAAUCAGUUAUCUUCAUUCUUUCAAGAUUCACUAGACUUUCAGAUGUUGAGAGCGUCAAUAAAUUUAUCAACCCAUGACACUUCGAUACUUCCAGAGUCGCAAGAUUUUCCAAAUGCCACGAAGCUGGUACUAAUUUCUGCAACUUACUACAUUCAAAUAUUUCUAGACUUUUCAAGUUUGCAAACACUUUGUUGGAUUUGGCAUUUUCCUUCCAGAGAUGCUGCACUUUGUGUAAUCCAGAUAGCUUUAACUUCAUCAAUUGAGGGAAUGCAACCUGGAAAUCAACAAAAUUAAGUUGUAAAUGAAAAUAUGUAUCCAAUCUCUGCAGUCUUCCCCUGCAUAUUUUAUGGACAAGAUUAAUCACGGCAUUUUAUAUUUUAUUUCCAAAUUAGUAUGCUUUGCAGUAGGAUCCCAAAUAUAAGUAUCAAAUCGAUUACCCUUUGAAACACAUAAAUGAAAUCUGAUCCUAAAUCCAAUAUGAAUUAGCUAGGAAAACAGAGACCUAACACGCAUAAUCGAUAUAGUUCAUCACCUCCUGUCACUAGGCAUCUAAUUAAUUUGAGACAUUUUUUUAAUUCAUACUAUAAAGUUAGUUAAUAACUACGGUUAUAUUGUUAAACAUGUAUAAAUUAAGACGACGUGCAAAAAGAUGAGUCAUUAAAUUUGAUUUGAUUCUAAUGAAAUUAUAUCUGUGUGAAUGAAAGUGAAGGGAAAAAUAAUAAUAAUGUUACCUUUUCAUCGAAGAGAUGUUGUAUUUGAUUAGCUACCAAGAGGUUCUCUUCUUAUUUUAAUUUUUGAGCUUCCUUAUUAUCUGUUGUCAUGUGCAGUACAGAUGUAGAAUUGGACAUGAAUGUUUCCAUAUCAGGGCAAUUCUCAAUAGUUAGAUAUCUCAACUCAGGCAGUUCAAUUAUAUUCCCAGUGAAGUUGCAGAAUCUUUUGAGUUUUGGAAGGUCAAUGAGCCUUAGCUCAAAAAGCCUAGGAAACAGGGGGCCUAUAUGUUCUUCCUUGGCAUUUAGCUCUUCCAAAUGAAGCACCUCUUCUAGUGAAUCACAAUUCCUCACUUCCAGCCAUCUCAAAUUGUUCAAGCACCGUAUCAGAUUGGCAGGAAUAGCACUCGACAUAUUCGUGCGGUCAUCCACCACCAGGUGUCUUAAAUUGUUGAAGAAGCUGACAGGCAGUGCUUGGCCAUGCGAGAGUUGCAAAUGGUUUAUAUCAAGGAAUCCAAUCUGCACAAACCAAAACAAUUGCACUGGAUAUAUACAAUUUUUUCUUUCUGAAAGGCAUAGAUAUAUGUACAUUAAACUUACAUGUUUUCUGCUUUAACUUCUAAAAAUAUAUAUACAAGGCAGGUGUAUAUGCUUAAAUGUGCAAGUGCAGGGGAGAUGCAUGAACAAUUUGGGUGAAUCGAUUAACACAUACCAUCUUUUUGUAACAUAUGUUUAAAUGUGCAAGCGCAAGGGAGAUGCAUAAGCAACUUGGAUGAAUCGAUUAGCACAUACCAUUUCUUCGUAACACUUUUGUAUAGUGGAAUUAAGCUUGUUGCCUUCCCAAUGGUGCAGUUCACCCUCUUCCUUUUCAGUCACUUGCACUUUGCAUGGCUUUGUAAUGGAUAAGAUUCCCUGAGAAAAAGUCUUCAUGUCCGGACAACGUAUCAUAGAAACUCGUUCCAAUGAUGGGAAUUCAAGAGUGCAAUUCUCCAAACAAAAGCUGGUAAGCCUUGGUAAAUCAUCAAGUAUCAAAACUUUUAAUUCGCUGAAAGCAAUACGAUUCUCCUUCACUUCUUCUCCAACAUGUCCUACGAUUUCUUCUAAUUUUUGGCAAUCUGAUACUUAAAGAUUCACCAGACUACUAGGAAUUCCAACCUGAAAAUAAGCAAAAGUGUGUGUGUAAGAGUAUCAUUCAACUAGGUCCAAAGUAUGUUUAAAACAUACAAUUAUAUGUUAACAUAACAAACCAUGAAAUGUCUACUAGAUAAUUUUUGUUAAACAAAAAAGGCAACAAGAUAAAUAAAUAAAUAAAAGCCAGAUAAACAAAGACAAUAAAAAUGCAUUUACACUAUUUAGUAUUAGGAGCGUAGAAAGAAUUUAAGGCAAUUUCUAAAUAUUUUAGACUUAUUUUGCAUCUUGAUGCCAGUUUUUAAACAAAAUUUGCAAAUUUCAACUAUUCCUUCUGGGAAAAAAAAAAAUCAACCACCAACAAAGUGUUGGCUCCAUUGGCAAUGGAGUCCCCUUAAGUGGUUUGACUGGGUUUGCUCCCCAGUUCGAGUCGCAGGGAAGUCGCCUUUGUUGGGAGAACUUGUGCCUCCCGGUUCGAGCGGGGACUUCUAGUCUGGGUUGUGGUACGGGCUUAAAGGUGCCUUCCACAGUUGGGGCCCUCCCCAGGAUACCUCGUGAUUAAUAUAAAAAAAAAAAAAAAAUCAACCAAAAUGCCGCUUUUUCCCUUUUUCCCUUUUUCCUUGGUCCCUUUUUUUUAUGUAUAUUUAAUUUUGGAAACAAAAUUAAAGUGGAUCUUUAUUAAGUACUUCUAGACUCGAGGAAAUUUCUUUACAAUCAAGGAUCAAUUGUAAAUAAUCAUGAAUUUGUGGUUAAUUAAUGGCAUAAUCAGUUCGUAACUAAACAAGAGAUAUUAAUUAAAUUUGAAAACUUUUCUUUUCUUUUUUUCUUUUUCCAAUCGAAAUGUGAAGAAUUAAGGAAAAGAGAAAUAUAUAGAUGAAUUUGUGAACCUAUAAGAUGAGUGACCAUCCUUUAAUUUUUGAAAAUUGUACUUAUUAAGAUAUGAGCAGAAACAAUUAAAUUGAAUUAUAUUAUGCUGUUGAAUCGUGAUUAAAAAAAUUAUAUUGUUGAUUCUAAUGCUGGCGAACCUAAAAACUGGACUUAAAAUGUAGAUUUGAGAGUGGUGGUUCGAAGUACAAUACUUGAAAUAAAUAAUCAGUGGCUGAAUAUCAUUUGUAAACCCAAAAAUGGUUAAAAUAUUGUUGGAUGUAAUUAAAAAAAAAAAGAUUCGAAAUGAAUACAACAACCUUACCAAUGGAGGAAAAAUAUUCUUUAGGUUAUCACACCACCAUAUGUCCAAAUUCUUCAAUUUGCUGAAAGACUCCGAAGCAAGCUGGUGGUGCCAUAUUUUUCUCAAACUAUCCAUCAAGUCAAUACGUAAUACCUCCAACCUAGGAAGUCGUACUUGGCAGUUAAAGAUUAAAUAACUAAUUAAUCAAUUAAUGGCAUAAUCAAUUGAUAACUAAAUUAGAGGCGAAUAUUAACUAAAUUUGAAGACUCAAGGAAAAGACAAAUUAAGUAUUGGGACUAAAAUUAAUUUUUUUUUUAUUUUAAAAAAAACCUUUUCGUCAAUGAGAGGAGGAGGUUGCAUUUCAGAAUGAAUGGUGUCUUCUGGUGAGCUCGUAGAAAUGAAUCUUAACAUAUUACUGCAACUAUCAAUCUUGAGUAUUUGCAAAGAAGGGAAUUCAACAACUAAAUCUGAAUGAAUAUGUCUCGUGUUUGCAAAGCUUGUUAGUUUAAAAAGCCCAUAGAGCUGCAGGGAGUGUAGUUUAGGAAAAACCUUUAAUUCAAUCAACUUUCCUUCAUCUCUUUCUGACCACCCCGUGGUGUCGACUACCCCUUUCAUUGACUCACAAGAUCGUAUUUCAAGAUGUUGGAGUUGCAAAAGACUAUUAACCAUAGAAUACGAAAACAGAUACUUCAAAUGAUCACAACCGUCCACGAUCACCUUUGUUAAAUUUUGACAACAGUACAUUCCUUGAUUAUGAUCGGCCCAUAAUUUUUUCAUGUUUCCUAAAUGAAAGAGAUUCAAUUCCUCUAAGCUCGGAAGAAUAACCUGCAAAGAAAACCCGUACAUUUUUGUUCCUUCAAGUACAACCGUCUAGUAUAAUAUUCUUUUGAUGAUCGAAGAUUAAUCGUGAUAAUAAAUUAAUCAAUUAAUUAUUGAACAGAAAAUUAUCACCUUUGGAGCAGUAUCAUCAUCAGCAAUGAUUUCGUUGAAUCCCAAAGAAGUUGUUGGUUUCUCCCUGUCGGGUCCUAUAAACAAACAAAAACAAUACACAUAAUUAAUCUUUGUCGUUGUUUUUUUUUUCAAAAUAAUUGAGGCGAAGUCCAUAAAUCCACCAACACUUAAUUUCAACACUUACCAACAAUCAUUUCCAGAUCAUCGCAAACAAACACUUCUACCUUUUGAAGCCGCAGUAGGUUUUUUGCCAUGGAGAAUGAGAAAAGAUGCUUCAAUUUGUGACAGGAUUGUACUCCUAUAAUCCUUAAGUUGCUGAAAGAUUGAUCUUCUGUGAGUUGGCUAUCACAUAUUGUCUCCAACUUGUUCAAAAACCAAAGAGACAAUGACUCCAGCAAGGGAAAGACUGUACAAUGAACCCGUCCAACUGAACCGACAAUAAGCAAAAUCUCAGAACAACUUUCUACACGAAGAUGCUUCAAUCGUGGAAAACCUUCCCCAUCAUCUAAUUCAUGAGCAACAUUCUGAACACUCUUCAGUUCGUUUAGAUGGAUCUCUUCAGCUUCUUUCAGCAACAUUUUCGUCCCAUAAUUCUCCAAAAGACUGCUAACAUUUUCUAGCCCAUCGAGCUCCACCAUUCUUGAUGUUUCAGAAUUAACGCCCCACAUGCGCCACGCUUCUCCUAUACAUAUCUUAUAUCUUUGCAAUUCCACAGAGACUAAAUCCUGCGGCAGAAUUUGGGCAUCCCAAAAUUGUAUCUCCAAAGUAGUUAGCUUUGACAGCCCCUUCAAUUCAGCAAGACUGGCGGUACUUCCUCCUUCAACCUUAUCCCACUGCGAAAAGCUGUCACCCAUAUAUAGUUCUUCUAAUUGAGAAAAUUUUGAUAUGAGAUUUGGUGCUAUCACUACAAGGCUCCUACAAUUGCUCAAAUCUAGCAAUUGUAACCGCGUCAAUUGUCCAAUUUCAAGUGGUAACUGCUUAAUGUCGGAAUCUCGAAAGCUAAGAAUCUCUAAUUUCUUUAGCUGUCCAAUUGCAGCUACAUCUUCUAGUUGGCACCAGUCUAAACACAAUGUUUGAAGGUUAAUGAGGCGACCAAGUGAUGAAGGUAAUGAAGAGAAAGGAAUUCUAGUAAGGCUUAAAACUUUGAGUUCUUUCGUCCCUUCAAAAAAGAGGUCUGAAAUUUGCAUACGGCCAUUACCCUCUGCAGACAACAAAAAUAACUGGAGAUUGGGACAUUGCAACCUUUCAGGGAGCUCUUGAAUAUCUCUCUGGGGUAAUGAAAUGGCAAUUGGAUCUUUCCGUAUUGUCUCUU